rnacentral:lncRNA from 1 species
UUUUUUUUUUUGGUUGAAAAGAUAAAUAAAUAGAUUUUUAAAGAUUUACACCAUUUGCGAUUAAGUCAGUACAGAUAAAAUCCAAAAGAGGAAGGGGAAUAGAGGUGGGCUAGUUUGGAGGUAGGCAUCUAGACUCAUGGGCUUUGGCAACCCAGUUAGCGGCCUCAUUUGCUUCCCUGCUACAAUGGACUACAAGCAGGUUUGGAAACCCUCGAAGGAGCGUCGUAGCCUCAGCAAUCAGAGCACGCAUCUCCCAUGGCAUUGAACAAGGGUUGUUCACCGCGUCCACCAGGAUCUGGCAGUCCGAUUCCAAGGUAAUAGAUCGAUCCGCUUGUCCUUUUUGCAGCAAAUCUCGAAGAGUAAGAGUAAAGGCUUGAGUUUCCGUUUGCAAAGCCGAAGAUGCGUGGACAUGGCUUGUAAAUCCAGCAACAAUUCUACCAAAAUGAUCUCGAGUGAUUGAGGCCACCAAACCUUCAUGAGACGCAGGGAUGAAAGCUCCAUCAAUAUUGAUCUUCCAAGCGCCAGGAGCUGGAGUACGCCAUACUGGAUCUGUUGCUGAGGAUGAAAUCCAAGAUGCUGAGCUCACUACAUAUAAGCGGCGAUCUGUCAGAGUAUUCACAAGAGUCAUUUGAACUACAUGUGCUGGAUUUGGGUGAACCCUGCGAAAGACGAAGUGAUUUAUGGCUUUCCAGAUCUGCCACAGAGUAUGCACAAUUGUUGCCAGAUCAGGUAAUUUAGUUCUAUCAGCUAAUAGCUCUGUUAACCAGGCAUCCAUUAGGGGUUUGCAAAAUACCCGGGAACCGCCCGGACCGCCCAGAACCAGACCAGAACUGCCCGGAACCGGUGGUUCUUGAGGGAACCGAUCCGGUUCCCGGUUCCUAUUUAUGGGAACCGGUGCGUACUGGUCCGGUUCUUGGUUCCGUGGGCAGAUCCGCCCACCCAAAUCAGACCGGAACCUUUUUAAUAUUAAAAAAGAAAAAUUACUAAAAGAAACCCUACGUCUCGCGUCUCAUCUCUUCGUCUUCGGUUCUCUCUCUCUCUCUGUCUCUUCCUCAGUCUCUUCGUCUUUGAUUCCUCCCCGAGCAUUAACGCCGCCACCACUGCUCCUCCUCAGCCGUUGUCCGCCCCCUCGCACUGAUCACCACCCGCCACAGUUGUUGCUCCUCUGCCUCUGCUGUCUACCCCCAUGUUGUUGUCCGCCCCCUCGCUCAGUCUCUUCAUCUUUGAUUCCUCCCCGAGCGUCGACACCGCCGCCGCUGCUCCUCCACCACCACUGUCCGCCCCCUCGCGCCGGUCGCCACCUGCCACAGCCGCUGCUCCUCCGCCUCUUCUGUCCAUCUCGACCGAGCCCCCUUUUUCGUCACUCAACAAGGUACGAUCAUCGGCUUCCAGCUUGCCUCUCGAUUCAUCGUCCGCUUGCGAACUUGUACUUCGGUUCGAUUACCCAAUAGGUCAGAACGUAGUGAAGUUUGAGUCUUUGUUUUGGGAAUCAAUCGAUAUUCAUCUUGAUGCUUUGUCUUUGACGAUGCUCAUGCUUGAAUUUGCAGAAUCCUUGGUUGCUUUUCCCUGUUGCUGUGUUUUUUGAUUUUUUGUAUGUCUAAUCGUCAGUAAAUUCUAUGCUCAGGGUCGUGAGAAGGAGAUAAAGUUUUGAGCUUUUUUAAUUUUUAGUUUUUUUUUUCAGUUUUGUUCUUCUUCCUUCUGGGUUAGGAAACUAGCUUCACCUCCUGAAUUUGACUGUAUUGCUAGGAUGAACUACCCUUUAGAUAUAUGGCGUGGAGGGAUGGGGUGAUAAAUUGAAGGGCUCCGUUUUUGUUAUCAUUACUCCUUUUUCAUAUGUUAUGCUCGAUUUUAUCAGUUUUGGCUUAUGUGAUUUGCAUGUUUGCAGAUAAUAUACUUGGAAAUAGUUGGAGGAACUUAUUUCAUUGUGGCAAAAUCGUGCUUCAACUAUAUUCCUGGAUAUUAUUUAAGUGGAAUUCACAGGUACUGUUCGAAAGGAUUUAUACAAUUUCUGUUAUGAGUCAAUUUGCUGGUGUGAUCAAGGACAAACACUUGGUUUGAUAGCCCAAUCAUCUUGUGGUGGGAAAUAUUUUUGGCUAUUGGCAAAGAAAUGGGAAGUCACCAUUUCACCUUAGAAGGCUAUUAGCUACAUUCAACUCUUUUCUAGAAGAUGUUUUCUUUUCAUUUCUAAUGGCCCUCUUCGAAUUUGGAUUCACUUGAUUUGUUGUUAUAAGUAGUUUUUUGUGCCUGAUAAUGACACAUGGCUAGCGGUUUGACAAUUGAUAGUUGUGUGUGUUUUUUAUGAGCAAGAUAUAUACUGCUACAUCGGUGCAGUUUCAGGGACUUAUGUGGCCACAUGUGAGUUUUGAUUGUCCUCGAUGAUGUGGAAAAUGUUUGUCAUGUCAAGAAACUCAUCAGAGAUAUCUUUGGUUGCUUUGGAUAUGGAAGUACGAUCCUUGUAACCUUGUCUAAUUUACUCUACUUGAUGAGUUUGUUCCAUGUACUUAAAUUUGGUUUUCCUUUUUUUGGUUUGCUUUAAUAUCACGUAGUCAUUCUAUGUUGAAAACCAAAAUUAUUUCGCAUCAAAAUCGGUUCCAUGGAUCCACCCGGGAACCGAACUCGACCGGGUCCGAUUCCCGGGUGGAUCCUGGUUCCAAUUUUUCGGAACCGGUCCUUAGCGGGCGGUUCCCAGUUCUAGGUUGGGAACCGCCCACCCAGACCAUGCACACCCCUAGUGUCCAUACAUUCAAAAUUAUAAGCCUUCGGUAUAAUGUUAAUCUGCGGGUGCAACCAUACCUUCUGUGUCCAUGGACAUAAUAAGAAUAUGUGUUCUGUUGAUUCUGGGUUGUGUGCUUGACAUAACUGACACAUAGGAUCCAAUUAUAUGUCUGUGAUGGAGGUUCUCUCUAGUAGAAAGGGCAUUGUGGCAAAGAGACCACAUAAAUAUGCGAAUUUUUGGGGAUGUCUGUAUCUGCCAGAUCUUGCACCAAAGGUGUCGAGGGGCUUGGUAGGAGGAUGAUGCACUGGUUUGAUCAUUGGUAUGUGCUUUAGCUCUAAGGUAGUUAUAGCCAUUCUUGAAUGUAUAAACGCCGCUUUGAGUCCCUUUCCAUAUUACCUGAUCAGUUGUGCAUCAGCACGAAGCUGUAUAGCUAGGAUCUUAAUCACUAUCUGGUCAUCAAAGGAGUUACGCAGCAUAGGUUCAUUCCAAGUAUACUGACCUGGUAAAAUAAAAGCUACAAUCUUUUUCGGUUCACCUCGGGGUGCAGGUCCGCCAAUAAUACCUCUCGAUAGCCAUCUGUCUUCACGGAUUAAAAUGUGUUGUCUAUCUCCAACAAACCAUUGAAUAUUGUCCAAUAUCGAGUCUCUGCCGAUUAGUAGACUUAGCCAGCCCCAUGAUGGUCGUACACCUUUUUCAGCAUGCAAGAAAUCUGUAGAAUGAUAGUAAAGACCUUGAAAUAGUUUAGUCUAUAGGGAAGUGGGGUUAUGAAUUAGACGCCAUGCCUGCUUGCCAAGUAAGGCUCUAUUAAAGGUGAUGAGAUCACGAAAACCCAUUCCACCAGUGUCCUUUCUAGUAGUAAGGGAAUCCCAUUGCUUCCAAUAGAUUCCCGUCUUAGUGUUAUUAUUUUGCCACCAUAAUCUGGCAAUUUUCUGUUGAAUAGAUUUGCGCAGAGAAACAGGGAUCUUAAAAAUAGACAUCACGUAUUGUGGUAUUGCUUGGACAACGGUUUUAAUUAAAAGGUCCUUACCACCUUUUGAAAUGAACUGUUCCAACCUUCCAGUUUAGAAUGGACUCGAGCUAAUAUCCAGGCAAACAUAUCCUUUUUUUUAUCUUCAUUAGUCUGAUGGUAUGCCUAGGUAUUUACUAGAUUUGGUAAUCAUAGGAACUCGGAGUUCUUGGGCCAAAUUCUCUUGUAGUUGGGUAGGACACGCCUUGCUGAAAAGAAUACCAUAUUUAUUCCUGUUCACAGUCUGGCCAGUCGCUAAGCAGUAUUGGUUGAGCAAAUUCGCUAGGUUCUGACAUUCCCAUAGUUUGCCGUCCAGGAAGAAAAUUGCUUCAUCAGCAAAUAAUAAAUGAGAUAGGGUUGGACACCACCUGUUUAAUUUGAUGCAUUUAAGAUUUCCCAUUCGUAAAGCUUGUUGGAUAAGAAUGGAUAGGACAUUCGCUACCAGGAUGAACAGACAUGGAGAUAGAGGGUCUCCUUGUCGGAGUCCUCUAGUAGGGUGAAAGUAUGGAAGAUUAUCUCCAUUAAAUCUAACAUUGAAAAAAGAAGUUGUGAUGCAUUGCAUGACCCAUCGGACCCAUACUGAGUUGAAACCCAAUUUGAGCAUAUAAUCCUGUAGAAAAUCUCAUUCAACCCGGUCGUAGGCCUUCUGCAUGUCUAACUUUAGGACUGCUUGAAAAUGCUUCUUUCUUUUUUCUAAUCCUAAUCUGGUGGAGGACCUCUUGCACAACUAAUAUAUUAUCUUGAAUCUAUCUUCCACUAACAAAAGCAUAUUGUUCUGGGGAAAUCAGCGCCAAUAGCCAAGGUUUGAGAUGGUUGGCUAAAACCUUUGAAAUAAUCUUAUAAACAUAGUUGCAAAGGGUGAUUGGACGAUACUAGAAGAGUCAUUCCGGGUUGGGGACUUUGGGAAUUAAAGUUAUAUUUGUCUGAUUGAUUCCAGGUUGCAAAACUCCAAUGCAGAAGAAAUCUUGUACCAAGUCGAAUAGAUCAUCUUUCAUAAUGUCCCAGUGAUGCUGGUAGAAAAGCCCACUGAGUCCAUCCGGCCUUGGCGCUUUGGUGGCACCCAACUGAAAGGCUACCUGUUGUAUUUCCUCAUGAGUUAUAGCUUGUGUGAGUUUAUUAUUCAUGUCCCCCGUGACCAUCCGAGGGCAUUGCAUCAAAAUGGGUCUAUAAUCACGCUUCCCCAUAGAUGUAUACAAAGAUAUAAAAUAAGUUAGGGUCAUGUCCUUUAGCUUUUGCUGAUCACGAACCCAAGUCCGAUCUAUAUCCUGUAGCAUAUUGAUCCUAUUUCUCUGUCUUCGUUGGAUAGUUGAGGCAUGGAAGAAUUUAGUGUUUUUAUCACCCCAUCUUAGCUAGUUGAUGUGGGAUCUCAAUGCCCAAUACUGCUCUUCCUGUUGCCAGAGCUGCUGAAUCUCCAUCUGCAGGCGAGUCAUCUCCUCAUUAUCAUGAUGGUUAUGGGGCUUAUUCAUAAUAUCUUGGAGUUGUUGUUUCAAACAACGAAGUUUCCGGUUGCCAUUUGCAAAUUUUAUGCAACUCCAAAAAGCAAGGGCACCUGAAACGGUCUUGAUUUUCUCUGAAAUUGUAGGGUUGGACCGCAAAUGGGAGUGCCAGUUUUCAGCGAUAAUCUGGCAGCAUUCUUGAUCCUGAAGCCAGAAAGCCUCAAAGGUGAACCUUCUUCUCCUUUUGAUAUAUUUGGCGUCUGUUGUGAGUAAAAGUGGACUGUGAUCCGAGGCUAGGGCAGGUAAUACGAAAACCUCAGUUGCUGGAAAAGUUAAAUGCUAGUCCAUUGUGCAAAGAGCACGAUCCAAUUUCUCCUUAAUUAACUCAUCUCCCUCUCUAUUGUUAAUCCAUGUGUAUGCGCAUCCUUUGCUUAAAACCUCCAUAAAAGAACAGGUAUCUAUAAAAGCACAAAAAGACCUCAAACGAUAGGGAUCCGCUUGGCGCUUACCUAUUUUCUCCCAAUGGUAAAUGAGUUCAUUAAAAUCUCCGACACACACCCAAGGUAAAGUAUUAUAGUCGCUAAUUUGAUGUAAUUCUUCCCAAACGUAUUGUCUAUGAUUGUACAUCGAAGGGGCAUGAACACAAGUAAGGCGCAUGGUCAACGUAGUUUCCUUAUCCGUGCAGAUCAUAUCUAGGUAGUAUGUUGAUUGAUGUUCGAUAGAUAUGGAGAUUCCAUCAUUCCAAAACACUGCCAGUCCUCCUACUGUUCCGAUAGGCUCUUCAAGUAGACAGUUUGAAAAUUUGAUUCACUUCCAGAUUCUGAGUAGUACUAGAUUUUGAUUCUUUGUUUCCAUCAAAAAAACUACAUGGGGCUUUUCAUGAGCCACAAGGGCCCUUAGAGCUCGAACUAUCAGGGGAUUCCCCAAACCCUGACAGUUCCAAAUUAAUAUCUUCAUUUGUCAUGGGGUGGCUAAUUCGAGCUUGCCACCAUAGCCCAUCUGUUUGGUUCUUCAGCCACAAAGAUUGGAGUAUCCAUCAUAUGUGAGUCAUCAAACGCCUCUGGUCCCUGAGGUUUUAGCUCGUAAGGAUUAUACUGUUUAACUUUCUUUGUGGGACUUGCUUUGGAGCUUGAUCGAGUGCUCUUAAUUUUCUUUUGAUUAGGAACACCAACUACGUCAAGUGACUGAUCUUGGACAUGUGUUGUUGUAGGGGUGUGAGCAGGAGAUGGUAAAAUGUCUUUGGUAGAGCCUGACUGAUACCGCCAUUGAAGUGGUUCGGCUAAGGUAAGAAUAGGUUGUUCUGGAGACUCAACAGUUGCCUUUCCCUUGUCCUUGCUAUGCUGGUCUACAGGCAUUAAUAGGUUCGGUUGCUGAGGGGUUUCCGGUAUAAUUUUCGUCGUGUCUUCUCUGUUACUGUUCUGCUCAUAAAAAAAACCACCCAAAAGGGGCUAUGCUCCUUUACUUCAGUGCGUAGCCAUUGGCCAUAAUAACGAGUUUCUCUAUUAUCCAUUUUUUCUUCAUCAUAAGGAAACCUUUUACAAUGCAUAGCAUAAUGACCAAGGAUACCACAUGAAUAGCAGAAAUGGGAUAGUUUUUCGUAGCGGAAAUCUACCCAUAUAUUUUUCCCAAUUUCACACAAAAACUGAACUGUCCGAUCAUACUUUUGAACAGAAUGCAGAUCCAAGCCAUUCUAAUUUAAACAUAGAUAUUUAUUUUACAGAAACGACGGUUCAUUAUCUACCUUCAAUGACAGUGUUAGUGAUAGCAUUUGUGGACCAAUUACUUUCUUGUUGCGGUGACUUGAUUUCGUGAGUUGUUAAGCUUUGAAAGGUAAAUGUAGGUUGUUUUGGCUGAGGAAGAUCCGAUUCACCGCUUAGCAUCAGAACCACUUGUGACAUGUUGGGCCUAUCCACAGCAUGGUCCUGCACGCAGAGAAGCCCUACUUGAAUGCUUCGAAUCGCCUCUGACGGUGAAAAGGAAUCCGCAACCGCCGCAUCCAAUAGGUCCAAUGCUCUACCUCCACUCCACAAUUGCCAAGCCUGUAUGAACAGUAAGAUUGUUUGAUUUUACUAGUAGUAGGUAUGGACUACCAAUGACCAAAAAAGAGACAUUAGUUGUGAGAUAGAUGUUGCCCUUACAUAAACGAGGAGAUUGAGAUGUCCGUGGUUAUCUAAGAUAGUGUUCUUUUUGCUGCUGACAAUCUCUAGGAGCAGAACUCCAAAGCUAUAAAUAUCAGAUUUUUCAGAAAAUAUUCCACCCAUGGCAUACUCAGGAGACAUGUAGCCGCUGCAUAAUUUAAACAUUUCAAAGUCUCUUCAAUAGAAUGUUGUAAUCAUAAAAAAGCUAUAAGUCCUGAACCGAAGAUUUGUGGGAUGCACUGGUUGGAAAAUCCUUAACUGAGAUAGCAUAAGGGUCAGAAAUUUGAGGCUGAUAGAUUUUUUACAUCCCAGGCACCAAUAGCUUUGCUCUUCAUUUUUAGGAUAUUACUUUCGAUCUUAUGGACAUGCACGAGGUGAUUUGUGAACAGAUUAUACUGAUUAUGUCCUGGCUAGAUAAAAAUUUGCCUGAUUGAGUCAUAAUAUUAGUAUGAAAGAAAGAAAACUUACAAUGUUCCGGCAACUCUGUGUGUUUUUACCAAGACUUGAGUGCAUUCAAACAUCCGUGCCAACCCAAAAUCAGAAAUUUUUGGAUCCAUCUUUUCAUUCAAGAGGAUGUUGCUCACUUUUAAGUCUCGAUGAAUAAUCCUAAGACAAGAAUCACGAUGCAGGUACAAGAGUCCUCUGGCAACCCCGUGGAUGAUUUGCAAACGUAUGUCCCAGCUCAGUUCCGCCUUCUUACUUGAAUCUAAGCAAGGUAACAGACAGAAAAAAAUUCUAGUCUGAGUAUUAGUUUUUGUUUCCCUUAUAAGAAAAUGGAACUAAACAUUUUAGAGAGUGAAACCGACGAAAAAGAAAUUUGUCCAAGCUCUUGUUCGACAAGUAUUCGUAUACUAGGAUUUUCUCCUCUCCUUCAGUGCAGCAACCUAGGAGUCUGACGAGAUUUCUGUGUCGAAGUUUAGAUAUUAGAAGGAUCUCAUUCUUAAACUCUUCCACGCCUUGCGAUGAGCUGCUCGAGAGUCUUUUCACAGCUAUCUCCUUCCCAUCUUUCAGCUUUCCCUGUAUCCAAAUUCGCAGAAUCAUUAGACCUUUGGCUUGGACGAAUGACCAGUAUGUUAUAAUUAGAGAAGGCUUUACCUUGUAAACAGGGCCAAAACCUCCCUGCCCAAGUUUAUUGAUUGAGUUGAAGUUGUUUGUCGCAAGUAAUAUGCUGUCAAAACUGAAAAGUGUCAACUCUGAUGCGUCAUCUUGCCUCCAUUGCUCUUUGCAUGCAUUCUGCACUUCUUCUGGCCUAUCAGUCGUAUACCCUGGGUAAAGUAGUGCUGGGGUUCCCCUUGUCUUAAACAUCCCUGCAAUUUUUAUGUAUGCAGACUGAGCAUGCUUUGUUUCUAAACAGAUUGAGCAUAUAAAAGCACACUAGAUAACAUCAUGGAUUUGUCCCAGAAUGUGGAACUAACAUUUAGAAGACACUUUUCUUGUCUUCAUUUGAACAGUAAUUAUAUAGUUCACAUAAAACCAACUAUGGGAAACGGGAGAAAAGAAGCCCUGAAUGAGGACAGGAGAAGGAAAGUAGUGAUCCUGUAGAAGUGGCCUAUUUUCCAGUGCCAGGGCAUAUAUUACGCAAAUUUCUAAUAUCACGUCUACAAUAAAAUUGGAUUAUUCAUACCUCUUUUUUUAGCUCUCCACUUGCAUAGACCAUAUAUGGCAGCUCCACACAAGAUGAUGCCAAAAAUUGUACUUAGGCUGAUGAUCACUUUCGUUUGUUUUGAUGGACCUGAAGUCAUGGAGCAAAUUACUAGAACUAUAGGACAUACUAAAUGGAGCUAGUCUGAAUUCAAGCUUUUGAACCUUUACUUUCAUACACAAGGCGAAUAAAGAGAUCCUCCCCUGCUGUGGUGAAUUGUUGAAUAUCUAUGAGCUCUUCACUCCAAACCAUACAUCCUAUACCAUUCACAUAAGAGUAAGCCGAGCACGAACAAUUACUUAGACACCAACUUUGACAUUCUUCUGCGUCUGCUGGGUCUGGCAAAUAAGUGGCGGAAUUGGGCAAUUUCAUGUGGCUCAUCUUCAUGAAGAUGUCUUCUUUUACUGUUACUGGACCGGAGGUGCUAGUGUUUCUCUGACAAUUCAAUUCUGUUUCCCUGAUGCACCCUCCUGUCCAGUUUUGUCUGUCCCAUUCUUCAUCAAAUCUUGGUUUAAACCCUUUUGAGCAUCUACAUAUAGGAAAUUUUAAUGAACUGCAAACACCGAAAGGACCACAAGUUCCAUAAAUUUCACAGGAAUUGGUCGGUGUCUCCCAAUUUGUUGACCAAGUGUAAUUUCCGUCAUCCCAAUCCAUAAGCUUUAUGGACCCGUUUGAUGAGAUGGAUAGAUAUGAAAAAUAAGAGUUGUUGUCAUUGCUCAUGAAGAUUUGUGAUGUUCCCUGCUGACUAUCCUGCAAAAGACUAAAGCGGCUCAUUAAUGUGUUAUCCAUAGUAGGUAUCCCGACAAAGGUUGACUUAUCCCAUUGUCCGCUUCUCCAAUAAGGAGUUGAUUCGUUCCAUGAGAAUGCCUGAGGUGGUGUCUCUGGCGUGAGUCCUAGGACAAAACUUCCAGAUGAGGGAUCAUUUUCGCUUUUCCAGGAAACCAAGUAUGCUUUCUUUCCUGUUUUGACAUUUAUUCCCACCUUCAUGUUUGGGAGAAGUGUAUCAGUGGGUUCAUCAAAGCUUCCCCAUAUUUCAUUCAAAUUUCUGUCUUGCAGAACAAAAUUUCCAUAGUCUGAAAGUGUUGCUACAGAAUUAUUUGAAUGGACUGUGACAUUGGUAGACCAGAUCAGGCUUUGCUGUCCAUUAAGAAGCUUCAGAUUUCUAUCGCUGCCUAUCGUCAAGCUCGCAGAUCGAUCCGUAUUUGCGAGUGGCUGAUCCCUAUUGGCCACCCAGACAACUUUGGAAGGAUUCAUGUUCUUAAACCAUAUUCCAACAUAUUGGUUUUGUGAUCCAUUAGGUGUGAAGAACCCAAGCUCGAAGAUUUGACUAUUGGACAACAGUGUCUGGUUCUGAAGAAGCGGCUCUGAUGCAGUUAUUUUAAAAACUGCUCUGCUUUGUAGUGCUUGAAGCAGGAAGAGGAUGAUCGAGAAAUGGAAGUACGCAUUCAUUGGAGCAACUCAAAGACAAGAAGAAUCAAGUCGUACCGUUGAAUUUGAAAGAGAUGAUAUUGGCCUUCAGAGCUUCACUGUUUUGGUAGGCAGAUCAAAAUGGACAAAACACAGGAUUGCUCCAGAAGCAAGGUUUGUUAACCAAGCAAGGCUUGUUAACCAAGCUAUAAUCCAGAAGCAAGGAUUGACAUCUUUAGGAGGUGACAUAUAAUCCUCUAUCCUCAAAUUUUAAAAAUAUUCCCUUCCAACUACCAAUAGAUCUGACCCCCAAGGGAACAAAAUUAGAGAAUAGAUUGUCUAGCAAGAGGUUUCUUAGAAGAUACGGCAAACGUACUGGUCGGGUUUGGUUUCGGUCCAUGUGCCUCUAUGUUAAAUUAUGUCUCAAGUUUGAGCGUUUACAAAACAUAAUCCGUUUGGAUAAAAUUUUUAUUAUUUGAUUGUGAAGAUAUUUUUCUGAUGAAUAUAAUAUUCAAGAUUAUGCACAAGAAAAGAAAUUCGAAAUUCUUUUUAGGUCUUGAAUGUUUUCUAUCAACAAAAGAAGCUUCAUUGAACUCCAUGAAGGUUUAUAAAAGAGGAAAUAAAAUAGAAUAAAAAAAAAAGGAGCAAAGUUUCUUCUUUAUCUGGAGGAGUCAAACAAGGUCAUCUACAUGGGGCCCAAAGUCAAAGUCUUGACUUUGGGCACACAAUAUAUAUAAAAUAAAGGAAAAAUGAAUGGUUUCUUCACCUUACCCACAGCAUCGCACUUCCCACUGAAGAAAGAAGCACAUGAUGGGUACCAGAGUCAAAUUUGUUGACUGUGGACACACAUAUAAAACCAAAUGCGUCUUUCGUUUCUUUUAGAGGGAAGCCACUGAAGCCUUACGAAAGAAAUAAAUAAAGGAAAAGAGGAAGAAAACGGAAGGGUUUCAUCACCUUACCGGCAGCGUCCCACUUCCCAUCGAAGAAAGAAGCACAUGGUGGGGCCAGAGUCAAAGUUGUUGACUUUGGGCACACAUAUAAAACCAAACGCGUCUUUUGUUUCUUUUAGAGGGAAGCUGCUGAAGCCCUACGAAAGAAAUAAAUAAAGGAAAAAGGAAGAAAAGUGAAGGGUUUCUUCACCUUUCCAGCAGCGUCCCACAUCCCAUUUAAGAAAGAAGCACAUGGUGGGGCCCAAAGUCAAAGUUGUUGACUCCGGGCACACAUAUAAAACAUAACUUGUCUUUUGUUUCUUUUAGAGGAAAGCCUUUGAAGCCCACAAAAGAAAUAAAUAAAGGAAAAAGGAAGAAAAAUGAAGGGUUUCUUCACCUUACCUGCAGCGUCCCACUUCCCAUUGAAAAAAGAAGUACAUGGUGGGGCCUAGAGUCAAAGUUGUUGACUCUGGGCACAUAUUAUAAAACAAAACGCGUCUUUUGAUUCUUUUAGAGGGACGACGUUGAAGCCCUAUGAAAGAAAUAAAUAAAGGAAAAAGGAAGAAAAACGAAGGGUUUCUUCACCUUAAUUGCAAGUCCCACUUCCCAUUGAAGAAAGAAGCACAUGGUGGGGCCCAGAGUUAAAGUUGUUUACUCUGGGCACACAUAUAAAAUAGAACGCGUCUUUUGUUUCUUUCAGAGGGAAGCCGUUGAAGUCCUACGAAAGAAAUAAAUAAAGGAAAAAAAGGAAGAAAAGGAAAGGGUUUCUUGUGGCAUCCCAAAAAUUCAAGACAAGCUCUAAGGUGUAUUAAAGCCCAUAAUUAGGUAAUGAAAUUACCUAUGGUUUAUACUUUAGCCAUUAGUUUUCUCUUAGGACUAAGUAAUAUAUGCUUGUGUUCAUGAUUUUUUUUAUUUAUUUGUUAAUGAGAAUAAUAUAUCCUUGGCUAUGCACCUCAUAGACUAAAUUCCUAUAAAUAAAAUGUUACAAGAUUUUGGCCAUGUGGAAUUUAGAACUUAAAAUCUAUAAAAGAAAGAAUAAAAGGUGAAAUUUGAUUUUUUUUAUUAUUAUUUAGGUUUGGGCCUUAGGCCCAAGAGUGGAUUUUGAUGGGCCAAGAUGGCCGGCCCAUUGAAGCCCACGAAGGGGCAGUCGUCAACCACAAGGGAGGCCGGCCCAAUUGAGGCCCAAGAGGAGUGGCCGGCCCACUUCUUCCAAUCCAAGCCCAAGCCCAUCUUGCAUGUGGCAUGCCAAGUGGCCAAAAGAGGCUUGCAUGCAUUGGCUUGUGGAGAGGCAAGUGAUGAUUGCAAAUGAUGGAGAUUUGAGGGAACAAAAAGGGGAGAGAGAGAGAGAGAGAGAGUGGCCGGUUGGGGUUUCCGUCCAAGCCAAAGGGAGAGAGAGAAUUGCGAGCGAGAGAGGGAGUUGCGCGAGAGAGAGUGAGGCCAAGAGAGGAGGAGAAGGAGCCGCUCGCCAUCCGUCCGCCCGUCACCGCCCAUUCGUCCGCCGUGUGCGGUCGUUCUCUUCAGUUUAGAGGCAAGUUGGGAUCCACUUCCUACUCUUGCAUGUGUUUCUUGCAUGUGUGUUUGGAGUGGUGUCAAAUUUUGGGUGGUUAGGAGUGAGAAACCGGAGCUAGUAUGUUUUGUUUGUUGAGAUAGCUUGCUGUUUUCGUGUGAACCGCCUGCACCAGAAUCUUGUGAAGGCUUGCAUGCAUGUUUCGAGUUAGAUUUUGACUUUUAUUCCUUCAUGAAAUUUGUAUCCAACAUCUUAAACUACAACAUACUAAAAUUUGGUACAAAAUAGUGGAGAUUUAAGGGGUCAAACCCUCAUCCUACGAAGACACUAGAUCUGGAACUGUUUUGCUGACCUUUCGGUAGAUUUGUGGUUGCAUGUUGAUUUUUAUCAAGAAUAUCUCUUCGACUUCUUCAUGAAAAUUGUAUAUAACAUCUUAAGGACUAACAUACUCAAAUUUUAAGUGAAAUGAGCAAGUGUAGCCUAGUGAAUCGACUUACUCUUGAAGAUGGUAAAUCUGGAGACGCGGUACUGGACACCCGAGACUUCAUGGACCCAUAUGGUGACUGUUCUUUGGAAAUUUGACUUAGAUACCUUAAUUAAAUUUGUAGGGGAACUCUUGAAGUAAAACAUAUCCAAAUUUCAGAGGAAAAGAAGAAUCAUAAGUGGGUAAAAACUCGGUAUUUCGGAGAUGACUACACUGGACGUUUCGGUGUGAGAACCAGAAGCUUCGGACGACUAUAGGAAGUUUUCUAAAACGAAUCUUGCCUAGAAGUCUUCAUGAAAAAUAUAAUUUAGUGUCUUAACUAUAACCCGGAAAAAAUUCAUAAUUUUCGGAGGUCGUUCGGGUAUUUUAAUCGAAUUAUUUCAAAAACUGCACAUUCUGUUUCUAUCCGAAAUUGCAUGCUGUAUUUGUGUGAAUUAUAUCUUUUGUGUGGAACUCUAUUGGGCAUGUGUUUUUCAUGAAAUCAUUAUCUUAUUGUCUUGUCUAUCACAUGCCUUGAUUUCAUGAUUUUUGAGAAUCAUAUGAAUAUUUAAUUUAAAUAUUUUCUAAAAUAGUACAAGCUAGAAUUUAAUAAACUUCAAAAAGGCAUGAUAAAUGAACUUCAAAAAGGCAUGAUAAAUGGACUAUUCUAAAUUGUACGAAUUCCAUGGAUUUUUUUGUUAUGAAUGAUUGUGUCUUGCUGCAUGUAUGAUGAUGAUUGGAGAUGCAUGUAUGAAUCAAAGGAUGGAAGUGAUUUUGUUUGCCAUUACAUCAUGUGUCAUGCUGAGUUGAGACCUAAAUUGGUGAACAUCAACAAUGAUAAAUGAGGAAACUGUUUGAGGCGGUUGAUAAUGCCCUGGGAGUAUCAGGAUGCCCGGGAUGGGGGGUGUCAGAUGCCUGGAAUGUAUAGAGAUACAUGGCUAAAUGGCCUCGGGAGUUUCAAGAUGCCCGGAAUGGUUGGGUACCGGAAGCCUCGGAGGUCUUUGCCCGAGGGGAUGCCUCGUGAUGCCAGUUGGGAUGCAAAAUGCCCGAAAUGUGGGGGUGCCGGAUGCCCGGUGGCCUUAAAUGGUUGAAUGCCAGAGGUUUUUCUCGCAAUGCUAGGAUGGGGUGCGAGUGGUAAAGUAUGGGAUGAAAUUGAUGAUCCCGAGAAAGAGUGAUGUGGUGAUCAAAUUGAAAAUUAAAAGUGGAAAUUGAAUCAUGCAUAUAUGAUAUGAUAUGAUAAUGAUUACCAUGGCAUGAUGACUUGCAUAUAUGAUAUGAUGAUGACUCGCAUAUAUGAUAUGAUGAUGAUCACCUCUGGCAUGAUGACUAGCAUAUAUGAUAUGAUGAUGAUCACCUCUGGCAUGAUGACAUGUAUGUGAUAUGAUUGUGAUGAGGAUGUAUGAUGGUAUUUGCAUGGCUUCAAGGUAAGUAGGCUUGGAUGCAUGAAUGACAUGUAUUAUGUUGCGAUUGUAUUGUAUGAUGCAUUGAGUGGUUAUUGGAUCAUUUACCUGCUGAGUGGUUGUACUCACCCUUUCGGGGACCAACAUUUCAGAUUAGCAGGAUGCCGCUCCCUACUGUCACGCGGGGCAGAUUUUACGGCCUUCCUUCAGAUGUAGAGGUCGAGUGUGUGGAGAUCGAUUGUCCCACCAUUCCUGGAUUGACAUUUAUUCGAGUUCAUGCGAUAGUGAUGUACGAUGUGGGCCUGGCUGGGGGCCCUGUCAUUCAGGAGUUUAUAUCCGUCCAUGUUCGUCGAGAAGGAGUGAUGCGUGGGAUGCUGCCGCCGCCACAGCCUGAUGCACUGGGAUGGGUGUGAGGGCCCGUGCGUGAGAAGUAGAAGCGGCAACUUUUUGGGAUGAUAGCCGACACUAGUUGAUGGGAGAUCUUGCACGAUAGACAUAGAGGGUCGAGUGUUUCUUUUUGGGGUUGUGACCGAGUGUAGUUAAAAAAUCUUGGCCUUUCUUUUGAUGUACCGACCCAAGAAAAAUCCAUUAUGAAAAUAUGUAAAUAAAAGUGUCUGGGCUCUAUCUUUUCUUAUGAUGUUUAGUGGUGUGCAAUUGUAUCAUGGUUGUUGGAGAGAGAGAUGGCGAUAUUCUAUUUUGCUUCUGCUAAUGAGUUGCGCUGGGACCGUUUUCAAAAAAAAAAAUGCCUAUGAUUUACAACGCUUCUUCUAAGAGAUGUAGCUAGUGUUCCAUUAGGUGUAGCGUUAGGUGCCUGUGGCGACCUAAGGUGGUUCGGGGUGUCACAUUUCUUCACCUUAUCGGCAGCGUCCCACUUCCCAUUGAAGAAAGAAGCACAUGGUGGGGCCUAGAGUCAAAGUUGUUGACUUUGGGCACACAUAUAAAACAGAACACAUCUUUUGUUUCUUUCAGAGGGAAGCCGUUGAAGCCCUACGAAAGAUAGAAAGGAGCCGCACGUCCACACACGUCUAGACUGAAAGUGCUAAUGUGAACAUCUAGAGGAGGGUGAAUAGGUGUUUAAUAGAAGUCUUGACAAAUAAUUGCGGAAUAAAACAAGUUGCAAGUAAAGUUUGAAUAAGGAUCAGAGUCUAACAAAUGAGCCACCAGACUUCUAGUAGAUGUUCAGAAUCUAUUAUGCGAUAAAACAGACUUCUGAAAUAACCUGUAAGUAUGCAAUAGACUUAAAUAAGAAGAUUUAAGGAAAGAGAAUGUUGCACACAAAAUUUAUAGUGGUUCGGCUUAGAUCAAGCUUAUGUCCACUCUCCCACGCUAACAGCCUUCUAGCUGGAUUCCACUAUGCGAUCAACAAGAGAUUACAACUUUGAGUGUAAACACUCAGUGGUAAAUCACACUAUCUCACUAAGUGACUCUUUUGGUAUUUCUCUCACAAUCACAAACGUUUAAGCUCAUGAAAGACAAGUGUAUGAUUGAAAUUCGCUCAAACUUUGGAAUUAUAAAUUCUACGCUCCAUCUCUUACUUGCUCCUCAGUCCUUGAUCUCCUUAAAUAUUUCUCCACUUCCAAACUAGCCAUUGGACAAUAUCUAGAGAAUCAUCUUCCAAUCUACUCAUUCAACAUAUUUAUAUCUAGAAGAUUUGGUAGCCAUUGAGUGACAAAAGUAGAAUCCCAAGUUGAUUCCGAUCGCCCAUAUAACUAGAAUCUUGGUUUCUAUAAAUAGAGCUUCUCCGUUUAAAAAGUUAUUGUCUUCAAUAUCCAAUUGUCACGUUCUGGACUUGUGUCUCAUUCUGGAUGUAAAGUCUGAGUGUGUUAUGUCUGAAGUAAAGUCUAAGUGUAUUCCGCCUGAAAUAGACUUUAUAAUUUGUACGUAAGUCUGAACAUAUUAUGCUUCUAAACAUAUUUAGCCUUAAAAUCUGGACAUAGUCUAAAUAAGUUCAGCUUCAACAUAGAGUCUCUCUUCUAGUUCUUCCAAGUAUAGACUUUGAUAAUAUUAUUUACACGUUCUAUCAUCUGCAUAGUCUAUUACUCAACCAUUAAACACGUUAGAAGCCUUUAAUUUAUUUUGUCAUCUUCAAAAUAUCAUAAGGGAUUUCCCUAACAUAGAUGCUGCACAAGCCUUGAAGAGGUAGAAAAUGUGAAAUUAUACGUACGUGGAGAAAAGACAGUUCUUGUUUUGGCGUACAUAGAGCAUUUUACUUUGAGCUUGAAUGUGCAGUAAUUUUGUGCAAUGAGUUUAUAUCCAAGUGAGUUGUUUAUUUACAAACACUUUGGGUUUUGAGUUAAAUCUAGAUGUGGGAAAUACUUGAGCGUGUGAGUGAUUGUAAACUUUGAUUCUCCGAUUAUAGUGGAUUAUUUAUUACUGACUCUCUCCAUGGACGUAGGUACCAAUACUCGGACUGAACCACGUAAAUUUCCGGUGUCAUUAUUAUUUCUCGUUUAUUUCUCUAGUGAUUUUGCGUUGAUUUUCCAACUCAAUCCUAAACAUUUGCCGCGAGGUCAAAGGCAGCGACCUCACGUGGCCUUUGGCCAAGGUUGCCAGUGGCUGACAAGGCUCACCCUUGUCGGCCAUGGUGAUGCCCAACCUUGACAAAUCCAGUGAGGCUCCACCUCGCCCAACCAUGGUGAGGGCAACCUCACUAUUACUGGGCAAGGCUCGCCCUCGCUAGUGGUUAGUGAGGGCAAGCCUCACCAUUGGCCAAUGAGGCUAACCUUGUUGGUGAUCAACUCUAGUCGACUGGCCAAAGGAAAGAGGGAGAAAGAGGAAGGAGGAAAAUAAAAGGAAAAUAAUAAAUAAUAAAAUUUUCGAAAAAAUAAAAUAUUAUUAAAAAAAAUUGUCUACAUCAGCAUCGGUUGGAUGGCCAGCACUAGCCAGUAUCCACGUCAACAUCAGUCGGCCAAAUUUGGCCUAAUGGACUAAAUUAGCACAAUUGAAAAAGAUUUAGGACUAAAUUGGCCAAAAAAAAAAGGUUUAUGAUUGAAUUGGAAAAAUUGCAAUAAGUUUAUGAUUAUUUUGAUAAUUUUCUCGCUCUCUAGCUAUUCGUCCAUUGGAGAAAUUUUCUCAUAUUGAGGAAGACAAAAAUUCUAGAGAAUGAAUUAUUACAAUGGUAAGAGCCACAAAUUGCCACGUUCAUUUCGUAUGCCCUGAAGUAAUAUCUCUAGAAUUGUUCAUCAUUUGUUAAAAUAUGUCCAAUUUAUUUUUCAGCUUGUCAGCUUGCCAACUUGCCUUUUAAGAUUUUUAUCUAGAUGAAAUUGACGUAUUAUCUAAUUCGUUCGAAAGGCCGCCUAAGAACUUAUGGAGUUGAGUUCCUUUUAGUAAUGGUAAUUGUGGCAACUUAGCUACUUUCAAUAUUAGGGACCUUUCUCCCUAGCUUAAAGUUGAAGAUCCCAUCAGAAAUGAGGUCCAAUAUCCAUCAACCUGGGCCGGAUGAUGCAGGAGCAUCAAUGUCCAUGAGGACACAGCAUUUUAGAUGAAAUCUAAGAAUGAAAACUCUUUCAACAAAGUCAAAGGUUUCCCUUUUCAAGUUGGUUUUCAAAUGUGAAUAGGUUUUAUAAUUUAACGUUUCUUAGUUCAAUGUUUCCUAAUUUGAUGUUUCAUAGUUUACUACUCCCCAACUUAAAGUUUUCUUUUUUAAUGUUGCCUGGUGUAAUCUUUCCUAGUUUAUGACCUAGCUCCUCAUAUGGAUGAGUUCGAAUACUGUUCCCCAUUUUAACUCACUUCCAUAUUGGGGUGUGUGAACCUUGUGGAGUCCGAAAACUGUUCCCCAUUCCAAUUGUCGCUUCCAGGGAUUAGAAGAGAUCACAGUAAGUUCCUCAUGGCAUAAAAGCAAAAAAAAAAACCACUAUAUUUCUAGGCCCACAAGUUAAUUACUAACUUUGCAGAUGUCUCCUUUUUGUAUAUUUUGAUUCAUAUGGUAAUAGUAAAAUAAUUGUAGAUUUACAUGAAAUUUUCUUUUAAGAUGCAGGUGUAAGAGUUUUCCUAAUGUGGACUAUAUUAAUUGAUAUUAUAAUUUACCGUUUUUACGGGGUUGGUCUAAGGUGAGACAGAAGGUUUCUUAAUUAGUCUAAUAUGGGACUAGCUAAUGUGGGCCAAGUUAAGCUUAACCCGUAAUGAGAGUGCCUGGUUGGAAACUUUUUAAAUAGUGCUUAAGUCUCUUCUCUGACCUUAAUUCUCACUAAUAUCCUCACAUAAGGAGCAUUUACCUAACACUAAAAGGUAAGGGGGCCGUCUCAUUGAAUCAGUGAUAUAGAGGGCAAUAAAGGAGAAUGACUUGUGUGUGGAUCAUCGAUUUUCCGCUUCCACGUCAAGAACGAUGGAUCCCAAAACAAGUACGAUAAUCUUUCCACUUGCUCAUCUAUGUUCUUGUUCUGAUUAUGGAGAUCUUGGGAAUACAUGGUUUGCAUCAACAUGUGGUAUCAGAGCAACCAUAACCCUAGAACUUGAAUGCAUAGAACUUUCGCCCUAUUUUUGUGAUUUUCGUAAUUUUUUGUUCAAUAAAAAUCAAAUUAAAUUGUAAAUUCGGACUAGGCUUGUCGAGACGAGCAAAUCCGAGGGCGGCACAUCGUUGGAGGAGGCCACACGCACCCCCACACGUGGCCAGGGCGUCGAAGACGCGCCCCACGUAUGUUCACGCGCCCUCAUGCGCUCCCACGCGCGGGGCGCGACUUGCGCAUGCAACGCACACGGGUGCUGACAUCAAGAUGACGUUAGCGAACCGACCUGACCCGACCCGACCCAUUGACCGACCCAACCCGGUCAAUUGUUGACCGAUCUUGUCAAUUGAUCAGACCGAACCGUUGGAUCAAGUGGUCGAGCUUGGAACCGAUCGAACCGCUACUGGUCGGACCGAUUUUUUACCAGCCUUUACGCCCAUGUGUGAGCUCCAUGCGCCAUGCACUCAAGCGAUGCGUGCGAGCGUGUGAAGGCUCCGAUGGGCGCGUGACUGGCGGCGUUGGGUUCAUAUGGUCAUUCUCUAUCUUGUGGUGUAUUUAUUUUACAUGUUUGGUGAUUUUAUGAAUGUGAAAAUACAUACAAAACCCUAAAUACAUACAUUUUUAGUGAAUUUUUGCAUUUUUUUUUUUGUAUUUUUCUGUGAUUUUGGAAAUACAAGUAUUGGUUUUAUAGGUAUGUUAUCACAUAAACAUUAUAAAAGUGUGAUUCAUAAGUAAAAAUUAAACUUUAUUGUGAACUGAAGAUGGCUUAAUGAGAUACAACCAUUAUGGGAUAGUAAUUGAACUAUGUAUUGAGAUGAUGAGAAACUGUAAAAGAUUAUGAAACUUUUGUUGCUCAAGCAUACUCCUUUACACGCAUCUCGAUGCAUUUUUGUUUCUUUUUAAUAACCUUCUAAUGAUGGACGUCUUAAGAACUCGUGACCAAACUUAUUAUGCUACUUAAUACAUUUGCUGAAUGUGGGUAAUGCAUGUCAGUUAAAUUAUUGGAUACUAUACCUAAACUCAUUUGGUCAUUUGUUAACGUCUAUCAAGUUAAACAUUUUUUUUAUGAUUAACAAAUAUGACAACAUUUACGCAGAGCAAUAGUAUCUACUGUUGUAGUUUAGAUAUUUGGUUCUGCGGUUUGACUCAAUUAAUAGGUCAUUGAUUAAAGCAAUGAUAAUUUGUUAUUUAAAAUUGGCUAAUAAAUCAGCUAUCAAGCUUGUUAAUCGAGGGUACCCUGUACUACUAUUGAUGUUAACUUGUGAGAGAUCCUCUAUAUCAAUAUUCUUCUUUAUGUUGUUCUGGUAAUCUGUAAUAUGGGUGCACAAGAGACGCUUUCUUUUAUGUUAUGAGAAGUUUCUUGUGUUGCUUUGAUUGAUGAUCUCAUUGGAGUCUAUUAAAACAGAUCAUUUAUAUAUAUUUAUGAUUGAUUUUCUUGGAUUGAUAAAACAAUGUAAUUAGCAUAAUAUAUUAUUUUAGUGAUAUAUUGCCCCUAUCACUAAAGUUAAAAUCACAUGUAUACGGUGUAUGUGAGAAAUAAAGUUUAUAUCCCUAAUAUGAGAGAACUUCAAGGAUUUAAUUUAGUAGUGACCACCAAAGUGGCAUACUUGAUUGGGUUUGAGGAAUAUCGAUCCCGUACGAUGAUUGGGAUGUCUCCUGGUCUAAUGCGUAAUCAUAUUCCCAAAAAAGGUGAUAUGUAUUAGUUCAUAGAGAGAUACAUGAUGGUGUGAUGGAGGAGUGAUUGAUUCUAGUGGUUCAUAUGCCCAAAAGUGAUGAAUUUACGAAAAUUAGAAUAUAUUCUCAUAACCGCUAUCAUGUGGGGAGUGUACAAUUGCAUGUCAUAUAUUCUGAUCAAAGGUGAUUAUAUGAUUUUACAUGUAAUUCUCUAGAUAUGUACUUGUACAUCAAGUUACACAGUGCUCACAUGAUGCUAAUUAUAUGCAUUGCUUGUUUUUCAAUCACAUUUUUUCUGUAAUUAAUAACUUUACUAUUAUUAAGGUUUUUACUGCUUCAAAUUUUAAGUUGUGGACAUAUGAUUUGCUACUUGGGAAAAUGGCAAUAGAAUUUGCUUAUUAUCCAUGAAGUAAUCCAUUAAGGAACAUUUAAAAAGUGAUUUACCAACUGACUGCACUUUUAAAAGAUAAUGGAAGCCUUAGUGGCUUGAAAUUAUGUCUUAUCUAAUACCGAAAUUAGGAAACAUCUGCAAAGAUUGUGUUUAAGUCCUAAUGAUAUAUACAUCUCGUAUACGAUUGAAAAUGUUGUUUCCAAAAGUUUUCAGUCUAAAGAAUAAUCUCACACAUGUUUAAAGAAAGAGCAGAAAAGUUGACAAUGUUAAUAUUUUGUCUAUUCUUAACAGUUAUCUAAAAACUUCUAUAGAUUAUCGUGGAAGUAAUGUAUGCAAAAAAUUUAUUUCAACAAAGUUAUUAAUGAUUUUUCUUCUGUACUUAAUUAAUAAAAGUUAGAAUUAGUCUUAAAUGUUAUCAGGCCUAACAGUGGUGGUAAAUAUUUUGGCAAGUAUGGCAAUGCUAAAAAACUUAAAUGAUCAUUUGUCAAAUACUUGGUAAAUUCUGAGGUAGUAACUUAAUUUACUAUGCCUAAAAAUCCUAACAAAAUGAUUUGGCUGAAAAGCAUAAUUGCACUAUAAUCAACAUGGUGAUGAGUAUGAUGAGUAAGACUAAUUUAUUCGGUCUUCUGUGAGUUAAUAUUUUGAAAGCAACCUUUUCACAUACAAAACGUGUUUUAAUACUAAGUGCAGAAUGAAGUGGUUGUAUCAGGAGAUCUUGUAGGGAAAAACGAUCAAUUAUACUAUAAGACUAUAUAGUCUAUUUGUGAGAGCAUGACUACAAUAUAUACUACAUGGUUGAUUUAGCGACUUAUAUAAAUAUUGUUUCUUAUCCUCAAUCAAGUAUAUGAUUAGAUGCCAUAAAAGGCGAUAUGUAAUCUAUAAAACAUCAUAGUGUUUGGAAACUUAUUGACUUGCUUAAAGAUCACAAGUUCAUUAGUUACAAAUAGAUGUACAAAACCAAAAGGAUUUCAAAGAAAGAUUAUGGAGUUUAAAUCGAAACUUGUAACUAAAGUUUUCACUUUGAAAGAGAGGUAGAUAGUUGAUAGUUAAUAAUGAAGAAAUAAUCAUUUCUUUCUAUUAUUUUUAAAUAUUCUCUCAGAGUGAACGCAACAUUAAUAGCUCAUAUUUUGAUAUGGAGUUAUGUCAAAUAAAUGAACACGUUGAUAACAAAAUCUAUAUAGUGCAACCGAAGGAUUUUGUAGCAGAUGAUUCAAGUAAACUUGUAUGUAGACUGAAAAAUCUUUUUUAUGGUCUUAAGCAAGUUUCCAAAUAAUAUUAUUAAAGUUUUAUAAUGUUGCUAUUUUGUUCAGUUGAGAACAAAAUAAUUCUAUAUAUAUACUGCAAGGUCAGUGGGAGGAAAUUUAUUUUUCUCAUAUUCUAUAUACACGAUAUUUUGCUUACAAGUAGUGACAUUGAGGCAUCUUUUAUCCUUUGUACUAAGGUUCGUAAGGAUUGUUCUCGCUAUAAAUAUUGGAUUUUAUUAAAUUUAUCUCAUACAACAUUUGCUUAUCAUAUUUUGGAAAAAUUCAAUAUACAUCAUUGCAAGCCAGGAAUUGUUCCUGUCAUUAAGUGUGAUGGACCAAAUCAUUACGUUGUCCUUAUUUAGAUAUUGAGAAAAUCUAGUUAAAGGGUGUACCUUGUGUCAAUGCACUUAAAAGAAUAAUAUUUGCUUAAAUUUGCACUAGACUAAAUAUCGUCUUUGUGACGGGUUUUUUAGGCAGAUAUCAGUCAAAUCCAGGAUGCAAUCACUGGGUUGGUGCCAAGAAAGUUUUAAGAUACUUAAAUAGAACAAGAGAUUAUAUGCUGAUUUAUAGACAUGUUCAAUUCUUGCAGCUAAUAGGGUAUUUAGAUGUAAACUUUGCCAACUGUUAGGAUGACAUAAGAUCAAUAACGGAAUACAUAUUUAUAUUAAUAGAAAGUGCAAUAAAUAAAAUUCCAUAUCAUCUUCUACUAUGGAAGCAAAGUUUAUAACAUUUCUUUAAACUGUUACUUGGGCUAUUAGGCUUCGAAACCUCAUUAAGGAGUUGACCAUUUUUAACUUUAUGGAUAGACCCAUACGGUUGUAUUGAGACAAUAAAUUUGUAGUAUCACUAAUAACAGAGGUCUCAAUGGAUCUAAAUAUACGGCAAUCGAAUUUUUACCAUAAAGAAAUAUUACAGAAAAGUGACGUUUUAAUAUAAAAUAUUUUCACAAAUGAGAUGAUUGCAGAUCUACUAACUAAAGGAUUUUGAUCUUCUAUUCUUGAAUGACAUAUCAUUAAUAUAAGUUUAAGAGUAUCAUGAGAUGCUGUUGUUUGGUGGAAAUUAUUUUGGCUUUACUUUAAUAAAGUUUACGUAUGUGUCCGUUAUACUUAGUAACAGUUUGAUAUGUAUCAACUUUUGCAUUGAAAAUAUUUUUGAAUGUGUUGUUAUUAUGUUAAAUAUAUGUUGAUAAAGUCUUAAGGUAUUGUAUAAACCUUGAGCAAAGGCUAGGGGCAUCCGGUUAUUAGCCUUGUACAUAUGUCUUGUUAUACAUUAAAAAAAAAAGUUAACAGUAAAGAUUGUUAGAGAAAACUCCUUUAUUAUUUUGAAGCUAAUAAAACAUUUCCAAAAGUCUAGUCUGAAGACUUCUAGACUCAAGUGUAAUAGUCUAAAGAACUUCAGACUCUAUCGUCAAAGUCUGAAGACCGCCAGACUCAAGAUUCAAAGUCUGCCCUCACUGACAAUUUCCAAAUGAAGAAUGAAGACUUAUCCAAAUGCCGGAUUAUCUUCAAUGAUUCGAUUCGUAUGGUUUUUGAAAGACCCUAUGGCUGGAUAAAGCAUUUACUUAAUUGAUUAUUCUUAUUGGAAUCCAUUCCAAAAUGAAGAUCUUUUGAAAGGCGAGCAAACUUGGAAGGUUAUACUUAUAGAAACCAAAUAUCCUAAUGUAUGGGCAAACAGGAUUGACGGGCUUUCAUCACUAAUCAUCCAACGACUCGAGAUCACCUUAAUUAAUUUUGUCUAACGGGUAGAUUGGAAGAAUUCCUCUGAAAAGUGCCAACAGUCGUGAAGGCAUAGAGUAUUUAAGGCGGACUCUCCAGUUGUUUGAUAUAAUGUGUGAAAGAAGAAUUUCAAAGUCUGAAUCUCUAUAGUUCCUUACUCUUUCAUUCAUCAAGCUCAAAUUGUAUACAAAAGAGAGAAACACAUAGUGAGACUUUAUGAAGAGACCAACAGAGACUCUACACUGAGAAAGUCGAAGAUCACAAGUUGUAAAAUCUCUUUUGAUUCAUAGUGGAAUCCAUCCAGUGAGCUGUCAACACGAGAGAAUGGAUGUAGGUUUGAUCUAAGCCAAACCAAUAUAAACCUUGCGAUUCAAUUUUCUUUCCUUGAACUCUUUAAUUUUACUCGUAGCUUUAUUUAAAGUUGAUUAUGUCCUUAGUCAAUUAUCUUCAAAAGACAAUUUACUUUUAUUAAGUCUUGCGAAAAAAAUUUAUUUACACCUAUUCACCCCCUCUAGGUAUUUGCACUAGCCCUUUCAAUUAGUAUCAGAGCAUGUGUGCUUAUUUAUUGAAGUGUUUUUACUUCUUAACCUAAAGAUCUAUGACUAAUAUUUUGGCUCCAGGUUUGGUUGAAGGCCAAAACAACACCAGACCUCUCUACUUUGAUGGGAAGGAAUACAAUGUUUGGAAAAACAAGAUGAAUGCAUUCCUAAUAUCGAAAGAUCCCAUAGAAUGGGAUGUAGUAGAGAAAGAGAUCAUUUCUAAAGCUACAUCAACCUCAGGGAAGGAAGUUGCAGAUGCUGGAGAACUGACACAAGUGGAAAUAACCAAGAGACAAGCUCUUGAUGCCAAAAUCAUCUACUCUUUAUAUUGUGCUUUAUCUCCUACUGAGUAUAACAGAAUUUCAUCUUGUGAAACAGCCAAAGAAAUCCGGGACAGGUUGCACGUCACCUAUAAAGGAAUUGAUCGAGUUAAAGAAACAAAAAUCAACAUCAUACUUGGACAAUAUGAAGCCUUCAAGAUGAAGCCAGGAGAAUCCAUCACUGAUAUGUCUAGCUGUUUCACAGAGAUUGUAAAUAGUCUAGCAUUUCAAGAACAGCCAAUCUCAGGACCGAUGAGGGUCAAUAAAUUGCUAUGAGAACUCUCCAAAGACUGGAACCGUGUAAAGACCUUUAUAAGAGAAACCCAAAGGAUUAUGCCUCUUUCUGUAGACGAAUUGGUUGGCACAUUUCAAUCAUAUGAAAUAGAGAAAAUCAAUGAGGAAGAAGAUCCCAAAGGUAAGAAGUCAAUUGCCUUAAAAUCUAAUGAUGAUUCUAAUGUUACAGAUUCGAAAGAUAACUUGGACGAUGAAGAGCUAGCACUCAUGAUAAGGAAGUUCAAGAAGUUGAACAGGAAAGGAAAAAGGGUUUAACUGGAAGAAGCAAGACACUUAAAGAUUUCAGAAGAAAUCAAAUGAGGAUAAUGAGAUCAACAAAGAUGUGAUUUGUUUUGAAUAUAAGACAAAAUGGGCAUAUCAAACCCAACUGCUCUAUGUUAAAGAAAAAGAAAGGAAAAGCAGAGAAAGUCAAAAAGGCUCUCAAAGCAGAGAUAUUGAGCAAUACAGAAUGCGAUGAAAGUGAUGAAGAGUAUGUCAACAUAUGUCUAAUAGCAAAUUUAGAAUCGGACUCAGACUUUGAAACAGAUUCAGACUCAGAUUCAGACACAAAAGUCGAGGUAAGUAAUUUAAAAAUUCCUGCUAAAGUCUCAAAGUAUAUAAAUGAACUAUGUCUUAGUCUCAAAACAUCUCUUAAAAGGAUUUUCGAGCUGAAGAGGGAAAAUUCUAAACUAAAGCAAUAGGAAAAUUCUUGAAAAGAAAAUUUUGAAAAUCUAGACAAAAGUUUUUUUGAUUUAAAAGAAAAUGCAAACUCUCUUUUGAAGGAAAAUACUGUUUUGAAAUAGGACAUUUCAAAUAUCACAAAAAGGUUUUCAAAAGGAUCUGAGAAGUUAGAAAAGAUUCUUUCAGUACAAAUACCUUAUUUUAACAAACCUGGUUUAUGAAUGAUACCAGAAAUCAUUCCUUUAAUUGAUUUUCCAAAAGUGAAAGAAAGAAUCAAACAAAGACCUAUAAAAACAUUUUACAAAAGCCAUUUUCAAAAAAAAAAAAUCUAAAACCUAUUGAUCGAUGUGCUCUCAAAUGUUUAAAGUGUAACAGCUCAGAACAUUUCGAGAAGGAAUGUCCCAAGGUUUGGAGACAUGUUAAGAGGGAUUAAGCAAAGACUGUAUUUGGUACUAACUCCCCUGAACCCAUGAAAGUGUGGAUACCAAAGAAAACUUGAGUUCUUCUUAUGAUUGCAGGUCACUAUCAAGAAAAAGAUCAAAUGGUAUUUGGAUAGUAGCUGCUCAAGACACAUAACAGGAUAUUCAAGUUGUUUUAUAAUGCUCGUGCAAAUAAAUGGAGGAAAAGUUUCUUUUGGUGGAAACAGCAAAUGAAUGAUUGUUGGAUGCGAAACUGUAAGGAUUGGAAGUCUCACAAUCAACAAUGUCUCCUUGGUGGAAGGUUUGAAUUACAAUCUUCUCAGCAUUAAUCAACUGUGCGACACUAAAUUCAAAAUUAAUUUCCAAGAAGGCACUUGUUCGGGAACUAAUAAAGAUCUCUCUCAAUAUUUCACUAGACGAAGACAUGGGAAUAUUUAUCUUCUAGAUAUAAAAUUAGAAAGCUCUCAGUGUCUAAUAUCAAUUCAAGAUGAAGCAAAUCUUUGGCAUAGAAAGCUUGGCCACGUUAACAUGAAGCAAAUUGCUAAGAUCUCCUCCAAGAAGCUUGUUCGUGAACUGCCCAACAUGACUUAUCAAAAGUCUGAAUUAUGCACACCAUGUGUAUUGGGAAAACAAGUUAGAAGUACUUUUAAACUUAUAAAUCAAGUUUCUACUAAUCAAGUUUUGUAGUUUCUGCAUAUGGAUCUCUUUGGACCAACUAGAACUCAAAGCAUUGGUGGAAAGAGUUACUACCUAGUAAUCGUGGAUGAUUACUCUUGCUUUACAUGGGUACACUUCCUGGCAAGUAAGUCUAAAACUUUUUCUUACUUUUCAAAAUUUACCAAGAAUGUUCAGAAUGAAAAAGGUUAUGUUAUUUCAAGUAUACGUAUAGACCAUGGAGGUGAGUUUGAAAAUCAAGACUUUAUAAAAUUCUGUGAUUAAUUUGGUUUUCAAUAUGUUUUCUCUUCUCCAUAUACUCCAAAGAAAAAUGGGGUUGUGGAAAGAAAGAAUAGAUCUUUGUAGAAGAUGGCAAUAACCCUUUUAAUUGAGAGUAAUAUUUCCUCUCGAUUUUGGGUUGAAGCAGUCUCUAUAGCUUGUUAUAUUAUUAACAGAAUAUUCUUGAAACCUAUUCUAGAGAAAACUCCUUAUGGGUAUUUAAAGGGAAGAAGUCAAAUGUUUCUUAUUUUAAUGUAUUUAGUUGUAAAUGUUUUUUUUUUGAAGAAUGCAAUUGAUUGUACCGGUAAGUUUGAAGAAAAAUUAGACGAAUGAAUUUUCCUUGGCUACUCAACCUCAAGCAAAGUCUAUAGAGUAUUCAACAAAAAGACUUAGUCUGUGGAAAAAUCUAUGAACGUCAAAUUUCAAGAAUCUAUGCAGAAUCAAUUGGAUCAUACUCAACUUGAAGAAUCUGAACCUACUCUAAAUGUCAUAAAGUCUACUUCCCCCAAAGUGGUUCAAACUUCUGAAGCUCAACAACAAGAUGAACCAGAUUCAACUGAAGUAGAGGAUCAGCAAAAUCACAAACCAACUAGCAACUGGAAGCAUAAGUCAAGUCAUCCUAAGGAAUUCAUCAUUGGCAACAUUGAUGAAGGAAUUCGUACCAGAUCCAAAAGGCAAGAAAAGUCUAGUGCUUUAGCACUUGUUUUUGAGAUUAAACCCAAAAGUAUAGAAGAAGCCUUGGCUGAUGAAAGCUGGAUUGAAGUUAUGCAAGAAGAGCUCAAACAGUUCAGCAUCAACGAUAUUUGGGAACUAAUUCCUAAACCUAAAGGUAAAUCUAUUAUUGGAACUAAAUGGAUUUUCAGGAACAAGGUGGACGAGAAACGAAAAGUGGUUAGGAACAAAGCAAGACUCAUGGCCAAAUGAUAUACGCAAGAAGAAUGGAUAGACUAUGACGAGACCUAUGCACUAGUAGCGAGGUUAGAAGCUAUUAGAUUAUUACUUGUUUUUGCUUACUAUAAAAAUCCCAGGUUAUUCCAAAUUGAUGUAAAAAGUGCAUUCCUAAAUGGAUUCAUCCAAAAAAAAAAGUCUAUGUGGAACAACCACCUAGUUUUGAAGAUCCAAGAAAUCCAAACUCAGUCUACAGAUUGAAAAAGGCCCUAUAUGGAUCAAAGCAGGCACCUUGAGCUUGGUAUGAAAUGUUAAGUAAAUUCUUAACUCAAAAUAGUUUUGUUAAAGGAAAUGUAGAUACUAUUUUGUUCAUUAAAAGAGAAUGUAAAGAUUUUCUACUUGUUUAAAUGUAUGUUGAUGAUAUUAUAUUUUGAUCACCUAAUGAAAAUCUAUGCAAGAAAUUUUCUAGAUGCAUGCAGGAUGAAUUCAAGAUAAGCAUGAUGGGUGAAUUAACUUUCUUUCUAGGAUUACAAGUUAAACAAUCAAAGGAAGGAAUUUUCAUUCACCAAGAGAAGUAUGCAAAGGAUCUCAUCAAGAAAUUUAGAUUGGAGAAUUACAAAAAGACCGAUACACCUAUGUCAAGUUUUUCGAAGCUAGACAAAGAUGAAGAAGGAAAGAGUGUAAACCAGAAGUUUUACGAGAGCAUUAUUGGUUCGCUUCUUUACCUUACUACAUCUAGACUUGACAUUUUGUUUAGUGUUUGUAAAUGUGCUAGAUUCUAAUCAAAUCCCAAAGAAUCUCAUUUAACUACUGCAAAGUGCAUCAUCAAAUACAUUUCAAGUACUCCAAAGCUAGGUCUGUGGUAUCCCAAGGAAAGAGACUUUACUCUCCUUGGAUAUUCAAACGCAAAUUUAGUUGGAUGCAGAGUUGAUAGAAAGAGUACUUUUGGUACAUGUCAAUAGCUUGGCAACAAGCUAGUAUCUUGGUUUUCAAGAAAACAUAAUAUCGUAACUCUUUCAACAGCUGAAGCAAUAUGUAGCUCUUGGAAGUUGUUGCUCUCAAAUUUUGUGGAUAAGGCAACAGUUAAGAGAUUUUGGUAUUGAAGAAUCAUGCACCAAGAUCAAAUGUGAUAACACCAGCACCAUCAAUCUCACAAAGAAUCCAAUUCUUUGUUCAAGAGCAAAGUAUAUAGAGAUUCGACAUCACUUUAUUAGAGAUCAUGUUCAGAAUGGAGAAGUUAUGAUUCAGUUCAUUGACUCAAAGAAUCGGCUGGCAGAUAUAUUUACAAAGCCACUGAAGAAAAGCUUAUUUGAGUCUAUUCGUGCCAAACUGAACAUCAUAUCUUUUACCAGGUAAAGUCUGAAGGUGUUCAGACUCAGAAUGAUCCAAAGUUACAACUGUAAGUUAAUUCUUUCUAAAUGCAUGUGAUUUUAUUUUUGGAUAAAUUUUUGAAAAGGUACGUUGAUUUUUCGAAUUGUUACUUGCCUAUUUUACUUUUAGAAUUUAUCUUUUUCAAGUUUUGAAAUUAUGGCAGUUUUUCAUUUUCAAAAAGGCAGUUUUUACUUUUUCUUUUGUGAUGUUUCAUAUACCCAGUUUCACUUGCUAUAUAUAUUAUCGAUUUUCAUCUUCUCCGUUUUCACUUUCAAACCCUCGAAUACAAAAAUCCUACUUGCUCUCACUUUCUCUCUAGUUUAAUCCAAAAAAUUUCGCAUUUUUUCACGAGCAAGUUCGAGAAUUUCCCCAAGAAAGUGACAAUGUCUUCCCAAAGAAAGUCUUCUAGAAUCACAAGCAGGGGACCACAGCAUAUGCAUGAGGGUCCUACGCACUUCGAUCUGACUAAAAAAGAAGACUCUCCUCAACAGUUGUCACGACACGAACCUUGAGCACGUGUCCAUCCCUCUACCGUCGAUAAAAUUUUGCGACUUCCCAAGACGAGUCGCCAACCCUUUUCUUUUUAUUGCACAUGCGAAAGCGAAAAUAUAAAUCUCCUAACAGUAACUAUCUCAAAAUAAAAAAAGUAGGACAACAAAUUCACAAACAAACAUGCUUUUAUAUAUACAUUGAGUCAUGUACAAAAGUCUAUGGCCAAAAGACUACAAAAGACUAGCCUUCCAAAAAGAAGCGGUUCUAACUAACCUACACUUCCGAUCACCUCCUCUCAGAUCCAGAUCCUCCACUUGACGACCCUGAAAAUGGUCAUACAAUAACCAAUGAGACAAUGUCUCAGCAAGUCCAUGCUCUAAAUUCCGAUUAUGAGGGAAAUACGCCUAGAAGCGUCCUAAUCACACAAUCAUAGAAUCACAGAGGCUUACCUUGGCCUCAGAUCCACCUUGCAGAUCAAUACAGUUUAUAACUUAGACAGCAUGAAAGCAUGAGCAACAACUAAGCUCAAUUAACUGGAACGCCACAUUGAAAUUCUCAAAUAAGCACAGGAGUCCUUAUUAUAAGGCCAAAUCGUUAUGACACGUCACAUACCAUGCCACACAAUUUUGUCCUAUAAUCUGGCACAUUCAACUCAAUUAUACAUGCAUUCCUAGUUUUGAUCUCGGUAUAUAACAUGGCCUACUCUCUAUUCGGCAGUCUCCUAGCAUUGCCAGGCUUCGUCUCACCCCAUUGAGCACGACACGUCUCUUUCAGACAACUUUCCCGAAGGAGCAUAGGGUCCAGAAUUUACUGCAACCGGCUUCCCGUUGUCUAGGGGUAUCCUAAAUAGGGAUAACGUCCAGCUUAACAGCCCGGGAUGAUUUCUCUUAACCAUCACACGAUCACUCAAAUAUGGCCUAGGGUACCUUGCAUUGCACUCAAAUACUUCAAUUAAAAUGGUGAACCUGGCCUUUUUCUUCGUAUUAGAAAUACACAUGAAAAUAUUCGUGUGUGGAUACACGGUCAACUUGACCCAGUAAAAUUGAUAUCUUCCCAUUUAAAAUCCUACCGUUUUAUAUAGUACAUAAAACCAUUUUUUGUGUUAAAAUCCGACACCCGGGAUUUUUUGAAUAAAUAUUGGAAAUUCACAAUUUUUGGAAUUAAAUACCAAAAAUCCAAUCAGCACUCAAUUUGCAGAAAUUAACUCUCAAUUACAGAAAGUAACCACACCACUGCAAUUAGCAUGAAAUUCCGGUCAUCAGUUAUCCCGACCUAAUUUUCUGAAAAAUAAUUAUUAAUUAAUUAAUUUCGAAAAUUAAUUAAAUAAUUCUAUUUAAUUUCUAAAAUUAUUAACUUAGGCUAAAAUCACUAAAUUAAAUACCAAUACGGAUCCGGAAAAUUCCCGAACCCUUCUAGAUAAAUACUACGAUUUAUCUAGGCCUUAGCUAAACCAUUCUAACCACCUAACAUGCUCAAUUAAAUAAUUAAAUUUCUAAUUUAAUCUAACUAACCACCUAAUUCCUAAUUAAAUAAAUCUAAACAUCCCUUAGACGUCAUUAGCCUACUACGAAGAGUUUAGUGCAUAAGCUCACCGGUUAAUUGUGAAAAUCGGUUCACCGCGAUGGCGGCGCGACGGCGGCCGAAAUCCAAGUUUUCGGUGGCAUCGGCGGACACUCGGGCCGGGCCUGGAAUUGGCCCAACAAAUCUCAGCCCAAAUUGAGAUUUGUUAUCGAGUUGGACUGUGCUUGCUUUGUGGGCUUGGGCUUCAAAUGGGCCUGACCAAAACUGAAGAUGGGCUACUGAAAUUCACGGGCUGACUUGCAUGAAGAUGGGCUGCUUUCUUGGGCCAAAUUGUGGGCUUGCUGGACUGAAGCAAAGAAGCAGCAAUUUGUUGGGCUGAACUUCAGUGGACUGUGGGCACGAUGAACUCGCUGGGCUGCUGAACCGGUGGAAUGGGCUGCACGAAAAUGGAAGCAGGCUGGUGGCGCCGAAUUCGCUGGGCCGAAGACGUAACGGAAGUUGGCUCGGGGGCGUGCGGCUUCGCUGGCUUGCGGUCAACGGUGGAGCAGGGGUUCGCGAGUCCUCAAUGGCCAGAGUCGCUGGCUGCUGACUACGCGUGGAGAAGCUUCGCUGGCUUGGAACUUCGGUUUGGGCCGAGGAAGAGAAGACACGGCGUGUGGACGUGCUGGCAGGUCAACAAACGAACCUAGCGGAGGAAGCAAGUGUUGGCGUGAAGUGGCAGGCAGCAGCACGCGAAGAGAGAACUCGGUGGAAGUGCUGCGCGUGAGAGGAGAGGGAUCAACGUUGGGCUUCAAUUUGGAGGCUUUGAUGGGGUGAGUCUUCGUUCGUGAGCUGAGGGCUUCUUCGGUUGGCCGUUGAAGAAGAACACGGCAGGUGGCAAGGAGGAGGUUUCGGUGGAGGCUGAAGACGUGGAGAUGGGUUGAUGAAGAUGCAAGGCUGAGCUUCGGGUGAAGUAAAAAUGAAAGCAGGGCAGCGGGUUUCGGUUUUGAGGACAGAGAAGGCCAACGCAUUCAAGAAAAAUGAGGCCACAAGCUUGCUCGAGAAGCUUGAAAAGAGAAGCUUAAAGUCCAUGACUUAUCCCUUCCAUUAAUUACAUGUCUCCCCUAUUACUUUCUUCCAAGAUAAAGCCACAAAUUGUCCAACUUAAUGCCAAAAAUUCCAGCCCUUUGCCCAAAACCGAAUUUCACCACUUUAGGAUUAAUUUCUUCACUCAAUUUCCCAAAUUGAGGUCCAAUUUCAAUGAAGAAAAAUCCCGUGAAAUUUUCUACAAGUCCCCAACACUCAAAAGCUUCGCUUAGAAGUUCAAAUUUCCUUUAAUUUGGCCCGUCCAAUUUUCCGCUAAUUUUCCACAACGUCCGAAUCGAUUUUCCGUAAAAAUCUCAUAAUCUCUGAAAAUUUAUCAAAGGAUGAGUCGCCGUUUCUAAAAUAGAUCGUGACACUACAGAACUUUCAAUUUCUGAAAUCGGGUUUAAAUUCACGGUUAAUUUCACUUCAAAGCGAUUUUAGCGUGACCUAGUCUAUCGGGUAGCUUUUAGGAAUUUUUGGUGCAAUUGACUCGUGAUCGAUUUAUCUCAAGUCACAAUGUAUAUCUUCGACACAUUAGCGACUCUUGAUUGGGGUGGAAAGAGGGAGUUUCCAACCAAUUAGUGUGUCUGUUGCUCACGCCACUCUAGAACUUGUUCAGGACAUAUUUGUUGAGGGCAAAAUUUCCUACAAUAGGAUGAUUGCCUUUAAUAUCUUGCUUCACAAAAUCGUGAUCGACUACAUCAAGCCUAAAUCAACGUCAAAGACUGAUGUCUCUCACUCGGAAGCGAAAUUGAUGUACGCCAUCAACAUUGGUCAUAAGUUAUCACUGCCUCACACUAUCCUCAUGCACAUGUACAGGACAGUAGUGAAGGACAAGGGACAACUCCCUUACUCUGCUCUUAUCACAUGACUCUUCAGACACUUUAAAAUUCAUAUUCCUGCUUUUAUGUGUGUUAGAAGCAUUGCUCCAAUGGUGAUUGGACUGAAGAUGGUGACAAAGAUGCAUCUGAAAGAGCUCAACAAGGUUUUGAAGCGCAUGAAGGAGAAGUUCGCUGUCAAGGCAAAACAAGACUCUACAGCCCGAAAGAGAAAAGGCAAGGAACCAAUGAGUGAACCUAUCAAGAAGAGGAGAACACUCAUCUUGCAGGACUAAGAAGAUAAGAAUGACAUCACUUGUUCCACCUUUGCCUUAAGAAAUUUACGAAGUUUUGUUUUCAAGAGUCAAAGGACAAAGAGAUAAGAGAAAGUGAAAAGACAGAGAAAAGAGAUGAAGAAAGAGAAGAAAAGAAGAAAAGGAAGGAAGAACAGAGGAAGGAGAAAGAGGAAGAGAAGAAAAUGAAGAAGAGGGUCAAGAUGACCCUUUUGAGCCUACAUUGUUUGUAUCCUUGUCAAGUGACUCAGAGGAGACAAUGAGUGGAACUGCUGGAAAAAGAAAGGAAAAACAUCACUCAAAUGUUGAAGCAGAGCGAGAACAGGAAGAAGAAUUCAUUUCUCCACCUAAAGGCAUACAAACAAGGGGAGCUGUUGACAAAAGAGGUAUUUCUUCACCUACUCUUACUAGUGAUGUUAGUAUAUCUACAGUAUAUCCAAAGGAUGUGUAUGCCUCUCACUACCCUGAAGCAGACAUUGAGGCAUCUACUCCUCGUAAUGGUAAUCGAACUGCUGACGAUCCAUCAUAUCUCAAGACUCCUAGAACUGAUUCGGCUAGACCUAAUGCUGCACCAGAUCAAACAACAAACUUUUCAAGACUGUUGGAUAUCCUUUUGGAUUUGAAGAAACAGCAAUCUGGUUUAGAGUUUGAGAUGAAGGACCUCAAGAAAGCUUUCCAAGAAACUUCAGUUUCUUUAUAACAACAGCUACAAGCCCUAAAGACUCAAAUGCAAGAUACUGUCAAGGGUGAAGAUUUGGAGUAAUCAAAGGAGGCUCUAAGGAAGCUUGAGGAGACUGUCAAGUCUAUAGGGGAGUUCCGGCUCAUUUGAAUCCCAAAGCAGCCAUGAUUUUUACCCAACGCUUUCUAUAGUUUUUUUUUCUCCACUUUGCUGAUGACAAAAAGGGGGAGAAGUUAUACACAUUUGACCUAACUUAUCUUUAUCUUUAUGGGUAUUUGGUAUUUUUUUACUUGUUUGAUUUUGAUGAUUUUUUUGUUUGGACUUUGAUAUUUUUUGGCUUGGCUUUGGACUGAUAUUUCGGACUUUUAAUUGCUAUUAAAUCUUUUGACGCCUACAGUGACUAAGCUUGUGAUACCGAUUGUGGAUGGAUAGUUAUCUUAUCUUGCAGGAUUAACAUGUUUUCUGUGGUUAUAGAAUCGAUGAUAUCCAAGUCCUAAUCAACUUAUUUUUAUGAAAUAUCAUGUAUUGCUUAGUGUUGUUUUGCAGGUCAAAAGUUUUCAAAUUUGCAAGAAAGUUUUGUCACCAUUAAAGAGGGAGAGAUUGUUGGAGAAAACUCUUUUAUUAUUUUAAAGCUGACAAAACGUUUACAAAAGUCUAGUCUGAAGACUUCCAGACUCAAGUGUAAUAGUCUGAAGAACUCCAGACUCUAUCAUCAAAGUCUGAAGACCGCCAGACUCAAGAUUCAAAGUCUGUCAUCACUAACAGUUUCCAGACGAAGAAUGAAGACUUAUCCAAAUGCCAAAUUAUCUUCAAGGAUUCGAUUUGUAUGGUUUUUGGAAGACCUUAUAGCUGGAUAAAACAUUUACUUAAUUGAUUAUUCUUAUUGGAAUCCACUUCGAUAUGAAGAUCUUUUGAAAAGCGAGCAAACUUGGAAGGUUCUACUUAUGGAAACCAAAGAUUCUGAUUGUAUGAUCGAACGGGAUUGACGAGCUUUCAUCACCAAUCAUCCAACGACUUAAGAUCACCUUAAUUGAUUCUGCCCAAUAGAUAGAUUGGAAGAAUUCCUUUGAAAAGUGCCAACGGUCGUGAAGACAUGAAGGAGUAUUUAAGGCAGACUCUCCAGUUAUUCGAUAUAGUGUGUGAAAGAGGAAUUUCAAAGUCUGAAACUCUAUAGUUCCUUGCUCUUUCACUCAUCGAGCUCAAAUUGUAUACAAAAGAGAGAAACACAUAGUGAGACUUUGUGAAGAGACCAGUAGAGACUCUCCACUAAGAAAGUCGAAGAUCACAAGUUGUAAAAUAUCUUUUGGUUCAUAGUGGAAUCCAACUAGUGGGCCAUCAACACGGAAAAGUGGACAUAGGCUUGAUCUAAGCCAAACAACUACAAACCUUGCGUUCCAAUUCUCUUUCCUUGAACUCUUUACUUUUACUCGUAGCUUUAUUUAAAGUUGAUUACGUCCUUAGUCAAUUAUCUUCAAAAGGAAAUUUACUUUUAUUAAGUCUUACGAUAAAAUUUUAUUUGCACAUAUUCACCUCCCCUCUAGGUGUUUGCAAUAGCCCUUUCAAAGAUAAGGCAUAUGUGGGUUCAUUGGAAUCAUAAAGAUAUUCUCUAGUGACACCAGUUUUUUUGUGACGCUUAAGGUAAGAGAAUGGUGACUGACAAAUGGGAUCUUUUUAUAAGAGAUGUUAUCCAUUUGCCACACUACCAUAUUGAAUUCAUAUCAAUAAAGUUGAAAGCACUCGUGACCAUGGAAUGCUAUGUGUGUAUACAUGCAGUUACCAACAUGAUUCGGUGUUUGAGACUUUAUAGGAUGAGAUUGACUAUUAAAAAUCAUCUCUAAACCAAUGUGCGCACAUACAGUAUAAUUUUUAAUAUAGUCCAAGUGAGAAAAUAUAAAAGUUUUCCUAAUGUGGACUAUAUUAAUUGAAAUUGUAAUUUACCGUUUUUAUGGGGUUGAUCUAAGGUGGGAUAGAAGGUUUCUUAAUUAGUCUAAUAUGGGACUAGCUAGUGUGGGCCGAGUUAAACCUGGCUCGUAAUGAGAGGUUCUGGUUGGAAACUCUAUAAAUAGUGCUCAAGUAUCUCCUAUAAUCCUAAUUCUCACUAAUAUCCUCACAUAAGGAGCGCUUACCUAACGCUAAAGGGUGAGGGGGCCGUCUCAUUAAGCAAGUGAUACGAAAGGCAAUAAAAGAGAAGGACUUGCGCGCGAAUCAUCGCUUUUUCGCUUCCGCAUCAAGAAUGAUGAAUCCCAAAACAUGGACAAUAAUCUUUCUACUUGAUCAUCUAUGCUCUUGUUCUGAUUAUGGAGAUAUUAGGAUUACACGGUUUACAUCCAAUAGUAGGAACAUUCACUUGUAAGUUCAACGUGGAUGGCGACGAGGUCUUUAUCAAAGGAGAUGCUGCAACAGGUGAAAAGGUGGUUGAGAGCAUCACAGGAAACAUUUUCCCCACAAACACUUCUGUCCUUGUUUUUAGCUGCCCGAUCGUGUCAAUCUUAGAUGGUCCGACUGCAGAUGUGGCUUAGAUGGAACCUUCGGAGUCAUCAUGAAGAAGCAGGUCAACAAUUGAUGACUCCUAGCUAGGUAGACUUUGGAAAAAAAAAGAGUUGGGAUUUAUCAAAACUCAAGUGGACACGAAUCGAGUUCUAUGUGUUAAAGAAAACUCCGUAUUGUUUUGAAGCUAGCAAAACCUUUCCAAUCAGUUUAAUCUAAAGGAUCAAGACUCAUAUGUCAAAGUCUAAAGACUGUGAAGAUGUCAAGACUCUUCCGUCAAAGUCUGAAGACUGUUAGACUUUAAGCUCAAAGUCUAACCUCACUAACAGUUUCCAGAUCAACGAGAGAAGACUUAUCCGAAUGUGAGUUUAUCUUCAAGGAUUUAGUUCAUACGGUUUAUGGAAGAUAUCAUGGCUGGAUAUAGCAUAUUAUGAUCAAUUAUUCUUAUUGGAAUCAAUUCGGAUAAUCAGAUCUCUUGAAAGGCAAAGUAUACUUAGAAGGUUCUACUUAUGGAAAUCAAAAUCCUGAUUGUAUGGGCGAGCAGGAUUGGUGAGCUAUCAUCACAUUCCUUAAAUAACUUGAGAUCUCCUUGAGUGAUUCUGUCCAACGGGUAGAUUGGAGGAACUUCUUUGGAAAGUGCCAACAGUUAUGAAGGCAUGAAGAAGUAUAUAAGGAAGACUCUCAAGUUAUUCGAGUGUGUGCGUGAAAGAAAUAUUCCAAAAUCUGAAGCUCUUCGUUCUUUGCUUUUUCAAUCGUUGAGCUCAUAUUGUACUCAAAAGAGAGAACAAACAUUUGUGAAACUUUGAAAGAGUGUAGUAGAGUCUCUACACCGUGAAGUCAAGGACGUGAGAUUGUAAAAACUCUUUUGAUUCAUAGUGAAAUCCAGCCGGUGGGCUGUCAGUGCAGAAGAGUGGACGUAGGCUUGACCUAAGCCAAACUACUAUAAACCUUGUGUUUUUAUUCUCUUUCUCUGAACUUCUUACUUUAAUUCGUAGCUUUAUAUAACUACUUGUAGUAGUUUACAUCUUCAGUCUAUUAUCUUCUAAAGAUGAUUUGAUUUACUAAGUCUCGCGAAAAUUUCUAUUUACACCUAUUCACCCCUCUCUAGGUGUUAUUACUAACCCUUUCAAUUGGCAUCAAAGCUCAUGUGCUUAUUUAUUGAAGUGUUUUUACUUCUUAAGCUAAAGAUCUAUGGCUAGUAUUUUGGCUCCACGAUUGGUUGAAGGCCAAAGCAACACCAAACCUCAUUACUUUGAUGGGAAUGAGUACCAUGUAUGGAAGAACAAGAUGAAAGCAUUCCUGAGAUCAAAAGAUCCCCUGGAAUGGGAUGUAGUAGAAAAAAUGGAUCAUUCCCAAAAGUACAUCAACCUCAGAAAGAGGAAAAGAAAUCACAGAUGUUGGUGGAAUGACACAAGAAGAAAUAACCAAGAGACAAGCUCUUGAUGCUAAAGCCAUCUACUCCUUAUAUUAUGCUUUAUCUCUUACUAAGUAUAAUAGAAUUUCAUCUUGUGAAACAGUGAAAAAAGUUUGGGACAAGUUGCACGUUACCUAUGAAGGAACCGAUCGAGUUAAAGAAAUAAAAAUCAACAUCCUACUCGGACAGUAUGAAGCCUUCAAGAUGAAGCCAAGAAAAUCCAUCACUGACAUGUUUAGUCCUUUUAUAGAAAUUGUAAACGGUCUAGCAUAUCAACGACAACCAAUCUCAGGACCAAUGAAGGUUAACAAAUUGCUACGUGGACUAUCCAAAGACUAGAAUCAUGUGAAGACCUUUAUAAGAGAAAUUCAAAGGAUAAUGCCACUUUCUGUAGACGAAUUGGUUGGCACACUUCAAUCAUAUGAAGUAGAGCAAAUCAAUGAGGAAAAAGAUCCCAAAGGUAAGAAGUCAAUUACUUUAAAAUCUAACGAUGAUUUUGAUUAUGCAGACUCAGAAGAUGACUUGGAUGAUGAAGAACUAGCACUCAUGAUAAGGAAGUUCGGAAAGCUAAACAGGAAAGGAAGAAGGCUUAACUGGAAGAAACAUAAUGCUCAAAGAUUUCAAAAGAAUUCAAUUGAAGACAAUGAGACCAACAAAGAUGUAAUUUACUUCGAAUGCAAGAAAAAGGGGCACAUCAGACCCAAUAGCCCUUUGUUGAAGAAAAAGAAAGGAAAAAUAGAGAAAUUCAAAAAGGCUCUCAAAGCAAAGACAUGAAGCAAUACUGAAUGCGAAGAAAGCAAUGAUGAAUAUGCCAACAUAUGUCUAAUGGCAAAUUCAGAAUCAAACUCAGACUCUAAAACAGAUCUAGAUGUAGACUCAGAUGAGGAAGUCGAGGUUAGUAAUUUAAGGAUUCCUGCUAAAGUCUCAAAAUAUAUAGAUCAACUCUGUCUUAAUCUCAAAACAUCUCUUAAAAGGAUUUCCGAGCUGAAAAGGGAGAAUUCUAAACUAAAGCAAAAGGAAAUUUCUUGGAAUGAAAUGUUUGAAAAUUUAGACAAAAUUUUUAUUGAUUUAAAGGAAAAUGCAUAUUCUCUUUUGAAGGAAAAUAUUUUUUAAAUGAGAACAUUUCAAAUAUCACAAAAAGGUUUUCUAAAUGAUCUGAGAAGUUGGAAAAGAUUCCCUCAAUACAAAGACAUUAUUUCAAAAAAUCUAGUUUGGGAAUGACACCAGAAACCAUUCAUUUAAUUGAUUUUCCAAAAGUAAAGGAAAGAAUCAAACAAAUACCUACAAAAACAUUUUAUAGAAAUCAUUUUCAAAAAGUUUUUGUAAAAUCUGUUGACCAAAGUGCUCUCAAAUGUUCAAAGUGUAAUAGUUCAGAACAUUUCAAGAAUGAUCGUCCCAAAAUUUGGAGACCUGUUAAGAGAGAUUGGGCAAAGACUGUAUUUUGUACUAACUCCCCUAGACCCAAGAAAAUAUGGGUACUAAAGAAAGCUUGAGUUCUUUUUGUGAUUCCAGGUCACUAUCAAGAAGAAGAUCAAAUGGUAUUUGGAUAGUGGUUACUCAAGACACACAACAGGAGAUUCAAGUUGUUUUGUAAAGCUCGUGUAAAUAAAUGGAGGAAGAGUUUCCUUUGGAGGAAAUAGCAAAGAAAAAAUUGUCGGAUGUGGAACUGUAAAGAUUGGAAGUCUCACAAUCAACAAUGUCUCCUUGGUGAAAGGUUUGAAUUACAAUUUACUUAGCAUAAGUCAACUGUGCCACACUCGUUUCAAAAUCAAUUUCCAAGAAGGCACUUGUUUGGGAAUUAGUAAAGAUCUCUCUCAAUCUUUCACUGGACGAAGACAUUAGAAUAUUUAUCUUCUAGAUAUAAAACCAAAAAGUUCUUAGUGUCUAAUAUCGAUUCAAGAUAAAGCAAACAUUUGGCAUAGAAAGCUUGGUCAUGUUAACAUGAAGCAGAUUGCCAAGAUCUCAUCCAAGAAGCUUAUUCAUGGACUGCCCAACCUAUCUUAUCAAAAAUCUGAAUUAUGUACACCAUGUGUAUUGGGAAAACAAGUUAGAAGUUUUUUUAAACCUAUAAAUCAAGUUUAUACUAAUCGAGUUUUGCAACUUCUACAUAUGGAUCUAUUUGGACCAACCAGAACUCAAAGCAUUGGUGGUAAGAGAUACUGCCUAGUAAUUGUAAAUGAUUAUUCUCGAUUUACUUGGGUUUACUUCCUAGCAAGUAAGUCUGAAAAAUUUUCUUAUUUUUCAAAGUUUGCAAAGAAAGUUCAAAAUGAGAAAAGUUAUGUUAUUUCAAGCAUACGGACAGACCAUGGAGGUGAGUUUGAAAAUCAAGACUUUACUAAAUUUUGUGAUGAAUCUAGUUUCCAGCACGUUUUCUCUUCUCCAUACACUUCAUAACAAAAUGGAGUUGUAGAAAGAAAGAAUAGAUCUUUGCAAAAGAUUGCAAAAACCCUUUUAAUUGAAAGCAAUAUUUCUUCUCGAUUUUGGGCUGAAGUAGUUUCUACAACUUGCUAUAUUAUUAACAUAGUGUUCUUGAGACCCAUUUUAGAGAAAACUCCUUAUGAAGUAUUUAAAGGGAAAAACCAAAUGUUUCUUAUUUUCACGUGUUUGGUUGUAAGUGUUUUGUUUUGAAAAAUGCAAAUGAUCGAACUGGUAAGUUUGAAGAAAAAUCAAAUGAAGGAAUUUUCCUUAGCUACUCAACUUCAAGCAAAGCUUACAAAGUAUUGAACAAAAAGACUUAGUCUGUGGAAGAAUCUAUGAAUGUCAAGUUUCAAGAUUUUAUGCAAACUCAAGUGAACCAGACUCAACUUGAAGAAUUUGAACCGGCUCUAGACAUCAUAAAGUCUGCCUCCCCCGAAGUGGUUCAAACUUCUGAAGUUCAACAACAGGAAGAACCAAAAGAGUCAACUAAAGCAAAAGAUCAGCAAACUUUCAGACCUACUAGCAACUGGAAGCAUAAAUCGAGUCAUCCCGAAGAACUCAUCAUUGCAACAUUGAUGAAGGAAUUCACACCAGAUCCAAAUGACGAGAAGAGUCUAGUACCUUGGCACUUGUUGCUAAAAUUGAACCUAAAAGUAUAGAAUAAGCCUUAGCUGAUGAAAGCUGGAUUGAAGCCAUUUAAGAAGAGCUCAAACAGUUCAGCAUCAACGAUGUUUGGGAACUAAUUCCUAAACCCAAAGGUAAGUCUAUUAUUGGAACUAAAUGGGUUUUCAGGAACAAGGCGGAUGAGAAAGGAAAAGUGAUCAGGAACAAAGCAAGACUCGUAACCAAAGGAUAUACGCAAGAAGAAGCGAUAGACUAUAACGAGACCUAUGCAUCAGUAGCAAGGUUAGAAGCAAUUAGAUUAUUAAUUGUUUUUGCUUGCUAUAAAAAUUUCAGAUUAUUCCAAAUGGACGUCAAAAGUGCAUUUAUAAAUGGAUUUAUCUAAUGAGAAGUUUAUAUGAAACAACCGCCUGGUUUUGAAGAUCCAAAAAGAUCAAAUUCAGUUUUCAUACUAAAAAAAAAGCUCUAUAUUAAUUAAAGCAAGCACCUCGAGCUUGGCAUGACAGGUUAAGUAAAUUUCUAAUUCAAAAUGGUUAUGUUAAAGGAAAGGUAGAUACUGCAUUGUUUAUUAAAAAGGAAUGUAAAGAUUUUAUACUCAUUCAAAUUUAUGUUGAUGAUAUUAUCUUUGGAUCAUCUAAUGAAAAUUUGUACAAGAAAUUCUCUAAUUCUAUGCAGGAUGAAUUUGAAAUGAGCAUGAUGGGUGAAUUAUCUUUCUUUCUUGGAUUACAAGUGAAACAAUCGAAGGAAUGAAUUUUUAUUCACCAAAAAAGAUAUGCAAAAGACCUCAUCAAAAAGUUCGGAAUGGAGAAUUGUAAAAAGACUGAUAUACCAAUGUCAAGUUCUUCGAAGCUGGACAAAGACGAAAGAGGGAAGAAAGUUUACCAGAAGCUCUAUAGGAGUAUUAUUGAUUCACUCAUUUAUCGUACUGCUGCUAGACCUAAUAUUUUGUUUAGUGUUUGCAUUUGUGCUAGAUUUCAAUCAGAUCCCAAAGAAACUCAUCUAAGUGCUGCAAAACGCAUCAUCAAAUACGUUACAACUACUUAAAAGUUAGGUCUAUGGUAUCCAAAAGAGAAAGACUUUACUCUUCUCGGAUAUUUAGAUGCAGAUUUUGCAAGUUGCAGAAUUGAUAGAAAUAGUACUUCUGGUACUUGUCAAUUGCUGGGCAACAAGACAGUAUCUUGGUUCUCAAGGAAAUAGAGUAUUGUAGCUCUUUCAACAGCAGAAACGGAGUAUGUGGCUCUUGGAAGCUGUUGUUCUCAAAUCUUAUGGAUAAAGCAACGGCUGAGAGACUUUGGAAUCGAAGACUUAUACAACAAGAUCAAAGGCAACAACACCAGUGCAAUCAAUCUACCAAGAAUCCAAUUCUCCAUUCAAGAGCAAAGCACAUAGAAAUCCGAUAUCAUUUUUUUAGAGAUCAUGUUCAGAAUGGAGAAGUUUUGAUACAGUUCAUUGACUCGAAGAAUCAAUUAGCAGACAUAUUUAUGAAGCCACUGGAGAAAAGUCUAUUUAAGUCUAUUCUUACAUGACUGAACAUUAUUUCUAUCAGUUAAAGUCUAAAGACGAUCAGACUCAGAACAACCAAAAAGUGAAGACUGUAAGUUGAUUCUUGUUAGUAAUUUAAAUUUAUGGGUAAAAAAUUUGAAAAGGUACGUUUACUUUGUGAAUCGUUACUUACUUAAUUUAUUUUUAGCAAUUAUCUUUUUAGUUUUAAAUUAAUGGGAGUUUUUCAUUUUCAAAAAAGGCAAUUUUUUUUUCAAAAAUGCAGUUUUUACUUUUUCUUUAAUGACGAUUCGUAUACCCUAUUUCGUCUGCUUUAGAUACUAUAGAUUUUCUUCUUCUUCAUUUUAACACAAACCCUUGAAUACAUAAUUCCAUUUGCUCUCACUUUCUGAGAGUGCUAGUAUGAACAAAAUAAAGGAGUUAGGGAAGAGAAUAAGAACACAAUAUUUAUAGUGGUUCGGCUUAAUCCAAGCCUACGUCCACUCUCCCACGAUAACAGCCUUCUUGGCUGGAUUCCACUAUGCAAUCAACAAGAGAUUACAACUUCGAGUGCAAACACUUAGUAGUAGAUCACACUAUCUCACUAAGUCACUCUUUCGGUAUUUCUCUCACGAUUACAAACGUUUAAGCUCUCAAGAGACAAGUAUAUGAUCAAAAGUCGCUCAGACUUUGGAAUUAUAAAUUCUACGCUCCGUCUCUUACUUGCUCAUCGGUCCAUGAUCUCCUUAAAUACUCCUCCACUUCCAAACUACCCGUUGGACAGCAUCCCGGAGAAUCGUCUUCCAAUAUACCCAUUGGACAGCUCUGUAUCUAGAAGAUUUGGUAACCGUUGAGUGACAAAGGUAGAAUCCCAAAUUGAUUCCGAUCGCCCAUACAAACGAAAUCUUGGUUUCCAUAAGUAAAGCUUCUUCGUAUAGAAAGAUCUUGUCUUCAAGAUCCAAUCGUCAAUCAAAUAGAUUGAAUCAAUCAAAUCAAUCCUGAUGUGGAAUCCAAACCAAAUCACUAGCCGUUAUAUGAUUGGGCUUGAGUUACGAUUCAUCGAAUCUGGAUGUAAAGUCUAAGUCUGUAGACUUUACAAUAUGAGUCUGUAGACUUUACAAUCUGGGUCUGUAGACUUUACAAUCUGGGUCUGUAGACUUUAAGGUCUGUACCCAGUUCAGCUUCAGCAUAGAGUCUGUCUUCUGGUUCAGCUUCAGCAUAGAGUCUAUCUUCUGGUUCAUAAUUUACGUUCAGUCUGGAAUUUAUCAGAGUGAGCAGACUUCUGAUGUAGAAUAGACUUUGACACUAAAGUCUGGCAGUCUUCAAACUUUGAGUCUUGAGUCUGGCAGUCUUCAGACUUUGACACAGAAGUCUGGAAAUCUUCAAAAUAUACUCUGGACAUAUGUUACGUUCAGACUUCUAGCCGUCUUUUGACUUUGAUAAUAUCCUCUACAUGUUCUAUCAUCUGCAUGGUCUAUUACUCAACCAUCAAACAUGUUAGUAGCCUUUGAUUUAUUUUGUCAUCUUCAAAACAUCAUAAGGGAUUUCCCUAACACUUUCUCCCUAGUUUAUUUCAAAAAGAUCUCUUUUUUACGAACGAGUUCGAGAAAUCCCACAAAGAAGCGACAAUGUCUACUCAAAGAAAGUCUUCAAGAAUCGCAAGCAAGGGACCACAGCAGAUGCGUGAGGGUCCUACGCACUUUGAUCUAACCGAGGAAGAAGAAUCUACACUAUAGCAGCAGCAAAAUCAACAACAACAUUCUUAACCGCGUCAGUCACCUCAACACAGGACACAAGAUCCUCCACAGUAACAACCAAAAGAAGAAAUUAUGGAAGAGGUUAAACCUAUAAGAACACAAAAACCCCAAUUUUUGUUUAGACUCUACUCGAACUUAAAGACGGGUGGUUCUCCAAUGACCUUGAUCGAUGAGUUUCUGAAGUCAAAUGGUUACAAGAAUGAAACUUUUUUCUUAAAAACCACGGAGAGGUUAGGCAUUGCGCCUGUUGGAUCAGCAGCAAGGGCUUUUGCAAAUUUUCCUAGUGAUCCACAAUACGGAACUGUUGAUCAACCUGAAGGUAAGGACAAUGAUGAGAAGUUGUAUACGCAUUUUUAGCCAAGGUUGGGCAUCGCUGCAAAUGUUCAUGGCGAAAGGACAGACCUUUUUCGUUCUAAGGACCACAAGAUAACUUAUUCUAAACUGCUUAAGCGAGGGGUGAUGUACCCCAGAAGUGUUGAUUUUGUUUUCCUUGAUUCGUUGAAAGUAAAACUGAGGGAAAAGUUUGCACUACUUCAACUUGAAUGUUUUUGUUCGGAGACAACUGUUGCUCAUCUAGAACUUACAGCCCAUUUCUAUUCAAAUUUAUCCUUUUUAGAUGCUAAUAGAUUUUCAUUCAGUGUUAGAGACAAGGAUUUUGUGGUCGAUGUGGACACACUAGCUGAUGUGAUUGGGGUGGAAAGAGGGAGUUUCCAACCAAUCAGUGUCUCUUUUGCUCAUGCUACUUUGGAGCUUGUUCGAGAUAGGAUUGCUAAAGGCAAGAUUUCAUACUCCAGAAUGAAUGCAUCCAAUAUCUUGCUUCACAAGAUUGUGAUUAAUUGUCUCAGACCCAAAUCUACAUCAAAGAUUAAUGUCUCAAACUCUGAAGCAAAGCUGAUGUAUGCGAUCAAAAUCGAAUUCAAAUUCUCUCUACCUCACACCAUCCUUAUGCAUAUGUAUAGGACAGUGGUGAAGGAUAAAGGACAACUCCUUUAUGCUGCUCUUGUUACUAGAUUAUUCAGACACUUCAACAUUCAACCUCCCAAUAUUAUGUGUGUUCGAACCAUUGCUCCAAUGGUGGUAGGAUUGAAAAUUGUUUCCAAAAUGCGUCUGAAUGAGCUGAACAAGGUUUUGGAGAGCAUUAAGGUGAAGUCCCCUGACAAGGCUAGACAAGACUCUACAGUAGGAAAAAGGAAAGGCAAAGCUCCCAUGACUGAAUCAGUUAAGAAGAGGAGAACACUCAUCUUGUAGGAUGAAGAAGAUGAUGAUGAUCUCACUCUCUUCACUUUUUCCUUAAAGAAUUUACAGAGUUUUUCAGAGACAGAGGAUCGAGAGAAUAGAGAAAGGGAAGAGACAGAGCUGAGAGAUACAAUGAGGACAGAGGAAGAGAAAGGUAGAAUAGAAAGAAGAGAAGAGAAAGAAGAAAAAGAGGGUCAUGAUGAUUCUCAUGCAGAGGAAGAAGGACAACAUCACAUUGAUGCUGCAGAAGAGCAAGAAUGGGAAGAAGAGUAUUUUCUCCACCUGAAUGCACAAAAACAGGAGGAGCCGCUGAUAAAAGAGGUACUUCUUCACUUGCUUUCACUAGUGAUGAUGUUAGUCGUUCUCCUACCAAUCCAAAGGAUGUGUUUGCCUCACAAUUUCUUGAAGAUGGUAAUGAGGCUUCAUCUCUAAGUCUAGAUGUUCAUGCUAAGGUUCCAUCAUCUAUCAACACUCCCCAAGAUACACACGCUAAAGCGAGUACUCAAACUGACAAUACAACAGACUUUAGAAUACUACUCGAGCUUCUUGUAGAGAUCAAAGCUCAACUUCAUGGAUUGGAGUACGAAUUUCAUAACAUGAAGUCAACUCAUCAAGCCUCUUCAAUUUCCUUGCACGAUCAAGUUCAAGCUCUUAAGCUUCAAGUUCAAGCUACUGCAAAGGGUGAAGAUAUUCAGCAACUGAAGGAUGACCUGAGGAAACUAGAGGAGACCAUCAACUUUAUUGGGGAUUUCCAAAUCGUUCGUGUCCCCACACAGCCUUGAUUUUAUCUAAAUUUCUUUUUAGUUUUCUCCAUCUUUUUGCUGUUGACAAAAAGAGGGAGAAAGUGCAGAUUUGAUCUUGAUUUGAUCUUUUGAUGACUUUUUGUUUGACUUGAAUUUGGUCUGACUUUGAUGAUUUUGGACUGUUGGACUGACUGGUGAUUUUAUUUGUUUGGUUUGAAUAUUUUUGACUUGCAGCAACUAUGUCUAUGAUUUUAAUUAUGGAUGGAUAGUUAUUAUGCAAGACUAAUAUGUUUUCUGUGGUUGCAGAAUCAAUACUAUCCAGAUCCUAAUUAAUUUAUCUUUAUAAGACAUCACAUUUUGUUUAAGUGUUGCAGGUUAAAAUUUUGCAUAUCAGCAGGAAAGUUUUGUCAUCAUAAAAAAGAGGGAGAUUGUUAGAGAAAACUUCGUAUUGUUUUGAAGUUGACAAAACCUUUCUAAUCAGUUUAGUCUGAAGGAUCAAGACUCAUAUGUCAAAAUCUAAAGACUGUGAAGAUCUCAAGACUCUUCUGUCAAAGUCUGAAGACUGUUAGACUUUAAUUUCAAAGUCUGACCUCACUAACAGUUUCCAGAUCGAUGAGAGAAGACUUAUCCGACUGGAUAUAGUUUACCUUCAAGGAUUCAAUUCGUACGGUUUGUGGAAGAUAUCACGAUUGGAUAUAGCAUCUUAUGAUCAAUUAUUCUUAUUGGAAUCAAUUCGGAUAAUUAGAUCUUUUGAAAGGCGAAGUAUACUUGGAAGGUUCUACUUGUGGAAACCAAAAUCCUGAUUGUAUGGGCGAGCGGGAUUGGUAGGUUAUCAUCACAUUCCUUAAAUAACUCGAGAUCUCCUUAAGUGAUUUUGUCCAAAUGGUAGAUUGGAGGAACUCAUUUGGAAAGUGCCAACAAUUAUGAAGGCAUGAAGGAGUAUAUAAGGAAGACUCUCAAGUUGUUCGAGUGUGUGCGUAAAAGAAAAAUUCCAAAGUCUGAAGCUUUUAGUUCUUUACUUUUUCAAUCGUUGAGCUCAUAUUGUACUCAAAGAGAGAACAAAAAUUUGUGAAACUUUGAAAGAGUGUAGUAGAGUCUCUACAUCGUGAAGUCGAGGAUGUGAGACUAUAAAAUUUCUUUUGAUUCAUAAUAAAAUCCAACCGGUGAGCUAUUAGUGCGGGAAAGAAGACGUAGACUUGACCUAAGCCAAACCACUAUAAACUUUGUGUUUCUAUUCUCUUUCCCUGAACUUCUUACUUUAAUUCGUAGCUUUAUAUAACUGCUUGUAGUCGUUUACAUCUUCAGUCUAUUAUCUUCUAAAGACGAUUUGAUUUACUAAGUCUUGCGAAAAUUUCUAUUUACAUCUAUUCACCCCCCCCUCUAAGUGUUAUUACUAGCCCUUUCACUAUGUAUGCUCCUCCUAUACCUUUUUUUCUAGAUGCACAUAUAAUGCAGAGAAACAAUGUCUAUUCUUUAAUCGAUUUUCUCUGCAUGUGAAAAAGGUACGAGAGGAGUAAACAUUGAACAUGACUUUUGUUUAAUCAAGUUUCGGUAAAUCCCAACAUUUCAUCGAUUGUCAAUCUGAUUCUUCACAACUCCACCGAAGAUCCAAUCUGAGCCAAAGUUGUAGGGGGACUGUCUACAAUCGACGCAACCAGGCAACUGAAAACAGGGAGAGAAGUGUCCAGGAGGACGAAAGUUUUCCUGGUUUGCUCUCAACCACCUUCCAACCCAUUCCAGUAUCUCCUUCAAUCAAGAACUCGCCAUCCAUAUUGAAUUUACAAUUGAUAGCUGCUCAUCCAAAAGGAAGUUUCAGAAUAUGUGAUGGUUUUUUAAUGUUGGGCUUAAGGCCCGUCCGCCCAUGUUGGGCCUAAAAGCCCGACCCACAAGAGUAGGGCCCAUGGACGAAGGGGCACGAUUAAUUGUUUUUUUGGAGGGACAUAUUGUGACACUACUCGACGGCCCCCGAUCCGAUUUGGGUCGCCACAGUUCGCUUACCUUUCACUUUCCUUAUUAACAUAUCACUCUGAUACCGUUUCUAUUGUAGCGGGUCCAUACAACCAUGGGGGUUUACAUCUAUUAUUAACGGUCCCUUGCGCAAUUUACAUAACGGAAGCAUAUCCAACAAUUCCCUUCCCUACAUUCAGAAAUUGAUGCACACCAACUAAACAUUUAUAGGUAAAAGCCGUACACUUUUAUUUACUUAAAUCAGAUGGACAUCAUUCAUCGGUACAUCAAAAUGCCGUAGUCUUUUAUAUUCGGCUACACUCCAAAAGAUGACCGACAUUUCCUCAAACAGUCAUACACUUUAAGUCCAUCGAUCCGUGUCAGCGUCCAAAAGCUCCUUCCAUUGUUAUCCUCCUCCUCACGGUCACAUCCAACCGUUCAAACCAUCUACUAAUCUGAAAUGUUGGUCCCCAAAAGGGGUGAGUACAACCACUCAACAGAUAAAGGGAUCCAAUAACAACUCGAUGCAUCAUACAAAUCAUACAUGCAUUGCAGGCAUAACUUACCUUGCAGCCAUGCGUAAUACUAUCAUGCAUCAUCAUGCCUUAUCAUCAUGCAUAUCAUAUCAUCAUAUGUCAUCAUCAUAAUCAUCAUCAUGGCAUCAUUACAUCAUACAUGUCAUCAUUAUCAUGACAUCAUCACAUCAUAUAUUAUCAUCAUCAACGUGCAUAUCAUCAUGCAUAUCAUACCAUGAGUGAUCAUCAUAUCACAUCACAUGUCAUCAUGCAUAUCAUACUAUGGGUGAUCAUUAUCACAUCACAUAUCAUCAUCAUCAUCAUGCAUAUCAUCAUGCAUAUUAUACCAUGGGUGAUCAUCAUAUCACAUCACAUAUCAUCACCAUCAUCAUGCAUAUCAUACCAUGGGUGAUCAUCAUAUCACAUCACAUAUCAUCACCAUCAUCAUGUAUAUCAUCAUGCAUAUCAUACCAUGGGUGAUCAGCAUAUCACAUCACAUAUCAUCACCAUCAUCAUGCAUAUCAUCAUGCAUAUCAUACCAUAUCAUGCCAUGAGUUAAUUUUCAUCUUUAUCUUUAAAUUUGAUCACCACAUCACCCUUCCUCGAUUCAUCAAUUUCAUCCCAUAUUUUACACUCGCAUCCCAUGCGAGAAAAACCUCCGGGCAUGUAUCCAAGAUACAACCGGGCAUCCGGCCCCCCACAUUCCGGGCAUCUCGCAUCCCAACUAGCAUCACGAGGAACCUCCGGGCAUGUAUCCAAGAUACAACCGGCCAUCUGGCCUUUACCCUUCUAGCCAGGCAUCUCGCACCCAAAUCCUGGCAUCGCGAGGCAUUCCCUUCGGGCAAAGACCUCCGACAGAGCUUCCGGAAUUAUGUACCGACAUACCACCAGGCCUCCCCUGGAAUUACGUACCAUAUACCACCGGGCAUCCCGACACUCCCGGGGAAUCUCCGGAAUUAUGCCACUAGGCCACCGAGCAUCAUCAUCCACAUAUACCAUUUCUUUAUUUCAAUUUAACAUGGCAAUUGGCAUGGUAUCAAACGAAUCACAUUUGACAUGGAAUUCACACUUGCAUCUCAAUUCAUAUGUCAUACACAUGCCAAAACUUUAUCCCAUACACAUCUCAAUUCAAUACAUGUACAAGGACCAUGUCAUACGCAUACCAAGACUUUAUCACAUAUACAUCUCAAUCCAAUACAUGUGCAAAGACCUCAUCACACAUAUGCCACACAAAUAGAAUUGAAUCCAUGGCCAAAUAAAAAUCCAUUUUAUUUUUUUAUUAUUUUAUUUUUUUAUUAUUAUUUUAUUUUUUUAUUUGAUAUCAAUAAUUUCCCAAAAUUACAAAAAUCCAAGAAAUUAUUAAACAAACCCAUAGGAUGAUAUUUACUUGCAAAAUUCAUGGCCAAUAUGAAUUUUUUACCAAAUUCCACAAUUUUCCAAAACAUCCUAUGAUUCUCGGAUUUAAACCAAAUGCACAGUUUUCGAAUAAAUUAAAUUAAAAUAUCCAUUCGGCCUCUAAAAAUUACGAAAUUUUACAGGGUGAUAGCCAAGACAUUUUCGUGCAUCUUUCAUGUAGAACUCCAAGUCAAAUUCCUUAUAGAUUAUUUUAUUCAACCUCACGAAGCUUCUGGAACCCUUACUGCAUCGUCCAGAAUACACAUCUCCGAAAUAUUAAGAUUUCACCCAUCUAUUCUCUUUAGUUUCUUCUGAAAUUCGUAUAUGUUAUGUAUCAAGGUGUCCUUUACAAUUUUCAUGAAUAGAUCUAGGUCAGAUAACCAAAUUAUGGUCACCAUUUAAGUCCAUCAAGUCUCGGGUGUCUCGGAACACAUCACCAGAAUCAUCAUCUCCAAGAUCUAGUCGAUUAACCAAGAUAUACUUGUUAUUUUCACUUAAAAUUUGAGUAUGUUGUAUUUUAAGAUGUUACCUACAACUUUCAUGAAGACAACGAAGUCAGAUUUUCAUCACAAACCAAUAUGCAACCAAGAAUCCAACAAGAAGUCAGUGAAAACAUCACAGAUCUGGGGUCUCCGUAAGAUGAAGCUUUAACCCCUUAAAUCUCCAUAAUUUUCCACUAAAUUUCAGUAUGUUAUACUACAAGAUGUUAGCUACAACUUCCAUGAAGAUAUAGAAACCAAAAUCGGUCUUCAAACACACAUGCAAGCUCAAACAAGUUUCUGACUCCAAACAGUUCAUGCGAAAACAUUGGUGCAAGAGUAGAAAGUGGAUUCCCAACUUGCCUCUAGACCUCACGGACAGCACGAGCGGACGGCACAUGGCGGCGAACGGGCUCCUUUCUCUCCCUCUCGGCUUCCUCUCUCUCUCGCACGAUUCUCUCUCUCUCUCCCUCACUUGGCCGAAUGGCUAACCAGCCAUUCUCUCUCCUUUCCUUCCCUUUUAUAUUGCAUGCAUUCUAGGUUUGCAUGAGGGACAAGUGUUCUCAUGAGGAGAACAAGUGGCAACAAGGAGAGGACAAGUGUUGGAUGACAUGCAAGGUUAAUGGGCCUUCUUCUUGGGCCAACCUUGGGCCAUCAAAUGGGCUGGUCGACCACUCCUUUUUGGGCCUCUAUUGGGCCGGCCAACUUGGCCCAUUAAAAUCCACCUUUUGGGCUUAAGGCCCAAACCUAAUUUAAAUCCUCAUUUCACCUUUCAAUUAUUCAUCUUUAAUUCUUUCUUUUAAGAAUUUAAUUACUAAAUUCCACAUGGCCAAAAUCUUGAAAUCAUAAUUCCAUAAAUCCCAAUUUAUAAAACACAUGGCCAAUGAUAGGAUUUUCUUUCCUAUCACAUAAUUAUCCCUUAAAAGCUUGGCCAUAAAUCUUAUUAUAAAUUAUGGAUUAAAUUGCCAUAAAAUAACUUGAUGGUACUUCCAUCACCUAUUCAUAGACUUUAAUGUAACUAGAGGUCAUUAUGAAUUUUGGGAUGCCACACAUAUAUAAGGGAGGAGAGAGAGGGAGAACGCACAUUUUGACAUUACGUACGUUCCUUCCUCCCUCUCUCCCUCCAAAAGGAACAGUAAGUAAAAAGAGGCGACGCCGUCUUCCCUUCAAGCGAAUUGGCAUCAUCGGAUCGAACAGGGCCAACUUCUCUUCCUCACUUCAACAAUUGUGUUUGAUCUGUGGCUAACAAGGUACGCUCGAAUCCGUGGUGUGCUUUAGGAUCGGUGAUACGUGAUUUUCCCGAGCUUCGUCUUCCGCAUUCAGUUUAGGGGUUCGAUUUAGUGUCGAAUCCGGUUUUUGGGGAUCCAUUAAUAUCAACAAUAUACAAAAAGGAAAAAACUUAAAAACUCAGUAAUUCGCUCCUUCGACUAUAUUGAGGUAUUUUUAUGCCAUCACGAACUUACUUUGAUCUCUUCUAACCCUUGGAAGUGACACCAGGAACAGGUAACAGUCUCCGGACUCCACAAGUUUCGCAUGCCCCGUGAUGGAUGCUGUAAGCCCCACGUUCGCAUUCCUGACCACUCCGACUCCAGCACUGCAGGUGACGGCAGCACCACAACAUUGCAUCUCUGUUGUACUUAGCAGAGAAAAGACCACCUUAGAUCAAGUUGAGCCUUGAAGUAGGUGUUGCGUUCUCCGGACAACCGUGAUGACGUCGAGGAGGGUGAGCGUUAUAUGGAACCAUUCGAAGAGCUGCGUUGCUGUCGCAUUUUCUUCCGUGACAAUCACAAGGAGGCAGGAAAAAAAAAGAGAUCGUCCCUCUGACCGCACCUCCCGUGCCACCACUUCAUAAAACACCUCAUCCAUGGCAUAAAUUGGUAGCUUGGCAGCAUAUGCUCCAAAACAAGCUCCUCUAGCCCAAACAAGCACUUAACCUUGCAACAACCUCUUCCCUAAGGUAAGCGGUGCUCGGAUUACCGACAAAGACUACGUUGUCUAUCGCCAUAUGUCGCUCUAAAAGCAACAAACAAGGGCGCAGGUUGGCCAGAGAAAUGAACUGAGGGUAUUUGCUACCCGGACGGAGCACUUUGCUUUGGUUUUAAGAGAAGAAAGAUGAACUUAUUGCGCAUCGUGUGAAUUAAACUGGUAAACUAGUAAGUCUAAAGAACUUGGUUUGACGCUUUGGACAGAGUGAACUAAUAUUCAAUGAAAUAAUAUAGCAUAGACAAUAAUUACCGAGUGAAAGAGUUGGACUCGCCAAAGUGGCACUACGCAAGCUUAUAAAGUGCUAGGCAAAAGAAUGCUUCAAGUGCCAAAAGUUGGUAUAAAUGGUUACUUAAAUGCCAAAACUUAUGAAAGUGACACUUAAAUGCUACUUUUUUAUAUAAAAAAAUGAGACACUUGAGUGUCACAUCCAGUGAGCCUCACUAAAAAUCUUACGAGGCAUUUUUUUAUUAAUUUUCUCGCUUACGUGACUCACCGGAAUGCCGAAUUAGCAAAACACACACAAAAACGACGUCAUUUUGGCAUAAUUUAAAUUUUAAUAUAAUAUACAAAUUAAUUAAAUUAAAUUUACAAAUUAAUUAAAUUAAAUUUAGAACAAAAUAAAUUUAUUUUUAUUUUUAUUUGUAUUUAAAAAAAAAGAAAUGAGGAAGAGGAGGAGGAGAAAGACAGCCGAUAGCUGAGGGCUGAGCCCUCGCCGCCACCGCCUCCCCGCCAUCUCCGAAAGGUGGGGGAGGGUCGGCCGGGGCCGCUAAGCCUUGGCUGAGGGCCAGUGGCCCCAGUCGACCGACAGCGAGGGCCGCAACCCUCACCCAGAUUUGGGGCGAGGGCAUGCAAGCCCUCAUCGCCAGUUGACUGGGGCCGCCGACCCCCAACCUAGGCUCAGCAGCCUCGGCUGACUCUCCCCCACCUCCCUGGCGACGGAGGGGAGGCAGCAGCGGCAAAGGCUGAGCCCUCAGUUGUCGGCUGCCUCCCUCCUCCUCCUUCCCCUUCUUUUUUUAAAAUUAAUUAAUUAAAUUUUUAAUUUUUAAUUUAAUUAAUUAUUAUAUUAAAAUUCGAAUUAUACCAAAACAACGUCAUUAUGACACUAUUUAGCCAUAUUAGCAUACAAAAUGACAUCAUUUUGCGCGUAACUCGCCGGAAAAUUGCCAUAUCAGCGUUUUGGCUGGAUUUUCUCACCGAUGGCACUUAAGUAAUCCAUUUUGCUUUGAUUUUGGUACUUAAAUAUCACUUUUGUAACUUUUGGCACUUAAGUAUCACUUUCGUAACUUUUGGCACUUAAGUAUCCCUUUGUGCCAACUUUUGAUACUCCGAGAGUCCAGAUGUCCUAACAUGGAAUCACUCAAAUCAAUUCAAACCGUUAAAGGUAGAUUUGUUUGAAAAAAGUAAAGGCGAUGCUUGGUAUUGUUAUAUUCGAGAUCAAUUUCAAGGGAAGCUAUUAGAACUAUAUAAAAUUGAUUGUUGGAUUGUUGAAAAAUUGAGCACAUGGUUUGCAGGUUAGUCCCGGGGUGAAUAAAUGCCACACUGUUUUUGAAUUUUAAAACCUUAGCUAUGAAUAUAGAGUGCUAGUGAAGUAUUGUAAACAACAAGAUGAGCAUUGGUCUAGCAUCAACUCUAGACCAACCUUGGAUCGAUCCAACUCGACCGAUCCUAGUCCAGUCCAAAUAGGGACUAGGUCAAUCUUUUGUCCUGGAACCCCUGAACCCUACAUAUAUAUGUUUUUAUCUACUUUAAAUUAUAGCACCUUCUCAUCUAUUUAUCUUCGUAAGUCAAUUUGUCAUGUAAAUUAGAGAAAAAAAAAAAACAUAAACCCUCUUUACCAACCUCGGCCUCGGCCUCACUCGCCUUGCUUAUGACUCACCUCCUUCACUUGCAUCACUUGUCUUGUCGCUUCCCUCUUUUCACUCACCUUGCUACUCACCUCUAUUCUCUUGCCUCGCAUGUUUGUUUUUAUGGUUUAUUGCUUUUAACAAAGCUUUUAACAAGUGCAAAUUUCUAUUGUUACUUUAUUUUAUAUUUAUGUUUGAUAUGUAUGUAAUUUGAAAUAGUAUGAUUGUCCUUGUCCUUUUAAGAAAUAUAUAAUAAAAAAAAAAAAAAAGGAAGAAAGAUAGACAGUUGAUCCGGGAUAGACCCUAGAACCGCACCAAACCCAUAGGGUCAGUCUAGCCCUCAAUCUCGAGCUCAACAGCAUUAAUCCUCAAUCUCAAAAAUUGAGGACCAACAUUAUACAAUUGGUCUCUAGGUUAAAUGCUGGACCAGCCCAACCUAGACUAUACUCACCCCUAAUAAACAAGGAGUUGUAGUACGAAGCCAGAAAAGCAUUAUCAAUUCAAUAAGAAGUUCUUCCUUCAUUGUGCUUUUACUUCAAAUUUCCAUAGUUUAUACUAAUUUUUUUGGUUCUUCCAUUCCCACUGCAUUCUAGUGGAUUACUGUCGCUUUGACAACAACUGGAAAUGCCACUUGAAUCAAGUGGCUUGAUCAAAAUGGCUUUGCACAUGAUGUUUAUUCUAUCAAUCAGCUAGACGAGUAAUAGAAAGAACUGUUCUUUUUUUGGUUGAAAAAGAAUUUUAUUUAGCUUUCGUUGUCAUGCGCAGUGGCUAUGACCAUUUAGGCGAACCCCAGCUUUAACGCAAGCAUUUCCAAAAUCUUCUAAAAUCCCAUAGUCCCCAGGAGGUUCAUAGGAGUUUUGGCAUUUAGUAUUUCCAGAAUGCUAAUAUGUUUUCUUCUUCCAAUUUUUCCCUCGCUAAUGAUUGAAAUUUCCAAAAUGCUCUCACCACCGACAACUUCAUUAGACAUUGUUGGUGAUGCCAAAUCUAACCACCAACAAGCUAGAUCUAGCGCCAACAAGCCUUGUCUGGGGUCACACAAUCCCACCUCGCUGGGGAGCUGGGGCUAGAUUUAACUCAUCAAUGAAAAAUUUGAGUUUUUUUUGUGAAAAAAAAAAUAUUGCAAAAGUUCUUCAUGAGUGUGCUUUUACCAAAUAUCAUUAAAAUCAAAGUUACUUCUCAAUACGCUUUUACAUUAUACUUUACCAAACACAAUUUACAUUUCGAGAAACCACUUCAAUUUACAUAUUUGAGAGAUUUUUACCAAAAGUCCAACCAAAUAACCAACAAGUUAAGGCACUCUACCUAACUUGCCACGCAGCCUUACACUCCAACCUCGUACAGGUGUUUUUCCAUUUUAUUCUUCCUGGUGCAAUUUGUCCAUGCAAGCUGGCUAAACCUAUAGAACAUGGUAAAACAUUUUCCACUUUGGCAAAAUCGAGUUGCUUGAUUCAUUAAAUCUCAUCCAAGGAAGAAAAAAAGCGAAAUGUCUGGUAUUACUCCUGUUAUAACAUGAUAUAACAACGUAAAUGUGACCUUGAUUACUUGCUACGAAAUUAAGGCCCUUCUUGAUAUUGUAGAUUUGCAGGUGUAAUUGACCAAAUCUAACUUCAUUUGCCCCUAUUGAUAAAUAAUAGUAACAAAUCCUGAUUCCUCUUCACCGAACGGCAUUUUUGUCGGAUACCAUAUGCCCGAAGUUCUCCAUACGUGAAUAAAUGGCAAAUCUAUAUUAAUGUAAUCGUUUCAUAAUUUUUAGAUUUUUAAGGUGCAGUAAUCUAGCAUCCAAGACCUCACAAAUGCGAUAACUUUCCCAUGAUAUUCACUUAAUUGAUUUAAUAUCUCAAUCGAUCACUUGAAUACUAUAACUUUCAUACGUUGUUUAUUCAAGUAAUAUGACGUGUUUGUUUAAUAUGAGAAAUUUAUAGCAAGGUUGAUUCUAUUGUGCAUGUCUCAAUCAAAGGUUACACAAAAAUUAGAUUUAUGUAACCAAAUCGAUUCUAUCGGAGAAUCAAACCAUCCUGAAGCCAAUCCAAUUCUAGAUUCAUGUUGAAACUAAUGGAAACUAGUCUGAUGCUUAGUUUUUAGUGAAGAACCUCUCAGAAACCGGACCAUCCAGUCCAAAUUUGAAAUUAGUUUCAUAAAGUCUAAAAAAACCCUAAUUAUUUUCUCGACAUAUUUCUCUCUCUUUUCUCUCCAACUUUAUCCAAAUACUUCAUCUCGCUCGCUCGUCCGCCCGCCGGCCCUCGGUCACUUCUAACUCGCCUUUUCUCACAUAAUUCAUCUUUUAUUUUGAAUCGUCUUGUUACUUAUAUCACCUCGCUAUAAAUAGAAAAAUGAAAUGAAAUACUCAACUCUGUUGGCGAUUCUGACAGGUAGGUUCGAAUCUCAAGGCCUGAGUCUAAUUGAGUGAUUCCUAUGUUGUCGGGUGCGUUGACCCGGCCUAUGCAAGAAUCUCAGACCAACAAUCGCCAUGGACUGGUCCCGACCCGGCGCCGCCGUCAGGAGCCUGCGGCACCGCUUCUCGCCGAGGAACGCCGCCGAGGUCGUCGCCGUCCUCGUCCUUCUGACGGUCGCGCUCUCCACCCUCUCGUCUUCGACGAGGCGCUCGGCGGGCCCCCUCCAGUCCAGGGCCUGCGAGUUCCCGGCGAUCUUCAACUUCGGCGACUCCAACUCCGACACCGGCGGCAAAUCCGCCGCCUUCCACCGUCUCCUGCCCCCGAACGGCGACACAUUCUUCGGCACAUCCUCUGGCCGGUACUGCGACGGCAAAGUGAUUCUUGAUUUCAUAGGUGAACGAUUGGACUUGCCCAUUUUCUGUCCAAUAUUCUUGCCUGCCAAUUUCGUGAUUUUGCUGGAGUUUUGAUAUAUAUAUACAUAUUUCAAGAAACAGUUUUUAGACUGUCCUGCUGCAUUUCUCUGCAAUUUUUCCACUGGGUAUGUGUAGCAAUGCUCCAUCUCUAACAUGGAGUGAUUGAGGGAUAGUUGAAUGAUUCUUAUUUUCGGGUUUGAUCCAUAUGAAUCGCGCUGGAUGUUGUGGUUUGCGAUGCCAUUUUGAAGACCUGAUGAUAAAGAUAUAAUUUGAGAUCUUAUGGACUGAGUUAUGAGGUUCAGCUUGAUCUCCUUGAUAAGUUAGUUUCUUCUCUCUUAGCCUCUCAUUCGGUAGUGUGUUUGCAAAUCUGGUGGCAGCUGAGAAGUUGGGAUUACCAUACUUGAGUGCAUACUUGGAUUCCAUGGGGACAAACUUCCGUCAUGGGGCGAAUUUCGCCACGGGAGGGUCCACGAUCCAGCCGGUGGAUACCCGAAUCUUUGAGGGAGGCUUCAGUCCCAUCUCGCUCGACAUAGAGCUUUCGCAGUUCGAGCAAUUCAAGGCACGCACUCUCGAGCUUCAUGCCGGUACUUGACUAUUCAUUUGAUUCGCUGACUUUGGACAAGUUUAGGUCUUUGCAUUUUCAGAAUCUGUUCUAACUCGCAAGCAUGGAGGUCUGAAAAUUCGUGCAUUAUGUUUCUCAGGUAAGAGUGAUUAUGCAAAGAGCAGUCUGCCAAGACCCGAGGACUUCUCCAAGGCAUUAUACACAAUGGAUAUUGGUCAGAAUGAUCUUCAUGCCACAUUGAAAUCCAUGACGGAGAAACAGGCAUUGGCGUCCAUUCCCAACAUUUUGAAUAAGUUUGCUGUAGCAGUAGAGGUAAGUAAAAGUUUCGUUAAUUAACUGCUUAUGAACUCUCUAGUUUGUGAGGAACGUCAUUGUAUACCCUUCACGAAGGAAAGCAGUGGCUUGACUGGGCAUUAUCAGAACAUCUCGUCUGUUUUGCAUCCUAACAUUAUCUCUUGCAUGAAAGAGAAAGGAGUUUGUAAGCUCAGAGCUGCACCGUAGCAGAAUAAACCCAUGCAUUUUGCUUAAUGUUCAUUGAAGUUAACAAGAACUUAUCAAGGAGCCUUUUAAUCAGCUUUAUGUACAAAAAGGAUGGGUGGAAGAAGCUGGAUCUGGAUAUAAGAUGUUUGAAAUUAAGGGAAUGUUGCUGAUCUUGAUAGGCUUUUCUUUAGUUGCUCAGUGCAUGUUACAUGAGAGAGACUUUGCCUUUGGAUGCUCGAUUGGUUGUUUUUGACCUGAUUGGCUUGCUUUAUGAAAUGCAGCUAUACUCUUCCAAAUUCUCAUGUCAUAGAGUACUUAACGAAGUAGUGAUUAAACUAUGGCUUUCUAGCCGUUGUAUUUGUUGUCAAUGCUUGUGAGAGUUUCACAAUGAACUUACAGAAGUUGUAAGUAAAAUGUGUAAUUAACAAAUCCCAUGCUUUGACAUAGAAUAUUGACAUUUUCCCUUAAAUAAUUUUAAUUAAAUGUGUAAUUAAGUCAUUUUAGGAUUCUAACGCUGAUUACAUGAUCUCAGAGAUUAUAUCAGCAAGGAGCAAGGGCAUUUUGGAUACAUAAUACAGGACCAAUUGGAUGUUUGCCCCAUUACUUCGUCUUUGAUCCUCCAGAAUCAAACGCGACAGACAAAAAUGGAUGUCUGGCAUCCUACAACAAAAUUGCGCAAGAAUUUAAUAUGCAGCUCAAAACACUUGUGUCCAAGCUAAGACUUCGUCUUGUGGGCACAACACUAAACUACAUUGACAUUUAUUCAGCUAAAUACACUUUGAUCUCUGAAGCUCAGAAACAUGGUAAGCAUCCUGCAGCUAUCUAAAUUGCAGAUUACAUGCAGCAUGUAUGAUAUGGAAUGAGUGCAGAAUUUGACAUCAGUUCAAGUUUCAAUUGGAUUCUUCUAGGUUUUGGUGGUCCACUAGAGUAUUGUUGCGGGCAUGACGGGGAUUACACUGUAUAUUGCGGACAGAAGGCGAUUGUGAAUGGAACUGAAGUAGUCGGGGAUUCUUGCAGCGACCCUUCGAAGGUGAUAAGCUGGGAUGGAGUGCACUAUUCUCAUGCUGCAAAUCAGUGGGUAGCAAACAGAGUUGUUGACGGCUCCCUCUCGGAUGUUCAGGUUCCUCUCACGGAAUCAUGUCACGAGUCCAUUCACUCCUGAUCAUUGUGUCCAAAAGGUGAACAGUCCUGAAGUUGCAAUUCACCUUAGUAAAUAUUCCAGUUUUUCCAUCCCAAAAGUCCAGCUGAAUCAAAGCGGAUCAGAACAUUCCUAGAUUCACGGUGGAGAAGCCACAACAAGCUACCUGAUCUUGCUAUACUUAGUACCCUUCUGCAAUUUCAAAACCGGUGGUAGAUUCUACGACAGUGGACAUUAGCCGGCACACCGCUCGGCAAGCUUGUAAAUGAUCAAUUAUUUUAUUUCAAAAACACCUUCAACAUUUUUUCUUUCAAUGCCAUUUGGUUCUUUUCCUUCUUCACUCCAUAAUUCAUCUUCCUUCUGCUUCCUCAAGGCAAUGUCAAUUCAGAAACCAAAAAAAUCCGCAUGACUAUCUAGGCAGAGAAAACGCCCCCAUCAAUCAACCUCGAAAAACUGCUCCACCGGUCGCCUCCAUCCAUGCUACCUGAAUCCCAUCAAGGUGUGUUAUAACCUGAGCCUUGCCGUCAUUGCUGGUUUCGACUCAUACCGGUGUUUGUCAAAUGUAGGAACUCACUAAAAUUCGGAUCUCUUCUAAGUAUCUUGAUCAGAUUCUAUUCUAACGAAGGCCGUGCAGCAAAGAUUUUGGCUUCAUUCGUGAAAGUUCGGUUUCGAACGAUGCUAUGGAAGCCAAAGUUACUGUCAUAGGCAGGGCGACAAACUUUCAUUUGUCUGGUUCGCCAUUCCAACCCGAUAUAUUUCAUGUCGAAAUCAGAAGCCACGGACAGGACGAUGCAACAGAACCGGCUGAUGGCUCCAACAUGUUUGGAGGAUUGCAAUUUCGCCGUAAUGGCGGACUUUAACUGCGCCCUACUUAUGAAGCUAAUCCUGGAUGAUGAUGCACGAUGAAAAUAAACUAUCGAAUCGAGUUUUAAAAGGAAUAGAUUUAGGGAUAACAUCCUUUUCAGAGAUGAAAUCGAAGGCCGAUGGUUCUUGUCAAUGGCGGGUGAUGUUAUAACAAUGUUUAGGCUGAUCUUGGACGGGUGCCUAAAUUUCGAGAUGUAGCCUAGAAGAGUGUUAAAAGUAAAAAUGGAAGUGAAUAGGCUCCGUUUUGUUUUGCACAAAAUUAAUAAUUUUAAAAAUAUUUUUUAAAUCAUUGAUAUUUCAUGUAAUAAUGGAAAUGGAGAUGGAAUACCUCGUAAUGUUGAAGACACUCAGGCAAAAAGCUUGCUCUCUCCAAUGUAAGAAGCCAUAAAAACAGAACUAGGCAACCUCUCGGCAUUAGAUUUGCCCAAAUAACUAUCUUGCUUCAUUUCAAUUAUUAACUUUGUAUUCUUAAUUUUGUUAGUAAGUUUUCUUAAAAAGUCAUGAAUGAUGCCACGUUGGCAAUUCUCUAAAAAAAAAUUGACGAAAUGAAUGACUUGAAAUAAAAAGCAUAUAAUCUAGGGAGGAAUUGCACACACAAAAUCCAGGAACCGGAUCGAACAAUUAAUUCAGGAACCUGAUCGAACAAUUAAGAAAAUUCAAGGAGCUUGCUUUUUUUCCUUUGUUUUGUUUUGUUUCGUUUCAUUAUUCUUUUUUUUUUUCCUUUGUUGUUGUUUUGUUUCUGACAAAAGGAGCCAAAAAAAGUAAAGUCGGACCUACAGAAUAUCAAUCGUUACAUUCAAAAUGGCCAAUCAACUAGUCACUCACGCCUUUCAAAGUGCGAUUUGUCUACUUACUUUCUGUGUCAUUUAUAAAGAAAAAAAUGUAUAUUUCUCUUGCCCCCCAAAAGACCACAACUUGAAUGUGGAACAGUGUCAUUUUCAAUUGCAACAUUUAUCUUUACGUAGGCUUCAAUGAUCAAUCUAGAAGACGACAACAUACCAGUAUCAAGACAAAGAAACAAGAACAAAGGGCAGAAGCCGUGGCUGAAGUGGCAAGACAGCGACUCGAGCCCGACCAAUAAUGCUUCCUGAUUCUUCAACCAAAACAAGAAAAUGUACACCUCCAUCGCUUCCGUUCUGAUUCUUCAAGAAUUCAUGUUCUCUUUUUUCUUUCCAUUAUAACCAUGUUUGGAGUCCAUGUCAGAGACUCUAUGCCCAUCACUGUUUCCCGAAGUGUUGGGUUUUCCGAGGCUACAAGACCACCCCGCAAGUCGGCGGUCUCCCUUUCCGUAGCAAUUGAGUAACUAUCGGGGUUGAAGAGCUCUAGCGAUGUGUUUCAUCACGAUUUUUUUACAGAGAAAAAUUAGCCGAAUAUACGAUAUGAUGCAAUCUAUGAAGAUACUCACUUGCCUUACGAAACGUUGGAUUUAAGUUAUAAUAACUCAAUGUCAUUAACAUUGCGUUCGACAUCAUCUGCACUCUAGAUUUUUGGGAUUUGCGAAGUGGGUCAUCCAGGAGAAGUCGAGUUCGUGCACUCGUGGAAGAUGGUCGAGAGAUGAUGAUGCGUGGCAGCUGAAGACUUCUGUCACUCUGUUUUUCAUUUUUGCCAAAAAGCUUCGUCACUUGUAUAUACUAAACAACGUGUGCCGUGUGCCGUCCGUGAUUGACUUCUGGGCGUGCACGUAGACUUCGGGCGCGAAGCAUUGCCGGCCAUUGCGGACAAGCUUGAAGCUUCGCUGACCAUUUCUGCGAAUCUCUCUCUCUCUCUCUGUGAAACUACAAAAACCUUCGCUCGUUCUUCAAGCUGGGAAGGUGCUCUUUUGGAUCUUCUGCCGACAGCAAGAGCUAUGAGGAGAAUUGGGAUCGACAGUUCUUCCAUCUCAAGCGUUCGCAGCGACGUACGCUGUCCUACCCUUUUCCCUUUUCUUUUCGAAUUUCUUGUUUAAGCAUCUCGCGUGCUCGUUGUUCAUGAGGAUCGGCAAUUUAGCAGCAUCGGAAGCUCAUUUGCAUACGUUUUGCUCAUUGGGAGACUGCUCUGCUUGUUUUUUUUUUUUUUUUAACUUCUUUCUUUUAUGCAAGAACCUUCCAUGAAAUCAUCGCUCUAGCCAUAGCAUCUUAGCUUUGAAGUGAUUCUCUGGUAUUUUCCCUGUUUAGAUUUAGAUGGUUGGUACAAGAGAAGCCCAAUUGAGUAUGGGGAAGCAAAACUUCGGGCUCGCGAGGUGCAUUGCGGUGGUGGUGAUCGGAGUCAUUGUGGCUAUCGCAUUUUCAGUCUUGAUGCCACGAAAAACGGAGAAUGGCUGGGCAUUCAGGGACUCCGGGGUUUGCCGCUUCCCGGCGAUUUACAACUUUGGCGAUUCGAAUUCCGACACCGGCGGUCUGUCUGCUGCGUUUUACUGGCUCCCUUCGCCUUAUGGGAACAGCUUCUUUGGCAAACCAUCGGGCCGGUUCUCGGAUGGCCAAGUCGUUAUUGAUUUCAUGGGUAUGCUUCAAUUCGAGUGUGUGGGAAUAUCAGAUGAUUUUUUCCUGAUUUUAUGAGGAUUGCUUUUCCCUUUUCUGCUUUGAUUUCCUGCUCAAUGAUCUAGUUUCUACGGAGAACCCACUAGUUUCCUGCUCAAUGAUCUAACUUUGCUGUCAUCUUUUUGCACAGCCGAGAAGCUUGGUUUGCCAUUUCUAUCUGCGUAUUUGGACUCUGUAGGUUCAGAUUAUCUCCAUGGAGCGAAUUUCGCCACUGGAGGCUCUACUAUCCAGCGAAUCGACGGCCGAGCAUUUGACGCGAGACUUAGCCCUAUUUCUCUCGAUCUGCAGCUUCUGCAAUUCCAACAGUUCAAGGCACGGACUAAUGAGCUAUUCAGUGACGGUGUUACAAGCCGUCUUCCACUACCGGGCGACUUCUCCAAUGCUCUAUACACUCUCGACAUCGGUCAGAACGAUCUCCACCUCGGCUUUAAAUUCAUGACAGAAGAACAAGCGCGGGCCUCUAUUCCCAACAUCACACAUCAGUUCGCUUCAGUUGUUGAGGUUUGCAGCCUCUAUAUAGCGUCUUCCUAAACUGAGGGUUUCUUAGCCGAGAAAACAAAAGGUCUUGCUGUCGUACUACUUUUACUGCAGAAAGGAUUACAAGUUCCACCACUACAACUACAUAAGAAUUUAACUCAACCCAUGUCGAGAUCGGUUUCAUUGCUUCUGGUUUGGAUUCAAUGUCAUGGAUCAAGAUUCUCAUUCUUCAUGUAAUUGCUUCUUCAAAUGGUCUAAAAAGUUUCUUCAUCUUAUUGAUGUUAACACAUGAAUUGGAGAUACUGAUAUCAUCCUAUGACAUCGAUCACUUCAAGUGUUGCUUACUCACUUUACAUAGCAAUUCUCGUGUUCUCUGAUAUGCAUCUGCUAGUUUUCGAUAGUAGUGCUAGUAAAGCUAAUGUAGUUGGCCUCGCUUUCAGUCCAAACACUAAAAAGCCUGGGUUAGUCCUUUUGCAUCAUCUGCUAAUCAGCUAAAAUAUUUUGGUGUGAUCAUGAGCUUUGUACUGUCUCGUGAUGCGAUUUAUCUAGACCUUACUGCGCUUCUUUGUUGCUGCAGAAGCUGUACCAAGAAGGGGCAAGAGCUUUCUGGAUACACAACACGGGUCCCAUCGGCUGCAUACCACUGACCGCCAGGCGCAUUUCCGCGAUGCAGCCCGAUAAGGUGGACGGAAUCGGCUGUGUGAAGUCGCACAACGAAAUAGCUCAAGAAUUUAACAGGCAGCUCAAGGAGAGAGUCAUUGACCUGAGAGCCAAACUCACUGAUGCAGUUCUCACUUAUGUCGACAUGUACUCCGCAAAAUUCAUGCUGAUAAGCGAAGCGAAGCAGCACGGUUAGUCCGUAUCAUUGUCUACUAAUCUCUUCAUUCGCAAGUAAUUAGGUGGCAACAAGUGCUUUCUUGCGGUCUCGGACACGUUUGGAUUCCCCUUCUGACGGGACUCAAUUUGGUGUGCAGGUUUCACCGAUCCCCUCCGUUACUGCUGCGGCCACAACGGAGAUAACGUUGUCCCGUGCGGGAUGAAAAUGGCAGUUGAUGGAGUUGAAGUUUCCGGGGAUUCUUGCAGCGAUCCAUCCCAACACAUAAGCUGGGACGGGAUUCACUACUCUCACGCCGCGAACCUCUGGAUAGCGAACAAAAUCCUGGACGGUUCUUUCUCCGAUCCCCCCGUGGCCAUAACCGAAGCAUGCCGUAAGGCCCUGUAGUCAGUCAUGUGUAGUAUGUAAUAGUCAGAAAACAAGCGACUUGUUCCCAAUUUUCGAAGAGCAAAUCGAACUCCCUCCAUGUUCAUCUGGGAGGAGGCUGAUUUCCGAGUUCUCUCGGCAUCCUCAAUGUCCAUUGUCUCUCAGGUCGAGAUAGUCGAGACGAAAGGGACGGCGUUCGCCUGCCAUUUGAUAUGUGUCUGAUGGAAUAUAAAUUCUAGAUUAGCAUUAUUCAGGAGCAGCACUCGUAAGUGCAAAAAAGGAAAGGAAGAGUUGAUGGCUGAAAGAAAGAAAAGGUAAAAUCGAAAGGAGAAGCGACUCCACUGGGGAUCGAACCCAGAAUCUCUGGUUUCGUAGACCAGCGCCUUAUCCAUUGGGCCAUGGAGUCUCUCUUGGUGGAACCGCCAUUAAAGUAUUGUUUUGGUAUUUACAAAGCGAAAAUAAAAAGGCCCCAAUUUAGUCGGAGGAUGCACGUUUGUAUGCAAAGUUUCCAAGUUCUUAUCUAUGAAUGUUUCAAAAACAACCCAAACGUAAAAGUUUUCCGGGUGCAAAUCUACUCUGAAUAGCUUUUUUUUGUUAUGCAUGAAAUCUCCAGCCAAUCUCGAACCAUGUCAAGCUUCUCAAGUGAUCGUGGAUCCACUCACUGAAGAGAGGAGAAGUCCUCCUUAAAAUACUUUAGGAAAGACCUUCCGAUACUCAAGAGGGCUAAAGUCGUUAAGUCAUACAUUUUUUUUUUUUUUUUUUGGCUUAACUCAUACCUUGAUGGGUGUUAUCCUAAAGGAGAUUACCUUAAACUCGACCAAGUCUCAAUAGGUAGAUAAAUAGGAUUGGGUAGUGAUCUUAUAUGAAAAAACCCAGCUCGAUUCUACUUAAAAAUUACUAUAUAUGUAAUAUAUGAUGGGUGAGUUUGGGAAAAUAUUAGGCUCAAUUUUAUACUCGAGGUAUACUCAAGCCUUGCCCAAUGAUCACCUCUAUUGAUUAUUGUAUAUAUAUAUGAAUUGGCUAACUCUCUUUGUGACAUCAUGAAUUUCGACCCCGUCUCAAUAAUAUGAAAUGGGUAUUUCAUCAACGCGCCUAUGGUCAUUUUUCUCAUAGUUGAUCACUUUUGAGUUAACUAACAUAUUAGGUGAAGCUAUUAAGGAAUAUAAACGCGAUAAACUUGAGAAUUUGAUCAAAACUCGACUGCUCGACUGUGAUAAUCGGCAAGGGUCGAUAUGACACCAUUAUAAUUUAUUGUGAUAGGAAAUAGGUCGAUUCGACAAAAUAAUGUAAUUGAAUUGCGGGUGAUUCCGCAUGAUUAUGAAAUUCACGUCGAACGGCACUAACCUGAUUUUCUGUCGAUUUUAUAUUUGGUGCCCGUAAUUAAAAUCUUGCGAUUUUUAUGACAAUCAAGAGUCGCCUACGAGUCAAAGAUGCACAAAUGUGGAUCGAAAAUUAUUGACCACGGGUCAAACGCAUUAAAAUUCCUAAAAGCUACUCAGUAGGGUAGGUUGUACUAAAAUCGCAUCCAAUAGAUUUUAACUAUGAAAUUGAAUUCAAUUUCGGGAAUCGAACGUUCGAGCGUAUCACGAUUUAUUUUUAGAACAUUGUUUCAUCUUUCGAAGGAAUUCCGUCAAGUCCGGGAUUUUUGCGAAAAAUCGAUUUCGGACAAAUCGGAAAAGAAUUGGAAAUUUGUAUGGGCUGCUAAAAGGGGUUAUUUGGGGGGUGCAGGACAAACCAAAAUUUCUGUUCUAGAAACAAUUUUUCUAUUCCAGACUUGUUUUUGAAAUAGGAAUCCGUUUGAUAAAAUUAUUUCAUUUUUCUAUUUUUGAAAUAGAUUUUUGUUCUUGAAAUAGAUUUGGAAUAGAAAUCAAAAGUAAAAAAUUUAUACUUUUCUAUUUCUAGAAUAGAAAUGAGAAAUAAAAAUUCUCCUCAUCGUUCGUCCUUGUUACGAACCGAUCGUCCAUCCGUCGCCAUUGAACUAGUCACCGCUGCCCCGAUCGUCGGUCGCCGUUGCUACCGUCCGCCCAUCGCUAGCGAGAGAAAUUUUGUGUUGUUAUCAAACAUAUAUUUUUGCUUAGAAACUCAUUUAAAAAUAGAAAUAUAAAAAUCUAUUCUUCUUUCAUAAAUCAAUUUUCUGGCCAAAAUGGUUAUUAUCCGUGCCCUUUACUGCCAAAUUUGCUUUGUUUGGUGAAGAAAUGAGAGGAAAUGAGCGAUUGGUUGGCCUCUUGACAUUGUGAGCUGAAAACUUUUUGAGGCUAACACUUAAGUGCUUGGAUAUUUAGGCUUGGCUCUCAUUGGAUGUUGCUUGGACUUUCAUGGCUUCUCUCCUCUCCCCCCCCCCCCCCCCCAAGGUAUUUCGGGGGUAAUUUAGCCGCACAUUCCUUCUCCUUCUUAUUCCUCUUCAUGUUUCUCUUCCACCCCACCAGCGACCGAAUCCCCCUCCUCACGCCUCAGCUCCCAUCUCCUCCAUUCCUUCUGUUGCACUGCCACACGCCCGCGCCCACAUCACUCGUCCAUCUCCACCACCAACACGACACCACCCCCUGCCAUCAUUCCCUCAGCCGCCCAACUCCACCAUCAGUUCCCUAGCUCCAUGUGCAGCCCACCAUCACGCCCGCUCCACUCUACAGUAGCCGCCAACUGCCUCAUCCCCACCAGCAGCUGGUCCGCCCAGCUCCCCUGCCAAGCAGACCCCACCAUUCCAGCUUAGUCCUCCGGCCACCAGCAACCCCGCGAUCCAGUCAGCCCAGCCCUCGACCCAGCAACCUUAGAACUGAAUCUCAGCUUGGGCUGAGACUUGUUGGGCCUUUUUCAGACUUGGUCGGUUGAGGCCGUAGCCACGGGUCUUCACCGCCUUCGCGUCGCCGUCGCCAAGGACCCGCCAUCGUGCUAAUCCAAUGAGUUAACAUCCUAAUCUUGGAUUAGGAAGUUAAUUGCACUUAGGGGAUUAGUUUAUUCUUAAUUAGGAUUGAGGAUUAAUUUAGUUAGUGUAACUAGUUAGUUGGUUAGUUUAGUUAGAUGAACUACUUAGUUAAAUUAGUUUGGUUAGGGGUUAGUUUGGUUAGGUUACUACCCUAGGUUAGUUGGUCAACUAGGGUUAGUUAGUUAACUAGGGUUGGUUAGUUAACCGUGGUUAGUUUAUUUAAUCGUGGUUUAGUUAAUUAAAUUAAAAUAAUUUAUUUUCCUGAGAUUUAUUUAAUUAAUUUUUAUUAGCAUAAAUUGUGACAGGAUAGCUAUUUAUCAUAAUUUUACGCUAAUCGUCGUGGAUGCAUUUAUAUGUGAAAUUGAUUGCUUAAUUAUGCAAUUGAGUGCUUGGUUGCCGUUUUGGAUUAUUAUUGCAAAAAAAAAAAAAAUGAUUUUUUGGUAUUUUAAUAGAAAAAAUACCAGGUGUCGAUUUUUGACGCCAAAAAUAUUUUAUGUACUAUAUAAAAUCGUGGAAUUUUGAAAUGGGAGUGUAUCACGUUUUAUGGUUCGAUUUGAAUGUGUGACCAUGCACAAUUAUAUUAUCGGGAAUUUUUAAUAUGAAGAAAAUUAGCCAAGUCCAUUAUUUAACAUUGAGGCAUUUGAGUGUAAAACACGAUAUUCUUGACCGAGUAUGGAUGUGCGUGCGGUUACUAUCGGAACUCGUCAGCCAACGGGAGUUUGGGGACGAUGCCAGAGUUUAUCGGAUGCCCGGUGGGGGUCCGAAAGCCGGUUGCGGUGGAGGCCAGACCGAUGCCCCUUUUUGGGAUACCGUCUAGGCGGGGGUUCUAGACGUUGCCAUGCCCAACGAAGCAGAACGACGCCCGAUUAUGCCGGAUGACUGCCGACUAAUGAGUUGGCCGUGGCUGUUGGGUCAUAAAUAACUAAGACACGUCUGAGGUGUUCCAGUUAUUGAAUACGUUUGCUGUAUGCAUAUAAUAGAUGUGGUGUACUAAUAUGCAGGGAGAUGCUGAGAUGAGGUAAGUUUGUGUGUGAUGCAUGUUUAGGCUGGUAAGUGAAUUAUCAUCCUAAUUGGAGUUUAAGGUAUUGACUUGCUAAGAUUUUAUCUCAGUCCGUCGUGGUUAACCAUUUUUCAGGUCCUUAGAUAGUGAACUCGAAGCCCAAGGUUGGAGGGUACGGAGGGUAGGUGGCUUAGGGUUUUCUUUUGGACAUAUACUUGUUAAUAUGAAUCCUUAGGUUAAUGAAGUGAGUUUUGUGAAAGAGCGUUGGCAUGUGUUUUACUAUCCCCAUGUUUGAUGGUUGUCAAAGUAUUUAUUUAAUUCACUUCCGCAUGUGUUUAAUUGUGCAUAAAAAGAAAGGGUCAGCGACGCGUUCUGGGAAUGUCGCAUUUCAGUCAAUCAUAAAGGGAUGUACGCGUGCUCGGGAUUCAGGAUGUGACACUUUUUAUAUAUAGGGGCCAUCUUAAGCUCUAUUUUUUUUUUUUGUUGUCAGUCUUACUCUAUGUACUUUAUACUCACUCUCAGACUUUUGCCCAUCUUAAGCCUACAAGAUAGUGAUUUGGCAACAGAAUAUUGAAAUUUUAAUUACAAAUAGAUGUGGAUAAAUGCAAAAUAUAUUCUUUAAGAAGAACAUGGAGACUUUUUACUUGAUCUAACAUCUUGUAACCGAUGCACUUUGAUUUUCCUUUUAAGACCUAAACACUUGAACCUAUAAAAAGGAUACGAAUAUUAAUACUUAGAUAUACGUAGUAUAUGUAUGUAUAUAUAUAUAUAUAUAUAUAUAUUUAGAUGAGAUUUUAAAUAUUGACCGAACUUUGUAAUUAUUAAGUUUAAUUCCUUCUUCUUUUUUGUCGGAAAGCUCAAUUCUAAACACCCACAAAAAAUAAUUUUGUUUCUUUUUUUUUUUAAUCACGAAAUUCCUCCCAAAAUUUAUGAGGGCACAGAAAAGUGCCACGUGGCAGAGCUCCGCCUCCAGCCAUAUGGCUCAGAUUGCAGCUCCAAAACCGAAAGCCAUCGUCCUCUUUUUCCAUCACUACAAUGCUCUUCUCCUCCUCACUCUCUCCCCAAAACCUCCUCUCCACCGCCACCGCCUCCGCCCCCGCCACCGCCGCCUCCGGCAACCUCCUCCUCUUCUGCUUCCUGACCUCCCCGGCCCCCAAGCCCCACGCCUCCGCCUGCAAAUGCCGCUCUCUCUCCCCGAGCUCGCCCUCCCCCAGGCCCGUCCCCCUCGCCGGCGCCGGCGCCGCCCCCGCCCCCGGCUCCGGCUCCCUCCGCCGCGUGGCCCACGGCGCCCCCCCGCCCGGCGACGCGGAGCGGCCGCUCCUUCCCUCCGCCUCCGCCGUCGCGUCCGCCAUCCGCAGGGCCUCGAGCUCGCCGGUGGAGUUCGCGCAGCGGGUGGAGCAGGACCAGAGGGGCGGCCUGGUGCUCCCGAGCCCCGACUUCCAGCGGCUCUGCCUCGAGCAGCUCGACCUCUUCCGCCGGAUCGUCCAUCCCGAUGCUCUCCUCUCGGUCCGUUCCUCGGAGCUUUUGAGCCUUUUUUUCUGCUUCCGGUUUUGCUUAGAAAGUCGAGAUCGUUGUCGUUGAAUCGAUGAGUUUUUCAAUGUUAAUGAGGAGUGUUCGAUUCGAAUUGGAGCAGGUCUAUGUGAGGCCGGCUGGUAGUUAUGUGAUGGACCGCCUAGAGCUGCGCCGCGUCGCUGCUCAUCCGGAAUCCAACGCGAAUGAGUCUGACAUUGUUAUUUUGGUUGGAAAUUUCAACGUUGCAACUGGAUUGCGCGUUGCUGAAGCCGCACUUUCUAACCAACAAGUAAAUGAUCAUUUUUGUUGCUCAGUCCUUUUAUUGCCAUUUGCUCCAAUUUCUUUCUUUUUAGGGGCUGGAAGUUAGUUAGUGGAUUACCUUGUAGGUUGAAGAGAUACCGGAGUCUCGGGCGGUGGUAUUUCCGAUGGUGAAGCACCCUUUUGUAGUCGGAUUCUUGGUUGCCGAGUUUCCUAUGAUGGAAGAGCAGGAUACUUUGCAUUCGCUAUCUCCGGAGGACGUGUAUGCAUUGCCGCCUUCGGGACAUGAAUUGAAAAUGAGGGAUACUCCGAGUGUAAAGGAUAUGAAGGUCGGAAUGCGCCAGUUGAGCCCUGAGCAGAGAUCAAUUGCUGUCAACAUCUCCCGUUCUAUUGCAAUGGCCUAUGUCAUGGAUCAGGUACAACUGUUCAGCUAAGCCGGUUUGCCGCUCUCUUUUGUAACUGGAUACAUAUGGAUUCUAUGUGUCCUGUUUCUAUGUAUAUUGCAUAAAGAAAGUGCAUGCCGAAUCUGGACACCAGGGAUGUGGGUUAGUUGUCUAGUCUGCUGCGGCAACGACUGUUAAUCAUGAGUGACACCAAUCCUUUUGACAAAUUUUUUUGAUUAUAUUAUUUUUCUAUAUUUUGGGCCAUUUUUUUAUAAUAUGCUUCAGUCACUACUUUGGUAAAACAGCAUCUACUUCUGUAUUGCAUAAUCCACCGUAGCUGCAUAGGCAUGCAUGGUCUGUGCAGGGAGCAAUUUGAUUUUUUAGUUGCUCCGUGGAUAUCUAGAGGGGAUUUACAGCAUUUUCUGCUACCUAGAUUAGAUCAUUGCACUUUUUUCACUAGGCAGUCAUAUUUUUAGGUUGUCAUGCUUCAUUUUCCAGUGGAAUCCUGUGAUUUACAUGUUAGUCAUGCUAUAUCGCACUCUUAAUUAGGGUGUUUGGAUAAGAUAUAUCCUCCAUGGAGAAUAUGCUAAAAGCUUGACCUGUUUGUAAUCUGGUAUUUAUCAGGAGCUUUACUAUUAAUGCCCUUUUAUUUUGGUAGAUAUAAUCACCUGCUAUUUGCCCUUCAUAUACCUGAACGGCUUGUUGGUUGCUUGUAUGCAUAACAUGUGAUCAGCUUGCCUCACUGUAGCUCUGACUUUACUUCCUGCAUAUUUAAAUUGAACUAGUCCUUAUUGUGUGCUGUUCAACUGAGAUUGCUCCUGCUUGCGUUUGUUGCCCAACAGAAGGCAAUGUUGCUCCAGCAAUCUUCCUGGCAAAAUAACGUCCGGAUGAGCAACUUAGUGGAGCAGGUAAGAAGGAUCAUCUGGCAUCAGCAUGUGUUACUUGAAGUGAUUGUUAAGAAAUGUAAUGUUUGAAAGUUUACACAGAUUCGUGGUCCUCUGUCGAGCAUUCGAAGUUUGACAAAAAUGCUGUCUCUGCACAUGAAACGAAGUGAGGUUUGUGUAUUUCACUUCUUUCUUUUCCCCCCUUUCUGGCCUGAAAUUCUACAUCUAAAAGACAUAUGGUUGCAGAUUUCCCAUGACAUUGUUGAAGACAUCUUGGUGCAAGGUGAUCGAAUGCGAGAUACUCUUCAACAACUUCAGGAUGCAGUAUACUUUACAAAGGUGCACGCAUCAUUUCCUUUGACAGUUGUCCUUUUCUGGACACAGAAUUGUCAUUUUAGGUUUUCAUCUCUUGAUAUAGACCACUGCUGUUUAGUAGUAGGUCACAGUGAUCAUGUAGAGUGGAGUUGCUCGCACGUGCUUGCUCAUUGACAUCUCUGUGACGCAUAUAAGUUUCUCAUGGAGGACAAAAUGUAGUAAAAGGUGGAUGGAGUUGAUUAAUAUGGCAUUUGCAAGCCUUUGUAUAUGUUUAAGGUUUUUUUUUGUCCUGUUCUCUAACCAUGUUAGAACACUUCUUGGUGAAGCAUGAUAUGCUUCUUCUAUUGUAGACUUAUCUACUUCUACAGAUGUAUCUGUUGAUCAAUUUUUGCCAACCUUCAGCACCCCCUCAGUCACCAGUGCUUUCCACUUUGGUAGAGUCAAAAAGUCAUUUAACUCUGUCAAUCUUUUUGUAUGCAGUAAGAGAUGUGCCCUUUCUGUUAAUGUAGCUGACCUCUACAAAAUCUGCAGUUCAAAGUUACUGUUACAAUUUUACAAAUAGACAAAACUUAGCUAUUCAUGUUCUGUUGGUAUUGCAGAGACUGUCAGCCUAACAAUUCAUAUAGCUGGCAAUAGAUCUGACUCUUUUCAUUUGAUAUUUCUCAGGCUAACAUAAUGCGGUACAAUGAAGAAACAUUAAAGAAAGUGCACAACUCAACCUAUGCCCAUCCUGGUUCUGGAAGGUCUCAAUUGACUGAUAAUAUUCAAAGCGAAUUUUCAAAAGGUGAUCGGUUCUCUCAGAAUUCUGCUGUGAAAGAUUUAGAGUUGCCAAUGCCACCUCUUGCUCUUGCACCUCUUCAACAACAUGGAAUCAGGUAAUUAUAUUCCUUAAGCUGGACCAGAUGCUUCCAUUAUUCUGAGAGCAAUUUCUUCUUGCUUUUUAUAUGUGAAUACUGUAGUUUCUGUUCAUCAUUUGAAUCUCUUCUGCUAGUAAUGCUAUAACAGGCUAGCUUUAGACCUACAUAUGAAUAUAUGUAACUAACUAUCAGUAAGUAACUUCAUUUAUGGCUUUUACCUUUCAUAGGCGAUGAUUCGAGCUGACAAAUGUGUUCUUGGAUGAAGAUUUUACUAUUCUAAGGCAAUGAAUUUCUAUAUGUGCAUCAAGAAGCAACACUAGUUACAGUUACAAUUUCUUAUAUUAGGUUGUGCUUUCCUUAAUUUGAUUUAUGUGCAUUAGUACUUCUGGAUGUACACUGAUCACCACCUUCUCUAUUUUUUUUAGAAUGACACUCAGAGAGCAUAUAUAUAUAUAUGUCAACCUGAUAACUUGAUACCACCGGACCUUACAAGUUACAAGUCUGGUUACUAAUUUUCGUAAGAGCAUGGCUGAGAGAACUGAAAUUGGACUCGUGCACAAGAUGGGAAAGAUACUCGUUGCUUUUUAGUGACAUUCAACUAUUUAAAGGAAACUUGACCACUUUCAUCAUGACAUCUUAAAGUUGUUGAUUAAGUGUGGAGGUUCUCUAGCAACAGAGCUCGUGAUUUCAUUACUUUUGCAGAAAUUCAAUGUUUCAAUGGAAAUAAUCGAAAUGGAUAAAUCUUUGUACAGUGCUUUCUCAUGGAAUUAUCUCAUUUUUCUCAUUUUACGUUAAUCCACCUGAUUAUCCCCUAAUGCCCUUUCUUCUUGUCAGGAAGACCGUGCAAUGUUUCUGAUGUGCUCUCGGACCUCGUCGGUGCCAUAAGACCUCUUGCCCGUAAUCAGCAACGUGUGGUAGAGCUAAGUGAACUUUCACAACCCUUGCAAGUUGCCAUAGAAGAACCUGCUUUCCGCCAGGCUCUGAGCAACUUGAUCGAGGGUGCAUUGUUGCGUACGCAUGUUGGGGGAAAGGUUGAAAUAGUGUUAACAGUAGCACCAGCAGGUGGUGCUCUCGUGGUAAUUGAUGAUGAUGGGCCCGAUAUGCAUUACAUGGUAUGUGCAAAGAGUUCUUACCAUUUCUUAUCUCAAUUUGUGAAUAGCUCAUCGAAUUUCUGGUUUUGGCUUGUAUAGAGGUAUGUGGUUAGAGCUUAAUUGUUACAAAUAUUACUAGCUCUGUUCUACAUUAAUAAUUUCAUCACUCGUUUAGUAGUUUAUUUAGGUCUGUUUUCAUAUAAUCCCUUUGAACCUUAUAGCUUAAAUAUGUUAGUUUGACAGUCUAACAAAGUAUAAAAGGCAAGUUUUAGGGUGUGUUUGUUUUACCGAAAACUUCAUGAUAAAUUAAUUUUUCCUUGAAUAUAAUUUUCAAGAAAGAUAGUUUUAAUUUGUUUGGUGACUAAGGGAAAGUGAUUCCUUUCCUGCCAAAAGGGGAAGACAUUUUCCCCCAAUCUAAAUUUGUUGUUUUCAGUCUGUGGAAAAUGUUUUCUAUGAUCUAUUAGUUUUUCCAUCAUCCAAACACCGGAAGGUUGGAAAAAUUUUCCAAAAACAAUUUUCCUUCAAGCAAGUGGCCCCUUAACUCUUUAUACCCUCAUUUAAUAUUUCAUUGAAGUGGGGUUCUUUUCUCUCUCCAUCCAAUCUGCACAUGAGAGAAGAUACUAAAGUAUCUCAUAUCUGGUCUGUGGGGUUUGUCUGGGCCUUAUACUGAUGGUGUCUCCUUUUAUGUCAUAGCUUAAGAUGUUGGGAGCUUAAGAUGUUGGGUUUGAUGUUAAUUAGUUUUGGUUAGUAGUAUCUGAAACUGAAGAAUUGACUACGGGAUUGUUAUUGUCGAUCAGAAAGAGGUGGCUGGGACAUAGUGCAAGUGGACGUAUGUUAGUAAUACAUGGAAAGCCUUCCUUAAGCGUGCAUUCUUGGUAAAGAAAGAGAUGUUUCUAUGAUUUGGGUUUUGGGAGUGAUAUGCAGGAUUUAAUAGUUUUUACUGUGUUAUCAGGUGUAUUGUGCUAAUACUUCACUAAUUGAAUUGAGGCACGACAGAAGCAUCAAAUCUAUUGUUACAUAAGAGUUCUGGUGGUAUUAGGUAUAUUAAAAAUAUAUUUUAAAAGAGACCCUGGAUGGAAAUUGAUAGUGAGAUGCUAGUCUGGACAAUUUUGCACAGUAGGAUCUUGCAUGCAAUCUGUAGAGAUGGGAGUAAAGACAUCUGGUAAAUACUCGCAUGAAAUCAAGGAAUCACUCUUUUUUUUUUCCUGGGUUUGUACCACAAUUUAUACUGUCGAUAAUGAAUAAAUCGCCGUUGCUCACUCAAUUGCUUUCCGUGGGUUUAUACCUUCAAUUUAGGCUGUCUAAUCCUUGUUUUCGUCCUUUUUGUGUUUGCCUACAGACACAAAUGCACUCACUGACACCAUUUGGGUCAGAUCUUUUCUCCAAAGAUAUGGUUGAAGACAACAUGACAUGGAACUUUGUAGCGGGGCUCACCGUUGCUCGUGAGAUACUCGAGAGCUACGGCUGUGUGGUCCGCGUGAUAUCACCACGGACCCCUGAUGCUGCCCUUGGUGCUGGUGGAACUCGCAUUGAGCUAUGGCUUCCCUCUUUUGCAUCUGUAUCCCAUCCAGAAAGCCCUGCGCAGGAAGUUUAGCAAGAAUGAAUCGGUCUCUCUCAAUAUUAGUAACCGAUAUGGCAGGUUUCGCCUUUCAACUACUUCCCACUUCUGAAAUACGUGGGAGGUCCUGUACAGAGGGUUUAGUCUUGUUCUGAUAUAGGCCGUGACAAACUUGCAUAAUAAACAUGCUAUGUAGGAGAUUCACAGCUCUCCGAUCAAUCAGAAACCCAUAGAUCAUACAGCAUACGUGGUAGAUAGUGAUGUGAAAUUCAAAGAAGGUGAUGUAUUGAGCAAGUUUACGUCUGUACCAGUUCCGCAAAACUAGAAAGUCGAAAUCGCUCUGCCACCAUUGUCAUCUAUCGAGGUGGUCAAAGCUUGGUUGUCGGUUGUCAUGAUGUGAGAACUACUAUUAUUAAAGAAGGGCAGGUUGUGGUAUUGGCUUUUGAAUGAAUUCUCCGUCUCAUAGCAUUUUGUGACACAAUUACGCGAUAACGAGUGGAUGUCGAUGUUGAGAAACCUGCAGUGUUAUUCCCCGCGAAGAUGCGGGGAAUUUUACACUCCUCGCGUGGAAUAUAUUUGGCUCAAGCCGAGCCCGACCCACGACUUUGCCUCUGCUGAGUGCAGCGGGAUCUGUAAUCGAUUAAUUUUGCACGGAAAAGCCUGUGCGCUCUUUGGCGCAAAGCAAAUUGGCUAUAAGGAGCAAGGUUUUCAAGUCCGACAUUGUGAGCCUUUGGCAAGACAUUGGAUCGCUUCAUAUGCGAAGUCAAAGGCGCAAACUGGACGGACAAUAAAGCCCGGGUUCGAACUCGACGUGCGGCGAUCAUCGCGCUCCAAUUGCUCGAGCAGGACGAUAGACCGUCCAAAUCGAAGUCAACCCUUUUGGCCUUUAGAAAAAAAAAGAGAGGAGAGAAUGGUCAAGUCAAAGUCCAAUGCGCGCCAAUUUCGCUAAGAGGAGUGCAUCUCGUGGAUGCGCCGAUCGCGGGGCCUAACUUUGAAUGUGCAGCCAAAAGAAAUGUUUCUCUUCUUUGCAUUGCGGAAACAGAAACUGCCCAACUUUUGACCCUUCUACUGGGUUUGGGAAGUGGGCGAGGGGGGCCAAAAUGAAAAGUGGAUGACGAAAUUCGGGUGAGAAUUACAAUUUUUUCAUUGUUUGGGAGCUCUAUUUUAAAGGUAUAGAGAUCCAUUUUCCAUUUAGCUGCUAAACCUUCAACUUUUAAGAAAAUUACUUUUCACGCCUCCUUUUCCACGCAUCCCGACCUUUUGAGGUUUUUAAAGUACAGUUUUUUUAAGUCCUUCAGAUUCCGCAGUCGAGCAAUUUUGGUCCUCUAAACUGUAUUUGCUCAAUCGAGUCUUUUAACUUUCCAGAUACGCGAGAUUUGGUCCUCUAUGUUUUAUAUUGGUCCUCAAUCGUGAUUUUAAGCCAACCCGAGAAAAGAACAAACCAUGCGAAAUCGAUUGGAGAUAGAUUAUAUUUUAUGGGGAUCAAAACGAGACAUCUCCAAAGCUGACGGGUGCAAAAUGCAAUUAGCCCAAUGCCAAUUCUCUCUCGGUCAAGUCCACGCAAGACUUGCUAAACUCAAUACAAAUUUGCUUUUGCGAACGCAAAGUCAACGCUUUGUUUCGGUCCUAGGUUUACCAAUCCUCUCAAUUUAGGUACUUCUCCUCAUAAAUUCCCGCGAAUAAAUCAAAGUUUUAGAAAGACAGAAAGCUUUUCCUCUUACAUUCUGGUACAGGCCAUGAUGAGUACAUGACCAGAUCAGCCUGAUUUCGCCACCCGGGAAGAUGCCGUGCCAGGAGGGUUUGGGACAUGGUACAUGGAAUGACUUCUCAUACCAUGUGCACAAAAUCCGAUGACCAACCCUUUCUUCUUCCCCUUAUCGCACAGAAGUUCCGUGUUAAGUAAGGCCCACGAGUAAAUCUGAUGAACCAAGUCGGACGCAAGUGGGGAUUCCAGUCGAUACCCUAACUAAGCACUAAAUCGAUUUACUGAAUGACGCAGCACUUAUGUCGAUUAGUUAGCUGCCCCGUUCAGGCAUUCGAUGAGAAUCCGUGGCUGCGCACGCCGCCGAGCAAACUGAUUUCAUCGGCGAGUCGUAAUUUCAUGGUCGGGCGCCUCUAGUCUCGUGACGUCGAAACACACAAACAUCUUAAAUGUGCAAUUUUCACGGGAGGAGCAAAGUUUGGUACCAGACCCAACAUUGGGGAAGCCAUUUGGAUUCGGCAAAAGGGAAGUGGGAAGACAGAGACCAAAACCAAAACAACGGUGGUCAAAGUUUGGCAGCCAAGCACAAUGGUUGGUACGAGUACUUUCACUGCCAUAAGAUUUCACUUGUAUUCCCGUCAAAUCCAUUUGAUUUUGGAGCUUUGGAUCUGCUCGGAAAUAGAUUGAGGGACACAUGGUUCAAUCAUGAAAAGGUACAGCCGAGGCCCAAGCCACCCACCGACCGAGGCAAAAUAUGAACAUAUAAUAAGGGGAAAAAAAAGAAAGAAAAAAUACAAAAAUCGUUAAUGCUGGCACGGGCUAAUUAGAUCCUCACUCUAGUGUUUUCCAAUCUAUAUUGACCGGAUGGAUUAUAUUCGAGAAACGUUGAUAGGUUUAGGACUCUUAAGGCGAAACGAGAAGAAAAGGAAAACCGAAAAGAAAAUCAUGUGCAUAUUAGGUGAUUAAUUAACCGAGUGACUUGAUUGAAUGCAUGCCUAACCUUUUCAACGCAUGCAGUCGCCAUUCAAUGCCAUGCAUCUGCAUCGCCCGUUCAGUUAAAUUCGUUUCCCUUCCCAUCGCCUCCCUCGUCCGUCUCGAAGCUCGUCAAGGAAAAACAACGAACGCCGAAUCCGACGUUCUUUCCCGUCGCAUCCCGCCAUCGAACAGAGUCCUUCCUCCUACUCAGUCCUCGUUAGAUUCGCAUCUUUGCUCUCUCCCGAGCACAGUAUCGUCGUCCGGCUCCUCAGAAGCUGAGGGACCGCUGUUUUGCCGGCGAACGGCGGUUUCUUGAUUGCUCCAUGCAGCCGCCGCUCCAGUCUUGUUCCCGAGGAACGUCGUCGAGAAGAGGUCGGGAUUGCGACCCUUGAGCCGGAGGUCUUCCACGUCUUCACGACACGAGAACGAGGCGUUGAUGGUGAUUUUUUCUUUUUCCGAAAGAUGUGUUCUAGUAUUGGAUGAGCUGUGUGAAAGUCAACUUUUGGAGCUAAAAUUCGGCUGUCCAUGUCGUCGGUUUAGCUAAGUUUAGCACGUUUGAAGUUCGUCUGCUGGAAGCAUGCGGAUCAAUUCAUUCGUGUGCUUACUUAGUGAUUGUUGUCACGAAAUCACGUCCCCGAUCCGGGUUCAUUUAUGCUGCCGUAGAUACGUUAAAAUUAUUGGGUUUUGCUGUUCAGAGCUAACUUCGUGCUUAGGUUCGAUGCAAGUGGGACGUUUUUGAGCUCAUUGUCUUCAGUUGGACGCAAGGGUUACAUGUUUGCAUGAGCGGCAAUAAAUCAGGAUUCAAUUCAGGGGAUAUGGCAUUAUUAUAUUGGCUGCAGAAAUUUCGUCUUGAAAAGUGGCACGCGGUUGCCUUCAGUUGGAGUCAACUUAUUUCUGGAUCGGAACCCGGAAGGGCUGAAGAGGGUUCAAUUGCCAAGGUCAAAAAAGGAUCAAAGGCACAUGUUUGCUUGUUCAUAAAAGCAAACUUUUCGAGCACAUGAUUGCUUGCUCCUUCAAUCACUCGUGCAGAUCUCUAAGAGAAGUCGUUUCGCUUCUGGUGUGAGUGAUGAGUGUCGAUGGGAAGUCUGAAUUCUUGAGCUUUACAUUUUCCCCUUCAGCAUUAUGGGAUAAAUCUUUAGCUUUAAGUGGGAUUGAAGGACAAGAGGGAGAGGGAGACAAUUUCUUGUUCGAAUGAAGUGGGAACGCCUUAAAGCGCAUCAGAGUAGAGAUGCUGGCGUGAAUUGGGCAAGGGGUCUUUAAGGCAACUUGUCAUCUGCUUAAUCUUUCCUUUACUUCGCUUUUGUGCAUGUUCUUGUAUGCUUUUGAUGAAUUAAUGCAGCCUGAGUAGGUUUAGGUUGUAAUAUGAUCUUAUGAUGUCACUGCUAUAACAUCUCUGUCACAGUCUGCAUGAGUGACUCUGCUUUUUCAAGUUUCAAACCAUAAGUUCUGUUGAACUUAUGCUGUUCUGUACUUUGUUGAAGUACGUGAACCCUUCAAUCUAACUUGCCAGUUUUAAUUGCUGUGUCAUAUCAGGUCCCCUGUACACAUUCCACAAGCAACUUUUUGUACCACUGCAGAUUUGAGAACUAGGGAACUCCAAAUCUGCUGACAAGAGCAGAAGAGUUCUUCCAAAACCCUGUAGCUUACUAGCUUAUUUCUCGAAUGCUUUCUGGGAAGAGUGCAAAGAAAAUGGGGAACUUUUCACACAGGUUACAAACUUUUGGUGCUUUCUCUAUUCUCACUUUUGUAGUUGUAAGAGUGAGUUAAGUCAAGGAUUGUGCCUUUGCCUUCUUUGGCUGCAGUGCAGGCGGUACAAAGCACGGUGGAACGAGGGGUAUAAUAACAACUUUGAUUGGAAUCUUUUUCGGUUUCUUCUUAGGACUAUCGUUUCCGUUGUGGUCAUUAAAUAAGGUAUGUGAUUGAUCACUGCUUUUAGUAGUAGUUCCAAUUAACUAUAUUUUGUAAAGAAAUUUCCAUGUCCAAAUUGGCAGUUUACCCUUUCAUCCAGCCUUCUUCCCAUCCCUGAUCUUUCCAAACAUGAUAACCAACAAAUGAGGCCCCUAACUCAAGUUUCUUCUGAGAAUGGCUGCAACAGCAGCUCAACUGAAGCUCCGAAAGUGAAUGAUACUUCCAAGGUGCAUUUUUUCCCUUCUCUAACUUCAGUGAUCACUGCUCUGUCCUCAUUACGUUUGGAUCGUGGAAUUCGUUUAUCUGAUUUAUCAAGCUCUAGUAAGGUAGUGGACGAAUAUUUAAGAUAGAAAAAAAGCCAUUCAAGCAACUUCGGUCCAUCUUAAAAGUAGUUUUAUUCUUCGUAGGAAGAGGUUGAACACUUCAUCUUAUGAUUUUUGACUUAGAUGGAUUCUACAGAGUCUAAACCCAUGCCAUGCCAUUGCGGAGAACCAAAUCGGCUCGUGUAAUUUAUCCUUGUUCCGAUUUCCUUGUCAUAAUCUACAUAGUGCCCACGGCUAAAGUUAAUCUAUCCUAUUUUGAUGGGUAUUUCAUGGCUCAAACAAAUAUCAGCGUCUUUUGCAUUUUGCUAGUGGCAGGGGUACCGAUCUGUCAAUUUCCCUUCUUCUAGCAAAAGAUCUUUGUAGUUCCCAGGAAUUGAUAAGACAGCAGAGGAGCAUUUUGUUGCUGACUGUAAAUGCUGCUUACUCUUUGUGGGAGCAUAUUCAUUUGCACAAUGCAUAGAGCCGGGGGGGUCUUUCACCAUAGAUCCAGCCCUUGUCAUCCCAGUGUUAUAGCCCGGUUUAAACUUUUUUCGAUUAAAUUGAAGUUUUGCUCCUGAUCUACUGCAGAUUUUGGUCCAAUCAAAGCCAAGAGGUGCAGAAAAAUUGCCACCGGGAAUAAUAGCUGCUGAAUCAGAUUUUUAUUUGCGUAGAUUGUUUGGAGACCCCAAAGAGGUAUGCAUUCUAGCAUGCAAGGUAGCUAGCACCCCAAAUUUGCAGAAUAAGCAUCUGGAUAUUCUUCAAGAAUAUUUUGCAUAGAAAGAACCCUUUUUUAAGAGGAGAGUACAAAUGUUUCUAGCACUAAAGUAGAAGACGCAGCUCGAGAAUUAUCAAUGAUCUGCUUUAACAUCUUCAUCAAUGGAAAAGCUUGGAUGUUACUUCUUGUGAAGUUACUAAUUAGAACUUCGCCACAAUUUAGUAGUACUUCCGAGCCACUGAGAUAUGUCUGGCUGAUGUAUCAAAGAUGACUAACACUAUGUUGAAUUUGAUCUUUUGGUGAAAUUGCUCUGUGCAGGACUUGACUUUCAAACAGAGGUAUCUGGUAACCUUCACUGUUGGUUAUAACCUGAGAAAUAAUAUUGAUGCAGUAGUCAAAAAGGUGAGAGCCCUCUUGGUUAUGCGCAUGUGCAUUUUCCGUAUGUAUUUAUAUCCAAGUUCAUAAGCUCGAUAUCUCUACUUCUCCCAUCAGUUUUCAGAGAACUUCACCAUUCUUCUGUUUCAUUACGACGGGCGAACAACAGAAUGGAAUGAGUUCGAGUGGGCCAAGCGAGCCAUACAUGUGAGUGUUCCAAAGCAGACAAAAUGGUAGGAAGCGCUGUUCUUUUCAUUGUUGAGAUUGAAUUUGAUGAUCUUUCUACAGAUCCUAUGUCUUCAACUGCCUGUUUAUUUUGGCCUAGGUGGUACGCCAAGAGGUUCUUACAUCCUGACAUCGUGGCUCCUUACGAGUACAUAUUUAUAUGGGAUGAAGACCUAGGAGUUGAGCAUUUUGAUGCAGAGGAGUGAGUACAGAAUAUGGCUUCUUUGUAUAUGACUAUGUUAUAUUAAUUGGUCUUACCUGUGCUAAACAUGGUAAAUCCAGGUAUCUAAAAUUGGUGAGGAAGCAUGGCUUGGAGAUAUCACAGCCUGGCCUGGAACCUGACAGGAAGUUGAACUGGUUGAUGACUAAAAGAAUAAAUGGUAGUGAAGUUCACAAGUAAGUCUGAUAAGGCCUCCAGAAAUAAUCAUCUGUAAUUCCGAGGCAGUCGACUAAUGUUGCGUUUCAACCAGGAAAGUAGAAGAACCACCAGGCAGAUGUCGUGACCCACAUCUGCCCCCAUGUGCAGCGUAUGUAUGACUUAGAUCGUCAACUUCAUUUUUGCUUGCUGCAAUUUACGUCUCUUCUACUUCGUUCUUGCGCCCUGAUGGGAAAAUAUGGACUGUCAUGCUCCGCUUACGCAGGUUUGUUGAGAUCAUGGCUCCGGUUUUCACAAGAGAGGCAUGGCGCUGCAUAUGGUAUUUGCUUCAGGUAUGACAUCCGACCAUACUGCACCAAAAACACAAGCACCUUCUUUACUGAAAUGUGUAUUUUCCUUUAUCUGGGAAUCUACAGAAUGACUUGGUACAUGGAUGGGGCUUUGACCUUGCCCUGAGGAAAUGUGUAGAGGUGAGGCUGUGCCUAUACUACUCGCAAUUUCGACAUCGUCUGUUAUCCGUACAUAGCAUAAUCUUCACGAUCUCUAUUUGAACAGCCUGCGCACGAGAAGAUAGGAGUAGUCGACGCUCAGUGGAUCGUGCAUCAGUCAUUUCCUUCGUUGGGUAACCAGGUAAGCGAAAAAACAGAGCAGUCACUGCAUUGCCCCUUCACUAGCGGUCUUCUUAGGAAAGCCAGCAUUACCAUGUUCUUUCUUCUCAUUGAGCUGAUACAAUUUGCUUUGCGGGGAUCGUUUCGCAGGGCGAAUCACGAAAUGGAUCGGCUCCAUGGCAAGGGGUAAGUCAGUUCUAAAUCCUCCUGAACUUACGCUUCGGACCAUUCGAAUUCACCUGCCUUGUGCUUCGAUGGCUCGCAAUUGCAGGUGAGGGACAGAUGCGGGAAAGAGUGGGCGAUGUUCAACAGCCGAUUGAGAGACGCCGAAAUCGCUCAAGAACGGGCAAACGGCGGUCCGUGAUCCUCCCCAAACUAAAAGACACGGUAGCGCACAUUGCAGCAGCAGAAUGUUCUGCAGAUACCAAAGUUACACACACCAGAAACCUCAAAUUUUCUUAGGAUCCUCGGUAAUUAUGAUUGUCCUUGUACCAUAGCAUUACUCAGCAUAAACAGCCUCACAUCGUUAAAAUUACAGAAUUCAGUUCCCUGUUUUUAUAGAGAGCUCUCAGCAUGCCAAUUUCCUUUGGAGCUGUAAUAAAGAUGUUAUCAGAAGUUUCAAAAACACUGGCUGAUCCAUCGCAAGGUGAUACACCUGUUUACGAUUCCAAUAAUCGAAAUUUCUCGAGGCACAUCGAUCGACGGAUAUCUAAGAAGUUCUCCUUAAGCCGGGGCCGGACCACACGAACCCAAUUCUCCAUGGUAUAAGAUUGUACUGUCCAAAUUAUUCACUGCGCGACUCUUUUUCGAGCACUCGAUUGAACCCGACACCUCAUAAUCUCAUAAAAUCAGAGAGAUAAGUCACAUCUUAUCAUGAUUUAGAUAAUGUUUUACCGGGAAAUCAAGAAGCUUCCGCUCAAUAAACAAAUUCGCGACCCGCCAAGUGGCGCCUCCCCAUUGGCCCUCCUCCUGCUGACAAAGAGGGCCACGUGUCGCGCACCGUCCGCCGUAACUAUCAUGGCCGAAACGCGCGCCCACGGUUUUCCGGGGGGGGGGGGGGGGGCAACACCCUUUCCUUUCCCCAAGGACCCAGUUCCCCCCCCUCCCCUUUCUCGGGCUCACACGUGUUCGCCACGUGUCGCGCGCCGAGCCAUCCGUGGCGGUCGGGAGCCGCAGCCAUUUAUGCGCUGUGGCGAGUUCAUCUGCUUCCCCCCCAUCGGGCGUCGUCGCAGCGUCAAAACCUGGUCCUCUCGCCUCCACUGAAGAAACCAAGAAGAAGAAGAAGAAGAAGAAGAAGCAGCAGCAGCAGCAAGAGAACGUCAAUGGGGCUGUCGAGCUUUCCGGUGGCGGCGGAAGGGCUACUGCCUCUGCUCGUGAUGAACGCGGCCCUCUCGGUGUCGCACGUCAAGAGCACCUGGAGGUACCUCCUCGACGCCAUCGCCGGCGGCGUCCCGGCCUCGGCCUCGGCCGCGGCGGAAGCCCGGGACCCCGCGCCCCCUCGCGGCGGCGGCGGCGGCGAGGGGGGAGGAGGAGGAGGAGUGGCGCGGAGGAGGAGGAGGAGGAGGAGGGUCCGCGUCAGGCGGUUCGAGACGCCGGCGGGGAGCGAGUGCGGCGGCUCCUGCUGCGUGUGCCUGUGCCGGUUCGAGGCGGAGGAGGAGGUGAGCGAGCUCGACUGCAAGCAUUUCUUCCACCGGGAGUGCCUCGCCAGGUGGUUCGACAACGGCCACCGGACCUGCCCUCUCUGUCGCUCCGUUCUCUGAAGAAGAAAGGGUUUUACGACACAGAGAGAUUGCUGACGUCCUUUUUCUUUUCCCGCGCGAGUGAUGCGGUUUUCGCUUCUCCGUCGCGUUCCCGUUUGCGUUUUUUUUUUCGCUUCUUCUCCUUUGUUUUUGCCCCUUCACGUUGGUGUUUCCUCUUCUGUUUUUUUUCCCUCGGACUGUCUCGAGACAGGAUUAGUAGGGAUUUCUCUGGCAGAGCUGCCGGACAUAAUAAGAAGCUGAAGGGGUUUUCGACUUUGAAGUUUUGCGUACUUCGCCUGUGUUUUUCUUCCCUGAACUAACGCGCGAGGAAAUCUGACGAGAACUCGACCUCGAAUUCGCGCUCUGGUCCGACCUCUAAGACAGGACUUGCUCGAGUCUUGAAACGGUACUAACCUCGUGAAAUGUUCUUACGUUUCAGACGAGGUGUGCUGGAUCUCGGAAGCAAGAAGAACGUCAGAAAACCUGCGAGUCCGGAAAUGUAAAUGUUGCUAAAAACUAAAAUGCAGAAGAUUAGACUGAACCGACAGAUAUUUGCUCCAGAUCAAACUGUUUUACCCUGGUAUUUGCGGCAUACUACUGCUACUCCACUGGUAUUCACGAACAAAAUGGCUAAAAGGGAUAGAAAUUUAUGCAAGCAAUCAGAGAGACUUAAGACAACAGUAGAAAUGUGAAGGGACUCAAUAGCGAGAAACCGAAAGCCAAUGAAUGUUUACCACCGCCAUGACGGUUGGUCGAGUGGUCUAAGAUUUUGAUUCGUCAGCCAGAGGUUACGAGUUUCGAUUUGCCAGUCCGCCCUCGAUUCUAGGGUUACUUUGUUUAGUCUGCGAAGGACGUGCCUUGGCUUAUUAGGUGGAUCGCCGAUCCUGCGCUGCAUUGCGGUGGGACAGCAGUGACCAACUUGCCUAGAGGCAGGAACCAACAUGGUUCAAGAAACCCCUUUUUUGUUCAGUAAAACAGAAGCUGACGAAAGAUUUAGGUUGGGUUUUGGCAUCGAUUGAGCAUCACGAAUGGCCACUUGUUCUCCUCCCCAAACACCAUGUCGACGGCUCGACAGCCGUCUUCUUCUUUAAUCUCUAUAUUUAUACUCUUAUUUUGGAACGUACUUCUCCUUCCAGCUACUUGGACGAGCUCCCCACCAGGUCCUCCCUCCUCUCUCUCUCUCUCUCUCUCUCUCUCUCUCUCUUUUUCUUUUUUAUUUUUUAAAUUAAUUAUUGGAAAAAAGAUAUUUUCUGAGCAUAUGAGCGAGGGGCCCACCCACCGAGCCGUGAAAUUCUCCACUGUCCAUAAAGCAUGGGGAACUUUUUGUUCAUGUAAAUCUUUCGUAAAUUAAGUGCUCAUUGUUCUUCUUUUUUAAGAGAUUCUACUGUCGAAUUCGUCAACCGGCAUGAUGGCGUGCAAUUUACCCCACUUUUCUCAUUGACUUUUUAACUACUACAUCGUGGCGAGUCUGGCGACUGCUGAUGCAAUUUUUAAAAAAAAUUAAUAGUACAAAUGUCUUAAAUCAUAAAAUAAUUUUGAUUGGCAGAAUAACACUACAAAAAUAUUCAAAAAAUGUUUGUAGAGAGGGUGGGAGAGAGUGGGAACGCCACCGCCACUAGCCGAACCUCGAAAUCUUUUCACGCUUUAGUUUUCGCUACGUCACCAUUCGUCGACUUGUUUGACAUCCAAUAUCAGAUUCUCUCUAAAUUUGAGUAGCUAUAAUAUUUUAGUGUGUGUAUAUAUAUAGUUUUCACCACAUUAGCUAUCGUACUACAAUGAAAUAUUUCUUGUGAAGAAAGAGUUUCAUUGCACGUGAUCUGAAUGGGGGAAAAUGGAUGUGUUCCUUGGAUUCUCGAUAGCAUUUUUCUACUUCAGCGUUUGCUUUUUUACUUAUGAAUUAUGUCCACUAAAACUUUUGAUUUACACGGUUCAAGUCUUAAGAGGCAUAUACUUUGAUUUUCUUUCAAUUUUAGACACUGAAAUUUGUUAUAUUAUAUAAAUACUAAAAUUAAUAAUUUUGUGGAAUUUAAAUAUUAUUUAUAAUUUUGACGAAAUAUUUUUAUAAGUUGUGCAUAUGAGCCAAUAAGAGCACUUUUGGUAACGUUUUUGUUCUUGAGAACGAUUUCUCAUUAAAAAUGAUUCUUUUUAAUUAUGUUUCCAAGAACAAUAUCUAAGCAUUUUAAGUCAUUUGAUGACUGUCAAAAAUUUUAAUUCUUAAAAUAGAAUUUCGUUUGACACUAUUCACAAAAUUUCUACUUCAAAUAAUUUUCUUUUAAUUUUAAAAUAAUUUUAUUACUUUUUUCCUUUCUUCUUUUCUUUUUUUUUUCCUUUCUUUCCCUUCUUCUUCUUCAAGGUUGCUGGUCGCUGACCUUAAGAUGUUCAGCGACCAACCAGAUGAGGGCUGGCAACCUCACUGAAGCAUCGCCGGCUCUUAGUGAGGCCAUGCCUUGCUUAGCCAAGCGAGGCUUGCUGGUGGCUAGGGGAGGCCUAGGCAAGGCCUGCCUAGCCACUGGCAAGACUUGACCUUGUCGAUGGUUGGACGAGCCUCUGACGAGCUCGCUAGACCUCACCCUGGCCUGGCGAGCCUCUAACGAGCUCACUGGACCUCACCCAACCAAUUGUUGGCGACUAGCGACGGUAGACAGCGAUAGCGGCAAACGGUAACGACGUCGGCAGUUGAAGAAGAAGAAAGAGAGAAGAACAACAAGAAAAAAGAAAAAGAAAAGAGAGAAAAUAGGUUGGUUGUUUUUUAGAAUUGUUUAUGAGAACAAAUAAUCAACUUUUUUUUACUCCUUGAUUCUGUUCCAAAUCUAUUUCCGAGAACAAAAAAAAUAGAAAUUUAUUCCCAAGAACAAAAAAUUUACUGAACAAAUUUAUAUUCCAAAUCUAUUCCUAUGAACAAAAGAAUAAAAAUUAUCAUUGUUUGACAAGUUGCCAAACAGACUCUAAAACUCACCUCAUAGAGGCAUUAGUUCCUACCCUUGGAAACCGCUAUUGUGUUGCUCUUAAAAUUGCAUUGAGCAACCAUUGCAUCACAUGCCACUAUUGUAGGUGAUGUCCCAAUCUGAUUAUUAUUUUUUUUAUAUUUCAAUUUAAAGUUUUUUAAUAUGGUUGAGCGAUAGUCCCUCAUAUUUCAGGCCAAAAUCACAUGAUGUUUUUUAAUAUUAUACAAGGUCUUACUAUAACAUACAAUAACGUGUCUUACCGAAGGUCAGUAAUCAUAUGAAAUUUUUUAAUAUCACGGGACAUUUUACCAAGUAUUCAAUAAUCAAGACGUACUUAAGGCCAAGAUCCUUAUACUUUACUUUUUAAAUAUUUUCCAACGUCUUGUCCAAAAAUGUUUUGUGGUACUUUAGGUCAAUCAUCGCAUGCCUUAAUAUGUUAAACGAUGUAUUGCCAAUGCAUAUGACACUCACCCAUACUUAAAAUGAAAAUCUCAUACAUUAACUUUUAAUAUUAAACAACACGAUUAGAUUAGAAAAAUAUAUACCAAUUUAUCUCAUGCUAUCAUAAAUUAUGAAUUAUUUUCCAUGCAAAGGUACAACGCUUCGUCAUACUCCUGGCAUUGCUGGAUGUUUGGUAGAUCAAUACUGAUGUAUAUCAUAUCUUUGUAAAUUAACAAUUUUAUUUUGUACCAACGAUUUGUGGUAUGUCAAGCUGAAGUUAUAGCAUGCCUUUUAAAAUAAAAAUAAAAAUUGAAAGACAGAUGUUAUGAUAUGAAGAUAUAGGCCAUUUUACCGUACCGACAUUUAUUAAAAGCUUUUAAAAUAUUCGUGUGACGAAUUGUCGUACCUAGGGCGUGAUAUAAACUCAAAGUAUCUUUGCCAUUUAAAAUUUUUAAAAGAAUGCAUGAUGAUAGCUGGUUUUUGGUUGUAUGGUAACAAUGAUAUAACCAUAGGCAAAUACAAUCCGGUGAUCCACAUGGCAUGUCCAAUCAAGCUUCCUCCAUCUCUUUGAAAUUUUCUUCGGUUUUUUCGCUUUGGUAUAAAUAAUCCGCCUUAUUAAUUUUGUCACUGAAUAUUAUUGGGACACUUGAUAAGCAUACUCGGGAAUAAUAUUUUUAUCGACAAUUUACUGACUGUAUAUAACACUGGAAAGACAAUACUUUGAAAUUUUCGAAAUACCUAGGAAAUACCCAGCAAGCUUGCUUCUUAUAUUACCCUCACACAAUCUUGUUUCUCGUAAAAAUUCGAAGAGCAUGGGCUUUUCAUUCGCGAAGUUUUUUUCAAUUUUAUGAUAAUAAAAAUACUUUUUGAUUUGCAAUUUUAUAUUCUAUUAGAAAAAGUGUUUAGUUCAUUGAACUGAAAAUUUCAAAAUAAGAAUAGACAUUUCAAAAGCAUAUAUGAUUUGCAAUUGGAUCCAUCCAUUUAUACUUCUGUCAUUGGUACCCCACCUUCUUAGUUCAUAUGAAAUAUGAAGCCUCUUUUCACUCAUAUAAUUUCUAUAAUAGCAUCAACACUUAAGAAAAAUUUAUAACUAAAAUAAAUUUCACAAUGACAUCUCUGAAAUUAAUUGUCCAAAUAUAUAUUUACAAGAUUCAAAUGCUUCUAUUUUUAAAACAAAAGGAAUAAAAUUUUGGACCUUUUAAAUUAUUCUGCAAAAGUUAAUACCUUGAAAAACCCUAAACUGGUACAAUCGUGACAAAUUUAUCCCAACUAAUUAUAAAAACCUUAAACUAGUACAUUUAUGAUAAAUUUAUCUCAAAUUAAUUUAUUCGACCUCAAAAAACCCCAAACUAAAAAAUUUAUGACAAAUAUACCUUCUUUUAAAUUUGAUUAAUAUCAUAAAAAAAUCACAAAAAUUGUAACUGUAACAAAUGAAACAUAAAAUCCCAAAUUGGUAUACUAAUAAAUUGUCAUGUGUCAUUUAAUUUAAUAAUUUGACAAUAAAACUUAACGAAGACUAACAUACGGUAAAUUUGUUAUAAGUGUACCAGUUUGUGGUAAAUUUGUCAAAAGUAUAUUAGUUUUAGAUUUUUGAUGGUAAAAAAAAUAGUUUGAGAUAAAAUUGUCACAGAUAUACCAGUUUGGGGUUUUUCAGGAUAUUAACCAUUUUUUGAACAAAAGAAAAGGAUUUUGCGAAUUUUUCCAGCGUUUGAUGUACAGAAAAUAAAUCAAUCAAAAACAAAAAAAAUUCGAUCAAUGAAAAAAAAAAAAAAAAAAUUCUUUCACACGAGAAAUCCUCCUCCGCUCCUUCACCUUCCUCUUCUCGCCUGCUUGCUCUUCCACCUCCGUCCGCCUCCCCAGAGUUCGUCCUCCUCCUUCGCCUCUCCGCCUCCGGAGUUUCUCCUUCUUUCCCUCCCGCCUCCGAGGUUGACUAUAUUCGUCCGAUUCGGUGGAUUCACGCCUGUGGAUUAAUCGACCGAAGCUGCGCUCGAUCCUCUCUCUUUCGGUAAGUCGAUUCCUUCGCUUGGAAUUAUUUUAGUUUCUUGGGUUUUUGUUUUAUCAAGAAUUCGUGGUGUGGACUCGUCGAUUUAUAAAGUUUUAGGUUGGUUGAGCUCGGGAUAUUUGAACCAGACAUCGUAAUUCUCUCUGAAAGAUGAAGAAUUCGUGACCAUUUUGAACGGUGGCUUUGCCCCCAUUUUCUCAGUGAUUCGGUUUGGGUGGGUGUUUUUCGCGGUUCGAUUCGAUUUCCAUCUCUUGGAAGUGUUGGUGUCAAAAUUCUUAGAAGUUCAACCCAGGAAGACAAUUUCUUCUAUGAAAUCUUCUAUGGGAGUUAUAGAAGUGAACCGUUAUCGCAUUCUUGCAUACGAGUUCUUUGGCCGUAAUCCACUCUACCUGUUCGAUGAAAUGCCUAAAUGACAUCAGAAUGCAUUCAUUUGUUCUUUAACCUCGCGCGAUUGGAUUAUUAUAUCUUUAGACGUCCACGUUUCUAUGAUAUGAUUAUCCAAUUAGAACUUGGCUCGUUGUAGCCUUAUUAUAGUUUGUCAUUGCUCGAAUUGAUUUGAUGAUUCAUGCCAUUUGUUGACUGAAUGUACGAUUGGAAAAUUGUGUCUCAUAGCUUGCAGAUUUUCUUGAACAGAAUUGAGUGUCCAAAAUGGUGUUUGGAUAUUGCUAUGAUUUCUCUCUAUUUUGAUUCCCUUUCCACUCUUGUAUUCUGAACUCUGAUAAUGGCUUUAGUUGUGUAUAUGUGAUGGCUGGCAAUUGAUGAUGGAAAUUCUACGGUGGUUGGAGACACGGAGUAAAACAUUUGUGCGUCCUUUCAGUAUGAAGGGCGCAUAUAUGGUUCUAGCCCAUGUCAACUCCGUUGUUCACUUCAUAUAAAUUCGUACAAGUAUUUGGUUGGUAUCAGAAUACGAGAUGAUAUGUACAUUGUGCUUGUGAUUGCUUAGUCUUGGCGUGAAGUUUUGCUGAGUUUUGGUUUGGAGCGUUUAAGUGUACAGGCAAAACAAUGGAAUGGGUAAAGAAAAUAAAAGAAAGUUUUCAUUACCAUACGACAGAAAAUAUUUUCAAUUUCAGCCAAACACCGAAAAAUAUUGUCAUUUUCCAGGAAGACGACUUUUUUUUUUUUCUUUUCGAAAUAUCAUAUUUUCUGUGAAAUAAAUGCAGCUUUAGUGAAAGAGAGAACAUGAAUCCCUCAAUCAUCGCUCACCUCCAAUUUCUGUCUCAUUAGUGUUAAAUUCGGUGAAGCUCGAGAGAUAGAUUGCCAAUAGAGAAUAGCACUGUCACCUUCUCAUAUGCAUCUCCCUUUGCUCUUUCUCGGUGAUUUGAAUUUGGCGGGGAGAGCAUUUCCCUUUUGUACUGUUAAACUAAGUUCAGAUGGCAUAUUGUCUGAGAGCGAUGAAGAAUCCCUAUUGUUCAAUUCAGUAAAAUGGGUCAUCCGGACGUGUAUUUUUUUGUGUCCUUAUUUUAAGUUGCUGGAAGCAUUGUAUUGCUAUUGCCAAUCUCAAAUUGGAGUUUUUCCCUUUGAAGUAUUAAUUAGAGGGGCAAUUUCCCUUCUUCAUCUUGUGCAAACUUUUUUGAGAUGUGUUAGGAGAGUUGGCAUUUCUUGUUGGGUUUUUAAUUUACAUUUACUUAAUUUGGUGUUCAGCUAGCUCCCUUUUUUAUGAGAAAAAGCUAGAUGGUAAUUGAUGUGUUAGCUACUGUUGUUGAUGAUUGACUUGCAGUACCAAGAAGACUUGAUUUCUUUUCUACAAUUAAACAUUUGGGUUAUACCAGUGUUUUUGUCUCCCAUUGUGAUUAUAAAUGAGUUUCUUUUGCAUUUUCCCUUAAGUGUGAUUAGCUGGAGGCAUGAUCCAAGAGAAGUACAGAGCAUGUCAAUAAUAGCUCAUUGUAACAUUUCCUUCACACUCUCCAGCAAAAUUCUGUUGCUAACAAAGAAUUUCUCAUGUUAGUAUUAGUGUGGUUCUCAGCCAGGCUUGUCAUGCAUAACAUAUUUUCCCUUUUUCAGCUGUGUGAAAUUGAGUCAUUUUGUACUUCACAUUUACUUAAUCAAUACAGAGCAAGAGAUUACUUAAUAAUCUUAAUUCCUCCUAUGAUGUCAUUUUAAGCUGAUGGAAUUAACUUCUCGCAACUCAUUUUUCUUAUCCUCCCUUUUUGAAUGCAAAGUGACCAUAUGUGCUUUCUACAUCUUUCUUAUAUCUGUGUGGUGUCUUUUUAUGCAGUCAUCAUAGACGUUAGAGGUGAUGGCGGAGAAAGACAACGACUUGCCAAGAGACGCCAGGGUUGUGAAGUCACUACUGAAAUCAAUGGGUGUUGAGGAGUAUGAACCUCGUGUUAUACACCAAUUCUUAGAGCUGUGGAAUCGAUAUGUAGUUGAUGUAUUGACAGAUGCGCAGGUCUACUCUGAGCAUGCUGGCAAGGCUGCAAUUGAUUGUGAUGAUGUUAAGCUUGCAGUCCAGUCAAAAGUCAAUUUCACCUUUUCACAGCCUCCUCCUCGAGAGGUGCGUAAAGUGUUUAUAUUGUUCAUUGCAUAGAUUUGUCAUCAUUGAACAUAUGUCCAUAUGACCAUGGAUGAUCCUCUGUUUCAACGAAUGAUGUCUUGUUCAUAUCAGCUGUGGCAGUUUCUUGACGGAGUGAAUUUGUGAAUGGAACUCCGACCAGUGAGCAGAAACCAUGUUAGGUUAUAAUGUAGAGUCCAUUCAACUUGAGCUAGAGUUGACUCCCAGUCAGAAUUUUGUCUUGGCAUGAUGGCAUUUGGCAUGUCUUAACUAUCCAUUUUCUCAUGGCAUUUGGCAUGUGAAGACCAUGAAAUAAAAAAUUUUAAGCUGCACACUUGAGUCCUUGCGAAGUCUGGACAUUUGUGUUUGCUGUUGAAUGUUCAGUAGUCUAAUUCAUUAAUUAUCAGGGGCUUAUGUGUGUGGUAACAACACAUUUAUACGUCUGGUGUUUGUGUUUUACUUGUUUGAUGUUACUGUACCAAGCGAUCAAAAACCAAUGCUGAUGUUACUGUCUAUCAGGUCUUACUAGAAUUGGCUAGAAGCAGGAACAAGAUUCCAUUACCAAAGACAAUAUCAGGUCUCGGAAUUCCACUUCCUCCAGAACAGGACACGCUGAUCAGCCCAAAUUACCAACUUGCAAUCCCGAGGAGGCAAUCUGCUCAGGCAAUGGAAGAAGCCGAAGAAGAUGAAAGAAGUGAUGCCAAUCCAUCACAGGAGCAGAAAACAGAUGUGCCACAUAGUACGCCACAGAGAGUUUCAUUUCCCCUCUCUAAACAUCCCAAGUGAUGGAUCUGCAUCCGCAGGUAUGGUGUGACUGGGAAAAGAAUUGGAGAAAUUAUGGGUCUGUCUGCUGACACGGUAGUUCAUAUUGGAUCGUUUAAUGUAUAAGAAUAUUAUGCAGUCUGCUGGCUGUAUCCUAAGCUUCUCUUCCAUCUUUGGUCUGCUCAGUGACAAGUUUGAAGAUUGGUGUUUGUCAGCAACUGCUGUACCUGUAACUUACUUAUCUUGCUUAGAAGCAAUCGCUGUUGAGCUUCUAGCAGCUGUAAAAAAGUAGUUAGCUUUCCUUUAUAUUGUUCAAGUAGCAAUGCUUUGUCAAAGCUGGAGUGCCAAGUAACGCAUACGAGUAGACAUUCCUGCGGUGCGACUGGUUUAUAAAACUUUGAUAUGAGUAUAUGGAGUUGACAGAUUACAUAGUCAAAACUCAAAAUAGCUUACAAAAAUCAUUACCCAGAAUACAAAUUUCUCUCAGGAAAGAAGUCCUACUACGAUCCGACGGUUUUGAAGGACUCGUGAAUGUGCCUCAAGGUCUCCUGGUCCCGAUUCCACUCAGGAGCGGGCGCAUUCACGAAGUGGGCGUAGAGCUUAUUAUUGGCACAGGUUACAGAGAUUAAGCUGUGAGCACCAACCCCAUCGAUCUCGUACACGUAAUACAGCUGCCCCUUCUCAUCCUUCUUCUCCACCGAUGAUAUGUUGUCAGCACUGGCGAUGAGGUCCUGCAACUCCACGUCGGACAGAGCCAAAUUGUUCAAGACGGCGUCUUUGGGAGCCAACUGCCUAAACCCGGCAAGGAAAGUCAGGUACUCCUUCUCCGUCCUCUUCUUGGGGUUGCAAAACUCGCUGUCCGUCCCAUUGGUGCCCUUCUCCACUUUCGAGACCAGCCGCUCUUUCCAACCGUCGGGCACGUCGUAGACGUACUCGGCCGUGUCCUGCUUGCUGGCAUUGCCGCCAUAGCCCCCGUAGUUGGCAGCGCUGGCUGCUGUGCCGUAGUAGACACGGUAGGUCGCUGGUGGCGAUUCGGCUAGCGAAGGCGGCACGGCGGCGAGCACGGUGGCCGCCGCAAGGGCUGUGGCCGCAAGACCGGCGGCCGAGCCAGGGGAGGGGUGUUUGUUGGGGUGGGCUGAGAUAUGCGUUUUGGUGGCGACGGUGAGAGGGACUUGGGCCGAUUUGCCGGCGGCGGUGGAGGAGAGGAUGGUCGAUGGUGAGAGUGAAGUUGCCAUGGUGGCGGUCUUCUGGUGGUGGAGAAGGAUUGGUGGAUGUGAGGGUCUCUGCAAUGGAAGAUGAUGAUUUUUCUCUUAUCCAAUGCUCUUCGCCAAUUAUGACGUCAUUUUGGGACGUGGUGGGUAAUUAUCUGCGACCAAUGGCGGCUUGCCAUCUCAUCGGAACGCUAGGACCAUUCCAAGCAUUAUUAUUGGGCGAGGCUAGAUUUCCAAAUUACACCUUCUCCUUCCCACAGAACAAAGGCUUGAAAAUAUGUACGCAGCAAUAUUUGAAAAGGGCUUACAAAUUUGGCUUUUUAACCCAAGAGUGUAACUUUGACUUUUAAUUCAAAUGCGGAACAUCUAGAACUUUUUAAAGUAAAUUAUAGGGAUAUUGACGUGAAUCGUUUAUGACUUCUUUUGCAAUUUUUUUAAGCUGAAGUAGUAAUUUGAAGUUCGGCAGAAAAAAAAAAAUGAGAGAAAAAAACAUUUUAGCUAAAGAAAAGCAGAAACAAAGGCGUUAGGCAGGCUCCGGUAUCUUUUACCUUUUCCUAAGUCUUGUUAUAAUGGUGGUUGUGUCAUAUCAUGAUAACGAGUACCAAAUUCGAAUGUUUGAUUAGAAAAAGCUUUAUAGUCUAAUAGUAGGAGUCACUACUUGAUAUUUCUCUUUCCUAGACAAAAGAAAGCUUAACCACUCUUACACCAAUCACUUUUUUUAGAAGUUUGAAUUAUUGGCUUCUUCCACUUCAAAACUAGUAGACGCUACUGAUGAAAAAGCACAUGAUGAACCAUUCUAAUAGGUUGUGGCCCUUGUAGAGCACUGCAUGAACGGUUGGGCUAACUCCUGUUUGGACAAAAUAAUAAUGGUCACAUUCCCAUCAUACAUGAUCCACAACUAUUGUUCCUCCCUCACAAGAAAUUCUUACAGGUACCAGAUCCUUGGAUUACAUGGAGUUCACACGAUAGAUGAUUAUGAUGAAUCCGUUUUGCGUGUGCUUGGAUUUAUGCAUAUAAGUUUUAUCCUUUGGAGUGGAGAAGUACAUAAAAAAUAAAAAUAAAAAAAUAAAAUAAAAAAUAAAAAAUAAUAAUAAUAAUUAAUUGCUAGACUCUGUGCGGAAUGAUUAUAUUCAAGGAAUGUCGAAUUUUUUGCGUGUGCAUGUGAGUGUUAUAUGAAUGGACGGAUAUGUGGACAUCUAUGUAGUCUGCAAAUGAUCGCCAAGGGAAUUCAAAGAAUGCAGGAAAAAGCAUAGUCCUAUCAGCAAUAGGUGGAUGCUUCUCUGUUCAUUAUUGUGAAACAAUAUAUGUAGAGUGUACAUGUAUAUAUAUGAAUGGAUCUCUGUAAUUCCUUUUGUGUAAUGUGUCAAUUUCUGCUAUACAGGAAUGCAAAAGAAGAAGAAGAAGGACAGAUGAAGAUAAUACAUAUAUAUACGUAAAUCACAUCCUCGACCGGGCCGAAGGAAUCCGACAAAGAUGAUACGAUGCACGUGAUCCGAUAUUAGUUGCCGAAGAAGAGAUGGAGCGUGGCCAACAAGAAAGAGCAUAGGAUGGCAGCAGCUCCGGACACUCCCAAAGAGGGAGCUGAUCCGGUGUCCAGCGAGAUCGCAGGGGACGGCGCCAUUGCUAAACCUUGAGCCGAAACGCGGGUUGCCGCGGGCACAGAAAGAAGAGCAACCACAACAACAUAAGCGGCCAAGAGAACCGAACUGAAUGCGGUGGCCGCUGGUGCCAUGGCUAAGAACUGACAGGGAGAGGAACGGACGGGCGCGUCUGCAGUGAAUUGUGUGGAGAGUCUGCGAGAGCUGUGGGUACUACUUAUAGCGGGAGACAAGCGUGAGGGGCACAUGAGCAGCAGCAUCAUAAGCUCUGCCUUGAGGAAGAGAACAUCUGGAGAGGGAUGGGAAGUUGGACACCACUGAGGAACCGACAGAAACACGGGACGGUACAAUGCGUGCGUGCUCUUUCUUCAAUCCGAGGUCGCUAUGGCUUAGCUUCGAAGUUCUUUCGC